UUUAAUUGGACGUGAGUUGGUUAAACCUUCAAACCAAUUAUACAAUCAAUUGAACCACAAUUAAAUUAAAUAACUAUUAAAAAAUGAAUAAUUAUUAUAAACUUGAACCGAUUGAAUUGAUUACAAUUAAAUUAGAUUUAACGUAAUUCAAUUUGAAUAUAUCUAUUUUUAAUAAAUUUAAAAUCAACCGGAUUGAAUCAACCCGUAACAAUCAGAAUAGACUAUUUAUGAAAAUACUUUAAUUACCGGUUCAAGUUAUAACUGGAGAGACGAGUUAAUUGAAGACUUGUUAAAGUUAGUAUUCACCAUUUCACUAAGUUAUUACUUUUAAGAGUUCAUUUCACUAAGAUAAGAAUAAAAGACAGUAAGCCAAAGUGGGGUACAUAUACAUGUUGAAGUGAACAAGGACUAUUAGUAUUAGCCUCGUAUAUAGUGAAUGCACGUUAAAUGUCACGCUGUCGACAGCUACAUAUAUUAGGCACAUCCCCACGUUUUUUUUUUUUUGACAAAUAAAAUAAAAAGACCCAACAAUUAUUUUAUUCCAUAAAAUUCUAAGAGUUGACCAAUAUAAUCUCUUAAAUUUAAGAAACAAUAAAUUAAUUUUUUAAAUAAAAGAAUACCAAUUGAUAAAAAAAAACAUGUAUGUUUACUUAAAUAAUCUUUUGUUAUAUAAAAAACAUAAAUUUUUUAAAAUUGUAAUACAAAAUUUGAAAAUAAAAUUAGUAUUUUUAAAUUUAAAUGACUAAAAUUGCUAUUUUAUUACUUUGAAGGACAAAAAUAAUAUCUAUUCUAAAAUAAAAUACUAAUUAAACGAAAGAGACUUAGACUUAUUCAAAUACCAACAUAAUUGAGAUGUUUAUAAUUAUUAUUUUUGUUUCUAUACUUUGAUAUUAUUUUGAUUAAAAAUAAGAGAAAGAGACAUACACUUAUACAAAUGAUCGUACACAAUUCUUAAAACAGCGAUUGAUAUAUUAAAUUAAAAGUUUUAUAAAAAUAUUCUAAACAGCUUCGUCCCAAUAUUUUUGUCUCACUUCUAGUCUUUAUUUUGAUUUUUAUAUUGAUGCAAAAAAUAGAUAAUUUUAAUCAUAAAAAAAAAGUCUAUAUAAAGUUAACAUAAGAAUUAAAAGUGAAUAAAUUUUAUUUAAAAUUUAAAUUUAAAAUAUAAUAAUUUUAUAUAGAGUAAAAAUAUAUGUAACUCAUAAAUUAAAAAUAAAAAAUGAAAGCACGUUUGUUUUGUUUUUGACGGAAAAUUAAAGCACCUAAGAUUGCUCGUGUGAGAUUUGAAGUUUCAACGAUGUCAACUUUAGUGUCAUGUACCUUUUGAUCAACUUGGUAUUUUAAUUAGUACUAUAUAUAUAUUUAUAUAAACAUGAGAGGCCCUUGAGUUAAAGCUUUAGAAAAUCCAAAACAACACAUAAUUUGGAUUUUGAUUCCAAAAUGGGAAGGGCUCCAUGCUGUGAGAAAAUGGGUUUGAAGAGAGGACCAUGGACUCCAGAAGAAGAUAAAAUCCUCAUCGACCACAUAAACACUUAUGGCCAUUCCAAUUGGCGUGCUCUGCCUAAACAAGCUGGUACGUUUUCUAAUGCAUAGCCUUGCACGAAUUAACUUGAAGAAUAUUAAAUAACAUAUUUAGGAAUUCAUGUUACAUAGUAUUACUCUCAUGAAAAUACAUUUGAUAGUUUUUCUUAAAUUUAAUUACUUUGAUCAACAGGGUUGUUAAGAUGUGGAAAGAGUUGUAGAUUGCGGUGGAUAAACUAUCUAAGGCCAGAUAUCAAACGAGGUAAUUUCACCAAAGAAGAAGAGGAUGAAAUAAUCAAUUUGCAUCAAAUGUUGGGAAACAGGUAAACUAAUUAUUAUAUUUUCCCCACUUAGAUUAAUACAAUCUUUUUUCUUCUUCUCUUAUCUCUUAAUUACAAUGCAUUUUACAUUAUUUAAAAAAAAAAAUCGUUCCAUCCAAGUUAGUUAACUUCAACUUAACUGAAAAGAUAAUCCAUUUACCCAAAACAAAGAUGUUUAAAUCUUAAAAACUAUACUAAGAAAUAAGAUUUCACACGGAAUUUAAUCCGAGUGCUUAUAUUCUUUAAUAAUAAAUAUAUAUAAAUCUUGAUUUUUCUAUACAUAGGUCAAGUUGUUUUGUGCUCUGUAGCAUCGAACUGAUGGAGGACGACAUAUGACAUAGUAGUAGUAUUCAUAAACUUUAACUAAUGAAAAUAUACUAAUGCACAUAAAUUAAGUAGUAUGUUUAUUGAAUGCAAGUUCAGUAUAUUAUGAACAUAUUUAAAAUCGUGUUAAACUUACUAUUUGAAGGUUUUGAUUGAUUGAUCAGAGUGUAAUAGAUAGAUAUGUUCACGCAAGAAAUGAUUCAAUAAAUUAAAUAUUCUUUCUUUACAACCUCUUUUAUUUUUUACUUAAACAAAGGAAUAAUGGUUUGACCCACUGUUUUUAUUUAUUUAUCUUCGGUUUUAAGGGAAGCAAAAUCAUAACCAACCAGAUACUGAGAGAUACGUAUAUCUAUGCAGCCUCUUUAAAAUGUUAGCAUCAUUGUGUUCAUAUUUAUUUAGUAUUAUUGAUCAAAUAUCUUAACUUUUAACUUUUAUGUUGGACCUAUUUCAUACUUAUAAAAUUGGUUUAUAAGAUGAGAAUCUAUAAAUUAUUAUAAAAUUUUAUCUUUUAUUUAUAUAAAUUUUUUUUUAUACAUCCUCUUACGUCCAACAUAUUUUUUUAUAAAUUAUUAUAGAAUUUUAUCUUUUAUUUAUGUGAAAUUUGAAUUUUUCUCAAUAUAUUUUAUUAUAUUCAGUACUUUUGAGUUUGACGCGUGUGUAUAUAAAUAACAGAUAACUUAAUCGAAUUGGUUCUGAUAUUAUUCUGAAUUUUAUAUUAGACUUAAUUCAUUUACAAAAUCAAUUUAUAAAGUGAAUGAUACGCCUCUUUAUAAAUUAUUAUAAAGCUGUAUUCGAUUUGAAUAUCUAAUUUUUGGAUUAUAUGGAAAUAUAAAGAUAUCCCUUUUUCACGCUAAAAAUGUGAAUUUCUUGACAAGAGUAUAAAACAAGAUUUGAUAGAUUGUACACUUAUAUUUCUUUAUAAUAAAAAAUCAUCAUAGAUUAUCACAUAGCAUUAUUAUUAAUAUUGUGAAACAGGGGAUCCCCAUUAUUUAAUAAUUUUAAUAUUUUUAAAUCAAGAAUCCAUAGAUCAUGAUCUUGUUAUGCAAAUAUUUAAUUAACUGAUGGUUUAAUGAUGAUGCAGAUGGUCAGCUAUUGCAGCAAGAUUACCAGGCCGCACAGACAACGAGAUAAAAAACAUUUGGCACACCCACUUGAAGAAAAGGCUGCCACAAGCCCAUAACAACAUCCCAAAGAAAAACAAAAAACAAACCAAGUUGGACUUUGAUUUGGACGCCUCCAAAUCAGACCAAGACACCAAACAAGAACAAAAUAAUCACGAUGACGAUUAUAGGCCACAAUGUUCUAGUGACAUGUCCUCCCAUAAUAAUAAUAGUAGCAUUGCUACUAAUAAUAAUCAUGACGUGUUCAUAAAUAAUAACGAUGGUGUUGAUUCGGCACAAAAUAAUCUUGCAUUGGAUGAAGAUUUUUGGUCGGAAGUGUUGUCAUCUGAUAAUUCUAAUACUGAGACAAGUGGUCUUUUGGAUAACAUAAUUGGUGCUGAAGAUUCAUUCUCUUCCAUAGGGACUGAAGAAGGAGUCUUUAAUUUUAGUAAUUCAUUGAAUAUAUGUGAAGAAGACAUGGACUUUUGGCACGAUGUUUAUGCGAGAGCUGAGGAAAUAACGCUAGAAUUAUAAUCAACUUAACUAUCAUUGUUAUUCUUAAAUAGUAUUGUAACUUAUGUGUUCAUCCAAUGGAACACAAAUCAUGUUUUUGUUUCAUUGUUAAGAGUUACAUCAAUUUUAUUGAUUCAACUCUAUUGAGGAGGGGUUUGUAUUUCCUGAGAUAUGUUUGAGAGGUCGAUUUUGGAGGAUAAGGAAAAAUUUAUUUAUUUUUCCAAAAUUAGACAAACUGUUAAAUAUUUUUAAAAAUAAAAAAAAAAGUGAUUGGAAUGAUAUAUGAUUGUAUAUCAUGUUAUUCUUUUAAUUUUUUUCUAAAAUUAUUAUUAUUAGUAUUACUGUAAUUAUUGUUAUUAUUAUUAUCAUUAGGAUGAUUAUUUUAGUUUUCUACGUGACUUAGACAUGUAUUGUCUCAUUUAUAGUUAGUUAUAAUUGCUUCUAUUUAUACACGAAACUAACUACUCUUUGUAUGUAUGUAUAAUUUGAAUUAAUGCAAUUUUAGACUUCGAAUUCUCUCAUUUACGAAUUAUUUAAUAUCAGUGUCAGGGUCCAUUUACCCAUUCCAUUUUGUUGUAUUAUAAUAGUCAAUCUUUAUGUUACAUAACAACAAAAACACGCUUUUAAGAAAACACAAAAUAUAUUGAAAUCGAUCAACAUAUUGUCCGUCAAAAGUUGCAAACUGAUUUCAUUUAUUUGUUUCCUUUUUCAAUUAUAUUCAACUUGUUGAUUUAUUGACGAAGCCUUUGAUAAUAUGCAACCAUUUAAAGAUUUGGUUUUGAAGUUGGGUGUUUGAGCUAUUUAUAUUGUAUCAAGGGCAAGAGAAGUGGGGUAUCUAGACUAAGAAGAGUAAAGACGAGUGAUAUCGAAAAAUGGACAAAUAAAAUAGAAAAAUAUUAGAAUUUUUAUUUUAAAAAAAAAGUACUAAAAACACAUUUUUUAACACACAUAUUUAUUGGUUUAAAUUUAAAUAAGAACCCCUAAAUUAUGUAGAUCUUAGUAGGAGUCAUGAAAUUUAAAUCAAUAAGAAGAAUUGUGUUGAGAAUGUGUGUUAAACAUAGUAUGUUAAUAGCAUUUUUAUUUUUUAAGAGUAGUAGAGGUUUUGAGUAGAAAAUCAAGGGCUGUGGAUAGCAUCACCCUAAAAAAGGCUUGAGUAAUACAUUCGGGCUUCUGGAAAAGCCCAAUAUAAUUCUGACUCAAGCGUAUCAAUGGGCCUUAUACGGCAACACACAUCGAAACGCAGUCGUUUAAGAAGGAAAAAAAAGAUAUCACCGCCUUUAUUAUCAUCAUAACUAACAUUAGCAUUAAGAUUGCAUAGACAAAAGGGUAUAAAUUGCAGUGACCUGAUACAAAUCAGAGUGAAUCUGUUUCUCCAUCUUGGUUUCAAUAUUUAAUUUUAACAAGUGUUAUCUCAACAUGGCAACAGCUUCAGGUAUACCUCUUUUUCUCCAAUUCAAUUUUGAUGGUUUUUUUUAAGAAUUAUAAUUCUUUUAGGUUUAGGUUAUUAAUCCCGUUUUAUAUCAUUCGAUUAUUGUUUUUGGAGUAAUUUUUUUGUAAAUCUCUCUAUAGACCAAAUGUUCACAUGCUAAUAUGCUAUGAAUGCAAAUUUUUGUUCCGAUUGGGCUUUUCUUUCUCCUUUUUCCCAUGGGAAGUUGCUGUUGUUUUAUUCAAUUAUAUCCAGAUAAUUAUUCAGGUCGAAAUCAUACAUAGACUUCAAUUGGUAGCUAUUACUCAAAUACUAAAUUUGUUUCAUUAGUAGGUAUAAUACGAGGCCCGGUAAUCCUGGCAGGGUCUUGAAAAUGUGAAUAAUAUAAUUUUGUUUUAUUUUAUUUUAUUUUUGUAAAAAUUGGGCCAGCGAUCAUGGAUUUAAAACUCGUUGCAUCCUUGUUUCAUGAGUUGCUUUUGCUUCUUUUUAAUUAUAAUAAUUUAAAUCUGAUUAUGGACUUCCCAAUUUUCCUUGUGUUGUGCCUUAAUUAGACGGUUUCUACAUGUUUAUUAAACUUCUACGGGUUGAAUUGCAGUGGCAUUCAAGUCCAGGGAGGAUCAUCGAAAACAGAUUGAACUUGAGGAAGCACGUAAAGCCGGGCUUGCGCCUGCUGAGCUUGAUGAAGAUGGGAAGGAAAUUAAUCCCCAUAUUCCUCAGUAUAUGUCAUCUGCACCUUGGUAUCUUAAUGCUGAGAGACCUGUAAGUUUUGCCUUCCCCUACCUCUAAUUUUUCUUUAUUAGUUUUUGAGAUGCAUAUAAAAUUUUUAGCUAUAUUUGACAUCUAAAAGUCAACUUAUUCUUAUGAUUAUUUUUCCUUCUAUUGUAGAGUUUGAAACAUCAAAGGAAAUGGAAAUCUGAUCCCAAUUACACCAAAUCAUGGUAUGAUAGAGGUGCUAAAACUUUUCAGGCCAGCAAGUACAGGAAAGGUGCAUGUGAGAAGUAAGUUAUUCAUUCAGUAUUUCUCAAGGCAUGUGUAUGUGUAUGUGUGUGUUUGCUGGGCCUCCAAAUAUGAUGGAUGAUUCUUGUCUAUCAACUUAAUAAGAAAAUGAAAUUUAGUAUUUGGCUACAUUUGUCUUGGAUCAUCCUUUAAUUUUGUUUCCCCCUGUGUUUGUGUCUUGUCUCAAUAGAUGUCAAACUCUCGAGCUAGCUCUUAUAAGUUUAUGAAAAAUGCGUUACCUUGCAUGUAGACACCGUCAAGCUAAUACAAGUGAACCCACACAAAAUCUUUUUACUAAAUUCGUCUAGUUAGUUUACAAGCUUGGAUGAAUGCAUGGUUUUGGUGACAAAACUAGCAUGUAAACACUGUCAAACUAAUACAAGUUCGAUAACCUUGCUUGUCUCUACUUAUAUUUAGAUUGCUAUUAUCUCUUACAAGUUUAGGUUAGUACUUUAAUAUUCAUCUUCAUUUUAUAGCUGUGGAGCUAUGACACACAAUUCCAAGGCAUGCAUGGAAAGACCCCGAAAAGUAGGAGCAAAGCAUACAAACAAACAUAUUGCUGCUGAUGAGAAGAUAGAAACUAUUGAGCUUGACUAUGAUGGCAAACGGGACAGAUGGAAUGGGUAUGAUCCAUCUACAUUUGCCCGAGUCAUUGAGAGAUAUGAAGCCAGAGAUGAUGCUCGAAAGAAGUACUUGAAUGAACAACAGCUGAAGAAAUUGGAGAAGAGCGACCAAAAUGAUGAGGGUGCUGCCAUUGAUGAGGCUAUAGAAGAUGAUGAUUUAAGGGUAGAUGAGGCGAAGGUUGAUGAAAGCAAACAAAUGGACUUUGCCAAGGUUGAGAAGCGUGUGCGAACAACAGGCGGUGGGAGUACAGGAACUGUGAGGUAAUUUUUAUGUUGCUAUCAUUGUUAAAAUGCAAGGCCAAGUUUAUUGGUCCCAUAUUUACGAUUUUCAAUUCUAUUAUUUUUGUUACAUGGAACUGUGAGGUAAUUUAUAUGAUGCUAUCAUUGUUAAAAUUCAAGGCAAAGUCGAUUGGUCCCAUAUUUACGAUUAUCAAAUUAUAUUAUUUUUGUUUUAUGGAUUCUAACUGAAAUAACUUUACCUUCAGGAACUUACGUAUUCGAGAGGAUACAGCAAAAUAUCUUCUCAAUCUUGAUGUCAAUUCUGCACAUUAUGAUCCCAAGACCAGGUCCAUGCGUGAAGAUCCUCUUCCAGAUGCAGAUCCAAAUGAAAAGUUUUACGAGGUAACUUGUCUCAAAGAAUAAUUGUUUUUAUGAACUUCAUGAUUUGUUUUUUUUUAUUGCUUUUUCAUAUUAAUCUUGUAUUUGGGUUAAAAUUAGUUUUUGUGCUGUAGGGUGAUAACCAAUAUAGAAAUAGUGGUCAAGCUUUGGAGUUCAAGGAAUUAAACAUCCAUGCUUGGGAAGCAUUUGACAAGGGACAAGAUGUUCACAUGCAAGCAGCUCCUUCCCAAGCUGAAUUGCUCUAUAAGAAUUUCAAGGUCAUGAAGGAGAAAUUGAAGUCUCAUACGAAGGAAACUAUUAUUGAGAAGUAUGGCAAUGCAGCUGAUGAGGACAAACUUCCAAGAGAACUUCUGCUAGGUCAGAGUGAGAGGCAAGUUGAGUAUGAUCGUGCUGGUAGAAUUAUUAAAGGACAGGUAAGGCAUGCAUUCUAUAUCUUUGUUGUCCCACAAUUUCAAGUUGCAGAUCAAUUUUACAUACAAUGCUUCUGUGAUAUAUAGCUGGGCUUUAUAUGUGAUCUGUUAAUUUUCUCAGGGCUCCAUAAUUGGUUUUUGUUCAUCUCUAAGGAUUAUUCUUUUAGGUUGUUGUUGUUUUUUUGGAUGAUAAUAAUUAUUUAUCUGUUGCUUUUAACAGGAAGCUGCAAUCCCCAGAAGCAAGUAUGAAGAAGAUGUUUACAUUAACAACCACACAACUGUUUGGGGUUCAUGGUGGAAGGAUCACCAAUGGGGUUUUAAGUGCUGCAAACAGACAAUACGUAACAGCUAUUGCACUGGUGCUGCUGGUAUUGAGGCCGCCGAGGCUGCAAAUGAUCUCAUGAGAGCUAAUAUUGCCCGUAAGGAGGCUGCUGCAGGUUUGUACUCUGAUCCCAUAUCUCUGUUGCUCCUUUUCCUUAUUCUCUUCCUUUUGUUGUUAUUAAUUUCGUAUAUGUUUGGUAAUUGCUUGGUGGUAGUUUGCAUCUUGUAUUCUUGUUAUUAAUCAUUAUUUUCUUGAAUCCAUUCAGAGGAUCCUGCACCAGCGGAAGAGAAAAGGCUUGCUACAUGGGGAACUGAUGUCCCAGAUGACCUAGUUCUGGAUGAAAAAUUGCUUGCUGACGCACUCAAAAAGGUAAUAUAAAUCUAUCAGCCAUAUAUUUAUUUACUCUUCCAUAUUCCUUGAUAUGAGUUAGUUACCUCCUGUGAAUAUAUAUUGUUACGCUUCAAUAUUCCUUGAUAUCUGUUUUUUUCUUCUUAUUCCACCUCCUGUGAAAGUCGAACUAAUUAUUAUUUUAUGCCGAUAACUCUGUCAACCUCUAUGACCAAGAUGUAGACACAUUGGCUCAAACUAAAUAUUGCAUGUUAUUUGUAGAAACGAAGAUGGUAGGGUUUAGCUAGACUACGUAUGUUCUUUUUUUAGAAUAAAAUAAUUUAUUCUGGAUUUUCAUGCGUCUGUGUGUUGUAAUGAUGAGGUAUGAUCAAAGAAAGAGAGAAGUAACAAAAAUUACUCUGGUAUUUUACAGGAGGAUCAAAGAAAGAGGGAAGAGAAAGAUGAGCGGAAGCGUAAAUAUAAUGUUAGAUGGAAUGAUGAGGUAUAAUUUUUUUUCAAGUCACCCGGUUGAGAAUUUUAUUUGUAUACAUGCCGUCGUUGCAGAUUUUGAAAUCAAUUUGGUGUGAACAGGUUACCGCAGAGGACAUGGAGGCAUACAGGAUGAAGAAAGUACAUCAUGAUGACCCAAUGAAUAGUUUCAUGAACUAAGCUUGGAGAGGGCAAAAAGGCCUGUCUGCGUUCAUUUUGAUACAAGGCCACAAGCCUUUCUGUUGUUUUCUCGCUGCCAGAAGGAUUGCACAGAAUGAAUGAUUAGUGACAUAGAGGAGCGGAGUUGAAAUCGAUAUUUGAACAGCUUUGUAUCUUGUUACUAUGGUGUUAUUUAGCUUUUGGAACACAAGGGUGUUUUAAUGACUCAAUAGCAUCUCUUUUUUAUGUAUGAACUUCCAACAUCACAUGUAUGAACAUGUCUUAUGAUGUUUUUGAGAGAUGUUAGGGCCACUAGGGCAGAUGGUUUACCAGUGUAAGUAUAUAUCCUAGUAGUUUCGACUAUGUUUUCUGGCUCAGUUAUGUUCUUAAAGAAUGGUCCACUAGCUGUUGUGUCAUGGAUCAUAGAACAAGAUGCAGUUGUGCCGAUCCCUCAAUUGCAUCAAACAUCAAACAUUAAUUAUUAGUAACUUGUGUUCCUAACUCCAUGUUGUUUUGAUGCAAGUUCCGAAUAGGGGUGUUUUUUGAGAAAAUAAGCUUUAUCACCGUAGCCCGUGGCAAUCCUUGAUGUUUUUAUUUAUUUAUUUUUAUAAUUUUUAUAAUUUUUUUUCUUCUUUUUAUGGAGUUUGGAAUUAUUACACACCUUCUCUAUUCCAUUAAAUGUUAUUAUUAAUUAUAAGAAUUGGAAAAUGAUGAACAAAAUUGACAUUAUAAAAUAGCCAUACAAACUACUUGUUAAUAAUCCACAAGACCUAUAAUACUAAGACCAGUUUUCUUUAUAUCUAAACAAACAAGAAAGAUUUUGUUUCUUGCUUUCUUCUUACGCCUCAUUCAACCUUAUUAUACAACAACAGAAAAAUAACACGUACUACAAAUUUCUGGCUAACAUCUCUUGUGCAGCCAUCUGUUGUCUAAACCUGAUAAUGAACUCCUCUGCUCGUUCAUCAAUUCCUUGCAUUUGAGGUGAGCCUAAUGCCACUGACUCCCACAUAUCAUCUGAUGUGCAUGUUUUGUCACAUCCCUUGCUUGUUCCUUCUGUUACUUUUUUUGCAACCUUUUCAAUUCGUGGUUGGCAAAACUCUAUCUGUGGCUUCAAAUACCCUACUAAGUCACAGGGAGGAUCCUUGAAGAGCUUAUCAAUAUAAACAGGUGCAGGCUUUUUGUGGAAACUGUUGAAUACACUUCUAACUGUUGCUAACCUUUUGCAGCGAAAACGUUUAGUAGCAACGAACUUAGGUGCCUUUGCGGUGAUACGGGUAGUAGAUGGUGUUAUUGUAGUGGUGUAGAUGUUUAGUUUCUUUCUGUGUUUUUUCAUGGGUUUGGAUCUACGAAUGUUAUGAAGUUUACCAAGUUUUGAAGUAAUGCUCUUCCAUACCUUUCUAGCAGGUGGAAAUCUUAGACUUAUGCAGGAGGACAUGGAAUGAUUGAAGAAUAAAAAAGAAAGCAAGAGUUCAAUACAAUUCAAAGAAAUGGAUGAUUAUAUGUUUUUAAGAUAAAACUCAAGUGGCAGAGGAAACUUUGGUGCAUCCUUUAUAACAACUGAGUUGAGGGGUUAGAUUCGUUUUUCAAAUGGGUGUGUUGUUAUUCCAUUUCAUAGUGGCUUAGUUAUAACGCUAGGUGCAGUGAAAGGGCUGCUAAAUUCUCCACCACACCAGCACAACAGCAAUGAACUAGCUUAAUUAUUAAGCAAACAAAAUAUUACUACUAGUAUGAUGUAGUUGUGUGUGAAACGAUGUAGCAGUACCGAUAUAUACUUUUCCACUAAAUAUAAACUGAGAUUCUGCGUGUACAAUUUGCAACUAUAUUGGGCAGAAUAUUUUUAGAUAAAGAAAUUUCGACAAUAGUAUAUGUUACUGGACACGGUUAUGUUUAUUUAUGUUAUCUCUCUUCCAAUAAUGUUUUUUAUAGCAAAAUCAUUUCGUUAGUCAUAAUGUGUCUAAUAAUACAUUCUGAAUCAUCAACAAUUAUCUACUCCACGGCGUCUCAUCUGAGUUGCCCAUAAUUCUUAAUAAAAUGAUUAAUUAUAUUGAUUUUAAUAAUUAAAUAUAUUUCAAUUACUAAAAUUAUUUUAUUAAUAGUAGUUAACGAUGUAUUUAAAUGAUUUAUAUUCACUAUGCAUAUUCUAUUUUUCUUUUUAAAAUCAAAUUUUUUAUUCCUCCAAAUUUUGAUCUCAACCUAAUUUUAUAAGCAAAAAAAGAUGUGACAUUUUGAAAUGGUAUUAUAUAAAAACAUGUUGACGUAGCUGCUUAUAAAAUAAUAACAAAAAUAUGUUAAAAAAAUUAGAAUAAUUUACAAAAAUGUUUAUUAUUUUUGUAAUUUCAUAACUUCAGUUUUUUUAAUUCAUCUAUAAUUUCUAAAUAUAUGUUUGUUAUUUUUAUUAUUUUUAAAUACAUUAUUUUAAUGUUGAUAAAGGGGAUAGAUAUAAAACCACUUGUACUUUGCCACCUCAACAAGUCAUGUAUUUUAAAAACAUGUAUUUGUCACUAUUUUUAGUAUUUUGCCACCUCAACAAGUCAUGUAUUUUAAAAACAUGUUUCAAAUCAAAAUUGUAACAAAUGUAAUAUUUGAGGGACUAAAAAGUUUUAUAUUGAUUAAGAUGUACUAUUUUUGUGAACGUGAGAAUCCAAACCACAUCGGAUAAGUUUCCUUUAUUGAAUAUAAUUUUUUUCAAGAUGAAUUUGACAGUAAAUAUAAGUAUUUCUCUUAAAUGAAAUUUGAAUCUUAGUUUUGGUAAAGAGUUAAGUCGCAUCCCUCAAAAGUGUAUGGGGUUCAAGUGUUGCUUCUUGUUGCUAAUUUGUAAGUACCAUAUUAGAUAAUUUGACUAAAUACUAAUUUCGUUUAGCUUCCAAUUCCAAGUCUAGAAAGAAAAAGUACACGAGUGAAAAGAAAGAAAAAGAAAAUGAAAGAUUAAUAGAAAAAGUAAUUAAUAAUUUCGAGUACUUGAUAGUUGAUACGACCAUAUUUCCAAAUCAACAUCACAUAGCAGUGAUUCCCAUUCCCAUUAAAAAAAGAGCAUAAGAUAAUAUGAAUAGAUAAAAUAAAUAAAAAAUUAGGAACAAGCAUGAUUAGCCAAAGAGAAAAGUUUGGCUUGAGAAAGAGCAGCGAGGUCGGAAACAAAUGCUUUGAUGACCAAAGUCUUAACCUGCCAAGGCUUAAAAGGAAAACCUUUUCUUGCAUACGAGUUUAACAGUGCCGCUGUUCCUUCUUUCAACAACCCUCCGAAAGGGUUAUCCACUUCAUCAUUCCUAGCCGUUGCUUCAAGUAACGUCAGAUCUGAUCUGUACCGUUCGUACACUCUCCAUCCAAACACAUUGGAUACCGUUGAUGUUUCUGGUACCAUCCUUGGCCAUGUCUCUUUUCUACCGCUCCAGAACCUAACAUAACAUCAACAUUUAAUUGGUUUUAUUACAAUAACAAUAUAUUGAGAAGAAAACAAAAAAGGCGUGUUGAAAUAGUUACUGUGGAGUGCAUGUUCCUGUGGAUCUUGUGUAGAUGAAGCCUGGCCAAUGGUGAGCUGAUGAGACUACUGAUAAUAAAAGAAGACAAAACACAAGUGUGGUGGUUGAUAUUGAGAUUGAGAGGGAACACAUUUUCUACUUGCUAAAUGUUCAUUUCUUCUAAUUUGGUUUAUGCCACUUUCAACGUUACAAUUGCUUGCAGUUGUACUAUACUUUCUUGGGACAUGUGAAUGUGAAUGUGCUUUCGACAAACUUACCCCUACUUGCUUUACUUGUACUAUUUUUCUUUCUAUCCGUUUUCAAUAUUCAAUUUCAAAUUUUGAACUAAUUCAAUUAGGGUUAUUCUUAUUCUACAAACAACUUUAAAGUUUCAUAUCCUCGCACUAUUUAUAAACUAAACCAAAAAUCAUCAAAUUUUGUUAUUAUUUUUUAAAAAAUAUUAACUAUUUUUUAAUCAUUUAAUUUAUAAAUAUUUAACGUGGUCAGUUGAAUAUUUCUUCCAGUCUUAUUUAUAAAUAAAAAAUAAAAAACAAAAUCACAUAGAACAUAGAACAUUUUCAAAUAAGUUAAUGUAAAUUUAACUUAGUCUUUAUAAUAUAAAAUUCUAAAAAUUAGUUGUUAACUGAUUUUUUUUAAUAAAUUUUAUAAUUUGUAAAAGUAAUUAUUUUUAUAAUAAUGACUAAAUGAAGUAUAAGAGAAAUGACUUAUAUAGUAAAUGUUUUGAGAUUUUAAAUCAUUCAAGAUUUUGAUUUUGAAUGAAAAUAUAAUGGAAAAAUAUGCUUCGAGAUUUUGAAUGUUUCAAGAUUUUGAUUUUGAAUGAAUAUAUAAUGUAAAAAUGUUUUGAUGGUUGUAACAUGGCAUAUUACUUUUAGAAUUGCCAUUUGCCAUCGUUUCCAAAUCCAACACAAAUUCUUUCAUCAAUUUUUGUUCUCAUUCAGAUGCUUUCUAAGAAAAUUCCCAAAGGUAACUCAUGUCACGAGUUUUUCAAAUCAAACGCACAUAAUUAUACAGUUCUUACGUUACAAGUUAAAAAUAGACUCUUAAUAAGAAGGGUGCUAAAUUACACUGGACUAAUUGGGUAAGGACAAAAUGUGGGCUCACCCUAGCCCAUCGGGCCGAUUGGGUAAGGCCUAAAUAACUUGAACAUAUUUAUCUGCAAUUGGAGAGCUCAAGUCAGCCUAAAACACUGGCAUUACACAUUUACACUAGGGUGACAUCUCUGCUUAUACUAGCUCCAUUCUCAAAUAUUGAAUCCUCGUGAAAAGCUUUUAUCCCUUUUUAAAAAAUUAUUUUCAAAUUUUAAAAGGACAUUUAUCAUUUAUUUGUUAAAAUAUUCUUAAUCUUAAUUGUUUUAUCUCCAGGAAGUGAACAAAAAUAGAAGUAUCAAUCCUUAGCAAAUCAAUAAGCUAAAAAAAUUAUAAAAUUAAAGGUUUAAUUAUUGAUUUUCCAAUUUUCUCCUAUUUUUAAAAUUGAUUUCCUAUUUAAAAUUAUUCAAUUUUAGUCGGAUUAUGAAUUAAAAAUAAUUAUAUAAUAUAUUUAAAACAACGUAAAAUAUAAUUUAUGAUUUUAAAUGAUAAAUACUUACAAUAUUAUUAAAAAAAAUCCUAUAAAUUUUUUACUUAACUUCAAAAAUAUUUAUGUCUAAAUAUUUGAGAAAUUAACCAAACUUAAGAGAUUUACAUCCAAAUAUUUGAGAAAUUAACUAAAAUUAAGAGAUUUUAAAAUAUUAAUUUAAUUUCAAGAAUAACAGAGUUGGAAUGGACCAAUUUAACAGGGCAUUAUGUCCAAAUGUAACUUAAUACUUUUAUUUUAUUUAUAAAAUACUGUUGUUAUUACUUAGGAAAUCUGUUAAAUUGCAUAUACCACUAUUUUCUUUUACGACAAAAAAAAGAAAAAGUAGUCCUUUAUUUGAAAGGUUAUGCGAGAUUACAGCAUGGCUAUAUAACCAUCCUGGAUUCUAGAAUCAGGAGUAGCCAAAACACCCUCGUUACGAUUAUUCUUCAGCGCAAUAACUUCCUCUGGACUAAGCCCAAAAGCAUUAGCAAGAACCUCCCCUGGUGUUGCACUAAUUGCCGAAUUACGCCCUAUCAUUGUACUUAUUUCAGCUCUAUCAUUCGUUUUAAAAGCUACGUAUUCCAUUCCCUCAUUCCCCGCUUGUUUUGCCACCGCAAAGUUUUGUGGCACCACCAACAAUUGACCUCUUCCUACCUCUCCAUUGAACACCGAUUUCCCUUCGUUAUUUACCACUUGAACCCUCCCUUUCCCUCUCGUUACGUACAUCACACCGUUCGAAUUCAUGUUCCAAUGCGGCACAAAUAUACCAUCCUGCACAUUACCAACAAAUUCAAUUAUAAAUAAAUUAAAAUGUUAUUAUUUAAAAUUUGUUAGUUACUCUAACUACCUUGUAAAGGUUAACCCAUUGGGCACUAAGAUGGAGAGAUUUAAGAACUGGGAGAGUCAAACUGUUGGCUGUGGUUAUACGACCGGCUCUUGGGUUAAAAACGUCGGCGCGUGAAGGAUCCGCGAUAUUUUCGUGAAGCUUCAAAGUGCAAACGGUUUCUUCAAGUGAAUUAUCUUUUUGCCCCUCGCGUUCUCUCGUUGUUGUUCUUGUUUGUUUCUCUUCUCUUUCACCAUGGCGACGACGCUNNNNNNNNNNNNNNNNNNNNNNNNNNNNNNNNNNNNNNNNNNNNNNNNNNNNNNNNNNNNNNNNNNNNNNNNNNNNNNNNNNNNNNNNNNNNNNNNNNNNNNNNNNNNNNNNNNNNNNNNNNNNNNNNNNNNNNNNNNNNNNNNNNNNNNNNNNNNNNNNNNNNNNNNNNNNNNNNNNNNNNNNNNNNNNNNNNNNNNNNNNNNNNNNNNNNNNNNNNNNNNNNNNNNNNNNNNNNNNNNNNNNNNNNNNNNNNNNNNNNNNNNNNNACGCUCUUUAGUUUUUGUUUCUUUCUCCUCUACCACUUCCUCUUCUUCUCCUUCACAUCCACCUUCACCUUCUCCUUCUCCGUGUGUUCUUCUCUCUCUUCGCCAUUCACGAUGUUCUCGUUUACAAGGUUCAUCUUCCACUUCUUCCUCUCUUUCUUCUACUCUCUUUUCUGUAUGCCUUCGGUGUGUUUCCUCCUCUUCUGAUCUGAUUUCUGGCUCUAACGGUGGCCUAAUAAUGCUGAGACCUCCUUUCACUUCAAUGAUUUGGUGCUUCCUGUGUUUAUCUGGAGACUGAAGUUUCCUAAUGAUGCUUUCUUUCACUUUCAAAACUUGUCCUAAGAAUCUUGAAUCAAAGCCACUAAACAUGUUGUUACUUUCUUCUUCUUCUUCUUCUUGACCGCGUUUUCUUCCACUCUGUUUCUCUGUUUCUGGAUUUCCAGCAAGAUAGAAUCUCUGCACUCACCACAGGAACAAAUGAAUUAAUCGUGAUAAUAGUGUAAUAUAAGAUAAUGAUUAUGAUUGUUUGAUGAGGAAUUACAGUGGGGGUUCGGUCGAGUUGGUUUAGAGGGUUGGAGGUGUCUAGGAGAGUAAUAAUAAUGAGAGGGGUAUUUCCGUAAUUGUAGGUCCAGUAAGGAACUCCUGGUGGAAUAGCGAUAAGGUCACCCUGCUUCACGUAACGAACUUUCUGGUGACGGUCCUGUUGUAGUUGUGGCCUUCCUCUUCUCUCCCACUGUGGCUCUUCGUAUGUCUCCGCACAACCAGGAAUUGCCAUUCCUAACACUCCCGUUCCUGUGCUUACAUCAUACAUGCAUCUCAAAUUCUUAUUCUUAUUCUUAAUCAUUAAAAAUGCUCAAAACUGAUAUUUAGUAUUGUUAAGAACGGUCUAAUUACACUAAAGAGUACUAGUGCGCCCGAAAAUACUAAGUUAUAAUAAAUUGGAUGCAUUUUGAAUAGAUUGAAAGAGUUGAUGACAAAAUAUAGCUUCACCUUGUUCUACGAAAUGAAGUUCAGGAUAUGUAACGUAAGAUGGCAGGUGAAGGCCAUUGGCAUUGAUAGUGCGCUUGAGAACAGAAACACCAGCGCAGCGUAGCUCGGGGUGGUUGGCGUCCCAUAUCUCAGUCAAUCCAGCUUCGGACUCGAUGCGGUUGUCGGGUUCCAAUGCAUCUAUGCUAUCGAGUUGGCACUCGUUGAACUCGCUUUGCUGGCGUGGCAACUGGCGUGAUGAACAGCCGCACGUGAAGAGCAACAAGCAAAAAAGAGAGAAAAAGUAGUGAAGGAUAUGGGGAUUUGGCUUUGCCAUGUUAAUGUUAGCGGGAACUGAGUCAUGUGGAUAUAUUAGUACGUGAUGAUGAUUUAUAGAAAUGGAGAGAAGCUUCAACGAUGAACACGUCACUCAAUGUGAGUUCGUGAGAUGUGGACAUUCUUCGCCAUGCAUGCUUAUCAAACCCUUAAAUCUUACACCUCAUCAUGCUUUAUUGCCACACAGCGGCGCUAUUUUUACAUAGAAACGAAGAAAAAACUAUUACUCUUCAAACACCUAAUAGAUUUUUUUGAAAGAAAAAGUACUCAGUAAUAUACGUUAGUUAAUAAUGUCAUAGAAAGGAAAUAAAGUGUUAAAUAAGAAUAGAGAAAUUGUAGGAUACAAGUAUAAAAGCCAAAGAAAAAAAAAAUACUCGUAUGGUCUUUUGUUUCACAAUUAGUUGCAAUGUUAGUUUUUAAAUCUUAAAUUAUAUUGUUUGCUAUCUUUUUUAAAUUUUUGUUUAAACCUAUUAAAAAAAUAGUUAAAGACAUAGGUAACAAGGAUCUUAAGAUAAUGAAUUGCACUAGAGGUGUCGAGAUGAUAAAUCUAAAUUAUUACUAUAUCUGUCUCAAAAUAAUUAAUUAUUUAAUUAUUAUAUACACAUUAAAAAAUUAUAUAAAUAAAAUAGAGAAUAUUAUUUUUAUUAAAUAAUUUUAAUUAUAUAUUGAUAUAUUGUCAAUGUAAUAAAUGUAUUAUAAAAAUAUUGCAUUAAAAAUUAUAUAAAUUUUAUUAAUUUAAGAGUACAAUUGAAAAAAUGUAUUACAAAUUAAAAACGUAAAAUGUUUUUGGAUAAUUUUUUUAUGAGUAGGUCAAUUAUUGUGAAAUGAAUGAAAUAAUUAAAGUGAAAAAGAAUAAUUUAAAUAACAUAAAAAAUAAUUAAAUUAAAUUUAGAGAUUAUAUAUAUAAUUUUACCUGAAAAUUAAAAUGUUUAAUAUUUUUUCUCUUAGUCGUUAUCCUCGUCAACUAAAAAAUUAAAUUUAAAAAAAUUGAAAGAAAUUUCACGUUCUUCAAACCCAAUUCUUCAAUAACUUCAUUUUCUUCUUCAUUUAUAAUCUAUGUUGGUAGUUUUGUUGAAAGUGUACAUUUACUUCACACAACAUGUAUAUUUUGAGAUUUAAAGAAUAACAUUAUAAAUAGAAUAUAAAGUAAAAGAGCAAAUCGAAAGAAAAUAAUAAUAAUUAAAAAUUCUAAAAUUAAAUUAAAAUUAAAGGACUAUAGAUAUGUUUUUUGUUUUAUUAUCUGAUAUUGUAUCUAACGAAACUCUAAAAUACCAAAGAAUUCAAAAAUAAAAAUAUUAGCUACCUUUUGAGUGAACAGUAAUUAAAUAACUGCACGAGCGAAUGAAUAAAUUACACUUUAAUAUAUUAAGCAUAUCUUAUAAAUAUUUUAUAGGAAAAAUUUCAGCCAUCUCCCUAGGAUUUUUUGUUAAGCAUAUCUUAUAAAUGUUAAGGGAAGGUUACUAAACUCUUAUAUUAAGCAUAUCUUAUAAAUGUUAAGGGAAGGUUACUAUAUCAAAUUAGAUGAUGUUAGUAACAUUUUGAUAUAUGCUAGGGGAGAUUAGUGUAAUCUGCCUUAUUAUGACUGUGAAGUCUAACCUUAGAAGAAAGCUAUGAAGUCAAGAAUCCGCAUUAAAGACAUUUUAAAUAUUUACAACAUUGUCAUCGCCGUAUUGUUACAGAGACAACCGACUUGGCCUUGUUUCGAAUUUCUUCCAUUUACAUACUUACCAAAUGGGCAACAAAAACGUAGUCAAUCACAACUUCAGUUUUUCCUUUUUGUUUUUCAAAAGAGGAAUGAAAAAGAAAUUCUAACAGAACAUUGCAUGAUGAAAACAAAGUUGACAGAAAAUUUUAAAGCAUUGGGAUUAAUUUAAGUCUUACUUUAUUCACGUCCAAAAAAAGGUUGGUGACUCAGAUUGAGUACUUAUACAUAAUUUUGCAAUUACCAAAAGGCAUCUAAGCCUUUGUUUUUAUUCAUUAUUAUUACCAACUGAUGUGGGAUACAUGUCUCACAAGGAUAAAGGCUUGGAAGCCAUGAUUGUUUCUAAGCUGCAGCUUUGUUUUCAGACUCACGAGGGGGAACUAGAAAUGUGAAGGGAUUGCUGGACUUGAGCUUCCUGGCCUCAUUCCUUUCCAUGUUGAAUGUAGCUGCAAUAACAUCUUCUGGGAUACUACUUAACGAAGAGGUUGCCCCUACAAGCUUGCCAAUAGCUGCUCUGUCAUUGGUCUUAAAUGCUACGUAUGAGAACCUGUCACUCAUUGAUUUUGCAGCUACAGCAAAGUUUUGUGGCACUAUCAAUGCCCGACCUGCUUCUAGUUCCCCGUCGAACACAUUGUUGCCAUUGCAGUUCACAACUUGUAAUCUUGCACGUCCCUUCAAUGCGUAAAGUAUGCUGUUUGCAUUGAGGUUGUAGUGAGGCACAAACAUAGCAUUCUGUUUCAUAUAAAAAGAUGGUUAUAAUAUAACCAUGGACAACAAAUUCAAAGGGAGAAAAUAGAAAUGGCAUACUUUGUGGAGAGAUCCAUGCUCAGCACUGAGUUUGAGCCAUCUGAGAGCUGGGAGGUCAAAGCUGGUAACAGUUUUGAUUCUACCAGCUUGAGGGAUGUAGAUGUCAGGUGAUGAAGAUGAGUCAAUGUUCUGGUGAAGUCUUGCAGUGCAAAUGGUUUCCUCAAACCCAUUGUCUCUUUGGCUUCUGCUUCCACCUCUGCUGUGGCGGCGUGGCUGUCUCUUUUCUUCUUCAUCUUCAUCUUCAUCUUGUCUGCUGUGGCGGCGUGGCCGUCUCUUUUCAUCUUCAUCUUCAUCUUGUCUGCUGUGGCGGUGUGGCUGUCUCUUUUCAUCUUCGUCUUCGUCUUCAUCUUCUUCUUGUCUGCUGCCUCUUUGGUGACGUGGCUGCUUCUCUGAUGGGCUUAUGAAGCUGAGACCUCCUUUAACUUUGACAAUGGCUCCCUUCUCCUCAUCUUCGUCCCUGCCUUGAAGUUUGUCCACUAUAUGCCUGUUCACGUUCAAGGCGUCUUCCAAGAAAUCCCUCCUAAAGCCACUGAAAAUGUUGUUUCCUUCAUUUUCUUGUUCUUCCUUUCGUCCUUCUUGUUGUUGAUAUUGUAGAAACUCUUGUUCUUGGUUCCCAGCAAGGUAGAAUCUCUGUCAAGUAUUGUCAACAAUAAAAAAACAAACAGUUGUCAAUAAGUUAGUGUUAGAUGGCACUUAGAAACUCUCACUUAUGGUAGGUAGGUAGCUGACCCUAGGCAUUUGAUCAAGCUGGUUUUGGAAGCUGCUGGUGUCAAUAAGAGAAACAGCAAUAACUGGAGUGUCUUGGUCAUUGUACAUCCAGAAAACAACACCGGUAGGAACUGCAAUGAUAUCACCCUCUCUGAAACGGUUAACCUUUUGGUGACUGUCUCUGAAUCUGCGGCCCUCUCUUUGUUCAGAUUCCCGUGGCUCCAUAAAGGUCUCAGGACAACCAGGGAAUACCAUGCCAAAAUAUCCAUUACCUGUAACAUGGUAUACAUCAUAAUUAACUACUAUUAGUACUAUAUAACAUUAAUUAGUGGCAUUGUUAAUACUAUGUAACUAAAGAAGUUGGAAAUUAAUGGAAUAAGAUCAAAGAAAGUAACCUUGUUGGAUGAAAAUUUCCUGGGGAGCGUUGGUGUAGAAAGGUCUGCGAAGGGCAUUGCGUUGAAGGGUAGCACGAGAGAGGGCAACACCAGCACAUCGGAAUUGUCUGUUGUUUGGGUUCCAAGUCUCAAUAAGUCCACCUUCUGACUCUAUACGGUUAUCGGGUUCAAGGGCAUUGAGGUGUUCAAGCUGGCACUCAUUUUGCUGAGGCUGUUCUCUAAAAGCAAAACAGCCACCAAAAAGUAGAAAACAAAGUGAAAGAGAGAGCGCAAGAAGCUUAGCCAUUGGAGAGAGAGAAUAAUAUAUUUUGGUUUGUGAUGCGGAAAACCUUAAUAACAACUGUUACUUUAUAGGGAAGAGAGGAGUGUGGAGGAGGGACACGUUAGAGAAGGUGGAUUGUUGAACAUUAGACAUUCUUCAUCUUGCAUGGCUAUGGAAGUCUUGUGCAUUACACCUCAAAAUGUCUCAUACUGCAGGUGGCUUCAUUUCAACAUGUUCCAUAACCAAACAAAAUUAUAAGAGAGCAAGCUUGUUUGUAUAUUGCAAUUGCUUCGCAGCAGCAAAUAGCUUGCUGUAAUUAAUUUUUUUUUCUUCUUCUAUAUGCUGUUUUCUUUAAUUUCACGCAGGUGAUAAUUGAUUGCAUUUGUAGUAUUUAGAUAUAUAUCUACUCGAUUCACUUUUAAGUUAUUGUCCGUACAUUAGUGUUGGAUAUAUAGCACUGAGUUUGACAUGUAAAAAAAAACAGAUGGAUAGAUAUUAUGUAUGUAGCCUUUGAGUGAGAGACAUGUAAUAACAUAUGGAUAUAUAGAUAAUAGAUGUUUACGUGGCUAUUAAAUCAAUAUAUAUCCUAUCCUAAUUACUUACACCUCUGUUGUUGCGGCUUUGAGUAAUAGUUUGCAUGCAUCUGAUAGGCAAAAUAUAAUGUGGUAUUUUAAGUUAUUUAUAUUAAUUCUUAAGUUUGUUUUGUCUUAGAUAGUACUUUUAAGUCUUAAUAUAUGAAUGAUGUCCAUUUUUAUGAGAUUCCAUUUUAACUACAUUAAAAAAUUGUUCAGGUUAUUGUUUCGAUUUUGAUGGGAGGAUUAUGUGCUUACGUGGCAUGACUCAUUAUUUUAUAGUAUUUAUUUUGUUUAACAAAUGUCAAAUUUAAACAGUUUUGUCAAACAAAGCUUCAUGAAUAAUCUUCUCCCCUUAUGUGUCGUUUUCCUUUUCCCAUUCAUUGCACACAUGAAAGAAAUAACAAAACUUCUGAUAGUUCUUCACCUCGUCUUAUCCCAAAUCAUUUUCAAUGGGGUUUCAAUGUCAAUUAACAUUUUAAAUACCUAGUUUCUUCAUCUUCUUCUCUUCUUUUUUACUUAUGGAGUUAAGGGUUUUUGGGUUUAUACUUUAAACUCAUAAGUUGAAGGGCAAAAUACAUUUCAUCUAUUUCCAAAAAAAAUGUUGUCUAUGUUAGACAACCAGUAUGAGUUCAUAUACAGGUCUUUUAAAAAAUUAAUGUGUCGGUACAUAAAAAUAUACAAAAGGAAUGUCUUUCAUAAAUAUAAUAUUUAACAAAAAUUAUGUCUUUCAUAAACUUUCAACAUUUUAAAUCAAAAUAGAAUUAGGUAAUAAGUAUACGAAAUUGAGAAAUAUUAUGAUACAAAGAUGAUAUAUUUAUAUAACAGGACUCAGGAAAUAACAUUAAUAUAAUAAACUAUAAAAAAAAAAGUAUAUAAAGUAUGAUAGAAAAACUAUCCACAUAAUAAUAAAAAAAUAGAAUGAGAAAAUCUAAUUUUUAUAAUUAGUAAAAGCCAAAAACAUACUUAUUUAUCUGAGCACAGAUACGUAUCCAAAAAGUAUCUAUAUAUUUUCAAAUGAAAUACUCAAAUUUAUAUUUUAAAAAUUAAUUAUUGUUUUUUUAAGUUAUAUUUUAAAAAUUAAUUUUAGUACGUACAAGAUACUUAGCUUUAAAUAUCAUAUAAAUUAAUACCAGAUACAAAUACAAGUAACCACACAUUUGUUGGGUAUCCAUCCUUCAGAGUAUAAAAACCAAAGUUUGGUAUUUGGUGAAAUAUGACGGGAUUAAAUUAUAUGGUGUACUUUUGUACCCAAAAAAAUAAAAAUUAUGGCGUAUUUACAUUCAAUCUAACCCUCGCACAUAUCCAUUUUCAAAUUUCAUUAUUACUUUGUUCUUUUAGUUCUCGGUUUAGAUUAUGCGACCGUGAUAACAGUGCAUUAAAAUAUGAAAUUGCACAUUUAUCUCGUAAAUAAUUUUAUUUUCACUUUAAUUAAGUAACACACAUAAAAGAGGUCCAAUAAAAUUCUCACAAAUUUUCUUUUAUUUUCUCUCUAUUAUAACUGUUCGAUGCAUGAGUUUUCCUUCAAAUACAUAUUUGAGUGCUGGUAAUUUUUUGAAGCAGAUAUGGGACAUGUACUUUUAGUACUUAUCGAAAGAUACCUUUUAUCGUCUCUAAUCAAUAUGCAUUUCGUAAAGAUAUCUAGUUAUAACUCGGAGCAAUUAUAUAUAGAUUAUACAAAAAGCUCUUUUAAGAAUUUAUAUAAAAAUAAAUAAAAGAGUAAAACAAUAUUUUUGUAUAUAUCAUUCUUACACAGUGAGAGAAAAUGAGAGAGAAAACGAGAGAAUCUUAAUAGAUGAUAUGUUUUUUUCUGGAGAAUCUUAAUAGAUGAUAUGUUUUUUUUGACAAAAAACCUAUUUUAUUGUUGUUGUUCAUAGAUGUUAUUAAUAAUACCAACUUUGAUAAUAUAUAUAAAAUUGAUUUGAUAAUUAAGAUAAGACAAUUAAGAAAUUGAUUGAUAAAAGAGAUUGCCGAUUGGUUGAUUUGAUAAUUAAGAUAAGAGAAUUAUGAAGUUGUUGAAAAAAAAAAUAACACAAACUUUGACAGAAAAUCAUACAGCAUUUAAAUUUGGCUCUUUGUUUAUUUUGUUUCCGCAAAAGGUACAUGACUCGAGUAACUUUACACAUAACAAAAGGCAUCUAAGCCUUCAUUUUCUUAUUCAUAAUUUGCAUGAUUAUUCCUUUAUUCAUAUUGAUUUGGUACCAAAUCUAAGCUGCUGCUUUGUUGUCUGAGUCACUGCGGGGUGGAACAAGAAAUGAAAAGGGGCUGUUGAACUUGAGCUGCCUGGCCUCAUUUCUUUCCAUAUUGAAAGCAGCUGCAACAACUUCUUCUGGCAUACCAUUUAUCAAGGAAGAUGCUCCUAAAAGCCUGCCAAUAGCUGCUCUGUCAUUGGUCUUGAAUGCUACAUAUGAGAACCUGUCACUCAAUGAUUUUGCAGCUAUUGCAAAGUUUUGUGGCACUAUCAACGCCCGGCCAGCUUCUAGUUCCCCAUCAAACACACUGUUGCCUUUGCAGUUCACAAUUUGUAAUCUUGCACGUCCCUUCAAUGCAUAAAGUAUGCUGUUUGCAUUGAGGUUGUAGUGAGGCACAAACAUAGCAUUCUGUUACAUAUAAAUAGACAAACAAGUGAGUUACUUAUAUUCUAACACUUCCAAAUUCCAUUAAUGUUGAUAUGAAAAGAUUGUUUGAUAUAAAAUUAAGUCAUGAAAGACAUUAGGUUUCAUGGUUUGGUCUAGUGGUAAAAAGACCUACAUGUUGUAGGUUCAAUCUCUGCUAGUGUCAUUGGAAGUUGGCAAAUGUAAAUGCAUCAUCUUUUUUUAUAAAAAAGAGAAAUGACAUACUUUGUGGAGAGAUCCAAACUCAGCACUGAGUUUGAGAAACCUGAGAGCUGGAAGGUCGAAGCUGGUAACAGUUUUGAUUCUACCAGCUUGAGGGUUGUAGAUGUCAGGUGAUGAAGAUGAGCCAAUGUUCUGGUGAAGUCUUGCAGUGCAAAUGGUUUCCUCAAACCCAUUGUCUCUUUGGCUUUUGCUUCCACCUCUGCUGUGGCGGCGUGGCUGUCUCUUUUCAUCUUCGUCUUCAUCUUGUCUGCUGUGGCGGUGUGGCUGUCUCUUUUCAUCUUCAUCUUCAUCUUCCUCUUGUCUGCUGCCUCUCUUUUGACGUGGCUCCUUCUCUGGUGGAGUGAUGAUGCUAAGACCUCCUUUCACUUUGACAAUGGCUCCCUUCUCCUCAUCUUCGUUCCUACCUUGAAGUUUGUUCACUAUACGCCUGUUCACGUUCAAGGCAUCUUCCAAGAAAUCCCUCUUGAAGCCACUGAAAAUGUUGCCACCUUCAUUUUCCUCUUCUUCACUUCCUUCCUGCUGNNNNNNNNNNNNNNNNNNNNNNNNNNNNNNNNNNNNNNNNNNNNNNNNNNNNNNNNNNNNNNNNNNNNNNNNNNNNNNNNNNNNNNNNNNNNNNNNNNNNNNNNNNNNNNNNNNNNNNNNNNNNNNNNNNNNNNNNNNNNNNNNNNNNNNNNNNNNNNNNNNNNNNNNNNNNNNNNNNNNNNNNNNNNNNNNNNNNNNNNNNNNNNNNNNNNNNNNNNNNNNNNNNNNNNNNNNNNNNNNNNNNNNNNNNNNNNNNNNNNNNNNNNNNNNNNNNNNNNNNNNNNNNNNNNNNNNNNNNNNNNNCUCGUGGUUUCCAGCAAGAUAGAAUCUCUGUCAAUCAAAAUCAAACAGUUAUUAAUUCCAAUUUCUUUCACGUGAAUUAAGUUUAAUUAUAUUAUGCUCACCCUAGGCAUCUGAUCAAGCUGGUUUUGGAAGCUGCUGGUGUCAAUAAGAGAAACAGCAAUAACUGGAGUGUCUUGAUCAUUGAACAUCCAAAAUACAACACCAGUAGGAACUGCAAUGAUAUCACCCUCUCUGAAGCGGUUAACCUUUUGGUGACUGUCUCUAAACUUGCUUCCCUCUCCUUGUUCAGAUUCACGUGGCUCCUCAAAAGUCUCAACACAACCAGGGAAUACCAUGCCAAAAUAUCCAUUACCUGUAAUUGUUAUAGCAAAAUAUUAGCCACUACUAUAUAACAUCACUAAUAUGUAUGUAAAAAAAAUGUAAUAAGAUCAAAAUAAGGAACCUUGUUGGAUGAAAAUUUCCUGGGGAGCGUUGGUGUAGAAAGGUCUGCGGAGGGAAUUUGGUUGAAGGGUAGCACGAGAGAGGGCCACACCGGCACAUCGGAAUUGCUUGUUGCUUGGGUUCCAAGUCUCAAUAAGUCCACCUUCUGACUUUAUACGGUUAUCAGGUUCAAGGGCAUUGAGGUGUUCAAGCUGACACUCAUUUUGUUCAGGUUGAUCUCUCAAAGCAAAACAGCUACCAAAAAGUAGAAAACAAAAUGAAAGAGAGAGUGCAAGAAGCUUAGCCAUGAUGACAGAUAUUGAAAAGAAUGUUGGUUUGUGAUGCGGAGAACCUUAAUGAGAAGUGGUUAUUUAUAGGGAAAAUAGGUUGGCGAAGGAUGGACACGUCAAAGAAGGUGUGGAGCUGAGCAUUAGACAUUCUUCAGCUUGCAUGGGUAUGGAAGCCUUGUGCAUUACACCUAUGUCUGAUAGAGCAAGGUGGCUUUCAACAUAUCCAUAAUCCAACAAAAAGCAUGCUUGUUUGUAUUGCAAUUCUUGCCUAGGCAUUAUUAUUAGUUUAAAUCGGUGGGGGAGGGGGGACCAUGGCUCCAUUUUGUUUUCUUCCCUGCUUCUCUCUUUCAUAUCUGCAAAGAUUUACGAAGAACAUUAAUCCUUAAAAUAUAUGUGUAAUUACAUAGUGCUUGAUAAACAUUUUACUUUUUACAUUUAAAAUGAGUUUACUCUAAAUAAGUCAAAAUCUAAUGUAAUAAUAACCACUUUUUGAAAUAUCAAUUUCAAUUUUUUAAAAUUUGUUCCAUAUAUUGAUAAACUUUUCAGAUUUUUUCGGGUCGUAAGUUUUUAAUACAUGUGCUUGACUCACUACAAAGAAUUGGUCCGUGACCCAUAUUAACUUAGUUCUUCGAAUAUGAUUUGGGUGAUGCCAUGUUUUCUCUUCUCCCACGUAUAAAAGAUCUACCCAAUUCAACUGCUACACCCCAAUUCUUCUCAUCAAUGAUAAACUUAAAUCAGUGAACUAGUGAGCAAUGGAUUACAAGGGUAGAAAUCAAUGAAUAAAGGACUCUGCAUCAAUAUUCAUUUGGCACAUAUAUAGAAUUCCCAGCCAUUUAACUAGCUUUUAAAAAUGCAAGGCAACUAUGUCACGUCAAACACAAUCAACGUUGAUUUUUAAAUUAUCCUGAGUCAGAUAAUAGGCCUAUUUAUAGAUAUUCAUGGACCUGAAAUUCUUUCUCUGCUACUUAAAUAAAUAAUAAUCAAAGGUAGAAGCAAUGUAUUGAGAAUAAAAAAUGCAUAAAAUGUAAGGGUGUAAUCUGCCUUUCCUUCAAAUGAUUCUACAGAAAUUAUUUCGGUGGCCGUUCAAUCAUUGUAAAAACCAAAGAGGGAAGAGUUGGCGGGAAAAACUGUAAACACUGUACGUUUACCGUUUUUAUCGUGGAUUUGAAUUUUUUUCUAAUUAGAUGAAUACUUUUUUAUCUUAACUAUUUACUUUUUACCAUGAUAAUCUAAAGUUCAUUCGAUACAUAGAGCUUGGCAUCAAAUCAAAUAGUACCCAAACAAUUCAUCAAUCUUAACACAAAUACAUUAACCAUUGGCACAAAUUACGUCCACUUGGUUAAUAGUAGAUGAACAUGACAAAAACAAAAGAUGAGUGACAGAAGGGCAAUUUGCGGAACUCGUCAAUUUUUUAAUAAACAUAGCCCUGUAAAUUUUUUUAUAACGAAAGACAAUACAAGACAAACCAGCUUCUACACACGAUCUGCCAUAAACAAGUUCCCAAAGAAAAGGGAAGAAUCCCAGUCCCUUUGCGUCCAUUAUGAAGCAUAGAUCAUGUUAUUUAGGCUAAUGCUUGUGACGAGGCGUAUCAAACAUUAGCAAAUUGAUGCGCACAGAACAUGGUAGGUUUAACCAAUCAGGGAAUAUAAAAUAAUAGAGUACUCCAUCACUAAACAGGCCUUAUUAAUCUGAAGACGAACAAAGUGAGAGCUUUUACAAGAAAAAAUCACAUUAACAUUAUGAUGAACUACCAUGAUCUCACAAGGAUUAAAUGUCACAAUCCUCGGGAUAUAAUCACCCUUGUAGAAGGAACUAUAGGUUAUAAUUUAUAAAUAAUACAUGCCUACACGAUAUGGACAAUAACAAAUUACAAUGCUAGAAGAAACAAUGAAACAUGCAACCUUCAAUUUUCUUAUUCGGUAGUAUUACUCUUCAAGCUAGAUUCCCCGUUCUUCUCUUCAGUGCUAUCCACUAUUUUGGUUUCAACAUGACCAUCCCCCUUGGUUGCAUUGCCAUCCACUUCAAGAGUGUUUGACUUUUUCGGCAGUUUUCGAUCAAGACUCUGAGCAGCUUCCAACUCUUCAGAUUCAUCACCUUCACAUCUUUCAUUGGGGUUUUGAACAGCUUCGGCAUCAUGCUUGGCAGUGUCAGCAUUUUGUGUUAGUUGUGCCCCUGAACUUUGAGAAGCUUCCAACUCUUCAUACUUAGAAACCAACUGCUGCAGCUCGUCAUUGAGAUAUAAAGCCUCAAAAAGUGUUUCUUCAUCAUUUGUGGUGCUUUCCACAAUCUCCUUAAUAACAGAGAGUGAUUGCUUGCACUUAUCCAGCAGACUCAAAGUUAUAUCUUCCUGGAACCAAACAAAAUCAUUGUACAUUCUAUCAGCAAAAAAAUUAUUCCUAUUUCUUAGCUGUAUACUGAUGUAGCAAUAACCUAGAUGAGCUGGGAAGAUAAGAGAUAAAAAAAAAAUCCAUCUACAUUGUAUCUGCAUAAGAAUACUAUAGUAUUUUGCAUAGAAAAGCAUGUAACUGAUUUAUGAUAGUUCUUUAAAAAUCUGUGCAAGAACUACUUCAUACAUACAGCAAACAUCAUGAUGCAGUAAACAAAACAACAAUCUAUUGUUCAGGUGAUGCUGUAUUUCUUUAAUUUAAAAAAGUUUACCUUCAAAGGUUUUGGCUCUGCCUCAGAACUUAAUAUGCUAGAGAGCAAUUCAAGACUGUUUCGAGCAACCACAAGAUGCUCUUUCUUCUCUUCCACUGAUACAGGUUGGUGAUCAGUAAAGAAAGCUGCUGAGUCAUCCAGAGCAAGAGCAUGUAGCCCUGCUUCUGGAAUUGGGUAUCUUUCAGGGGGGUCUAAAGGGUGUUGAUAAUUAUGUGACUCUGAGGCAUAUGGAAUAGGUGGUGAGUUUCCUCCCGUCAUGUCAAGUGAUUCACCCCUUCCUUUCAAACUCUGUCAUCAAUGAGAAGAAUAUAGGACUUAAAUUAAAUGAGGAAGAAAAGGAAGCACAAGAAUACGUCAUAGUAAAAAUAAAAAAUAGACGGCACCACAUUCGAAAGAGUAGACAAUAAGUAAGAUCGUGAAGCACAAUGUAGGAAUUCGCUUCAAGGCCAACAUUUUGUAAAAAAUAACCCAAGGUCACCUGGGAAAUGCUAUUUUCACAAAGUAUAAUUCUGCAAACAAAGUCUAGAAGCUACACAUAUAACAAUAAAAUCAAGUACGAAAAACAAUAAGGUUACCAUUCAAAGAUAAUUUGAGGCCAAUGAUAUUUGCUUCCCUUAAACUAUUAAUACCCUUCAAUGAAAUUUUGCUUAAACAAAUUUCAAUCAAGUUUUUUGGGACCUGUCAUUUGAAUUAUUUGGGAAAGAAAAUAGAUGGUAUAGAGUUGUAAAGAUAAGUUUUGCAUUUGAAAUAAGAUAAAGUAAAAUGGAGUGAAUAGAAUGCAAAUUCAUCUAGAUAAAUCCUAAGACAAGCUUGGAGGCCAAAAUUGGAAAUCUUACCAAGCCAAAAAUUCAGUGUGGUGGGUACCUUGAGUCCAUCAUAAAAAUAUCGAAGAAAUAGGAUAAAUAUAAAUCGUAAUACUCAACCUAGGCAGAUAAAAUGAAAAUGCUUCAACAGCCUUCGUGUUCGACAUUGCCUUUUAAGAUUAAUUAAUGAAAACUUACCGCACGGUCAUAAAACCAACAAUGAAAACAUGUUAAGUGUUAUGAUAUGAAAAAUAAAACAACAAAUUAGUGGUUAUACAAGACAAGACGGGAUUAGGAAUAAAAGCACUAGAGAGAAAGUUGUGACAGCCACCGUCUACUGUAAAAAAGACAGUUGGUCUUAUUGUGGUUUGGACAUGUGUUGAGCAGACAUUGGAAAAUAUCCCACUAAUUAGAGGUAGAAAGAAACGAAGCAAAACAAUAAGCUACAAUCAAGAAAAAAUGGAACUAUACGAUCAAUAAUUCUAUAUCACAGAGCAUGAUUCAUGACAGGACAAGACUUAAUGACAUCAUUUAAUCCAUGUAACCGAUCCCACCUAAUGGGAAAAGGUUUUGAUUGUAAUUGUUAGUGUUGUUUUUGUCACAAAGCAAACAAUGCCUUCUGGUACUGAUCGUCAAACAGUAAUGCCGCAAUGAAUACAUACAAGAAAAAUUAGUACAAUUGUGUAUAUGAUGAUUUUCCAUAUCAGAAAUUCAGAAUAAGACCGAUAGAAAUGCCAGUAGAGAACUUUAUUAGACCAAGGAUAGUCUAAUAAUCAGAUAUAUAAAGGAAAACAAAAAAAAAUCUAAAUGAAACCAUUGAAAAGUACUUAGAUCUAUAUAGCUACUUUUAAGUAAUAUGUACUAGGUGUGUGGCAAACCACAAUGGAAAUGCAAUUAUUUAAAUAAAUAAGUUUGCCUACAAUAGACCCACAAUGCCUGGGUCCAAUCCUUACCUCUUUAAAUAGAACAUCCUCUCAUUAUAAUUCUAACUGAUAACUAACCUACUAAAGGAAACUCUAUGUUUUCCCCCUUAGUGUGACCACAAUACACAUACUCUGAUACAGCUCUGUUAUUGACCAGCAUACAUAUAAUACAGACACAACCCUAACACCAAUAAUAAUUUCAGAAAAUAGAAUUGAUUGAAUGAAAUUUUAUGCGUCAGUCAGAGUUGUGUCCAUGUGUUAGUGUGUCGGUCUUCAGACAUUGAACACACCUUAUGAACUUUUUUAUUUAUAGGCAAAUGUUAUUAAAUUAGUGGUUAUCUAUGAAGCACAUAUAAUGACACUACACUAAUCAGUCGAGAAAAUAAAUAAUUAAUUGAAUGUAAUCAAUAUGUGAGUGUCAUAUUGUGUUAGACACGAAGACUCGAGUGUGGGUGGUUAUGUUAGUUCCCGAGACCUCUUUUUUAAUUACCUGAAGUGUUGGUGAUACAUAGCUAACGUAUUGUAAGACUGAAUUGACCCAUGUUCCAACAAAAUAGUGAUAGAAAAAAACAAAGCAAGAAGAAGAAAAGAAAGAAACUAACCGUAUAAGUUUGAGCGAAAACAGGAAGAUAAGCAAGAUCUUCAGACUGACCCCAUGCCCUAAUAAGCUGAAAAGCCCUUGUUCUAUUUUGCUGAUCAGCCUGUUGAUUAUCAAACAACCUAACCAUAUCAUCUAAAAGCUUCUCAGAAGCAAUUUCAGAAAAAACCUUUUCACAAUUCAUAGCACAAGUUUCCAACAACUCAAGGCUAUGCUUCUGAACAACAGGGUUCUUGUGAUUAAUCCUCCUCUUUAUACCCUUCACAACUUCCGAACCGUUAAACUCUUCCGCGUUUAUUAGACCGCAUAUUCUCAGAUUCAUUCCCCAAUUUGGUUCUUCCAACGUCUCUGAUGUUGCUUCCUCGACCAUCUUUGAUUCCGGCGUCGGAGUUUGGAGUAUUUCCUUCAUUUUGCCGCUUACGAUUCGACCCAUCUGGGCCCCACCGGUUUUGAGCCUCUCGCCGAAUUGAGCUAGCUUAGACUUGUCCAUGAGAGUGAGAUGGUUGUUGUGGAGUGAGAAAGUGAGGAACCCUAGAUCGGAUUCUGUUCGUUACUGAUGUGGAGUAUGAAAAUGGGAAAGUGGAGAGUUGAAGUUUCAGAGAGAAACAAAUGUUUGAUUUUAUUUAGAUUAUUGAUUUAUGUUCUUUUACGUGGCUUUCUUUGGAGAGCUUUAAAAUCAUUAAUUAAUUGAUCCCCCACUCACUAAAGUCUUCUCAACCACGUCUCCAUCUCUCUCGUAGACUCUAUUAAUAUUUUAAACUAUUUUUCAAUUAAGUCUUUUUGUAAUUUUACAAUGUUCAUUGAUAUUAAUUGGGCUGACGUGGAAAAUUAAAUGUUAUUUAUUAUCAAAUUGAUCUCUAUAGUUAGAACUAAUACUAUCUAUCUCUUUUCUUUAAAGGAACAUGUAAAUAACUUUAAUUAUUUUGAUUGUGUGGAUGGAGUGUUUUCUCUUAAAGCUCAAUUACGUGCACAAUGCAUAUGUUGUGAGUGCAUCGGAAACAACCGGAAAAAAGAAAAGAAAAUGACAUAGAUUUUAUAGGGUUUGUAUUUUUACUUAAAAUGCUAACAUUUUGAAGGGUUUGUACUUGUACUUAAAAUGCUAAGAUUUAUGUCACGGGUUAAAUUUGAGACCAAUUUUUUGUGUUUUAACCUUUUUUUUUCAUGGGAUAAUUAAUCAUUAAUCACAAUUUUUUAAUGAAAACUAAAUUUUUAGCGUGUCCCUAAUGUGGACCCUAAAAAAAUGUCCACCAGUGGACCUGUGGCUUUCAACCGGGUACAGCCGGUAAGUAAUAUUUUUUUCACAUUUUGUUUUUCCAAAUUUUUGGACACUGCUUGUAAACGAUGGAGCCACAACUAUGGCAUAGUUGUUGAUAUAAGACGUGUCGCAUGCCCUUUAUACAUAUAGUCUCUCUUUUUAUCUCGUUGGAAUUUAUCAGAUAAUACUUUCUGGGACAUUUAAGCAGGAAAUGGGAUAAUUAAAAGAGAAGGCUUUGUACCCAAAAAAGACAGCUAUAUUUUUUUAUACUUUAUCAUUGUUCCAACAAAUGUCAUAUGUGUGAUGAGAAAGAGCUUGAGAAGUAGAGUGUCUUGUGUGAUGCUGAUUCCAUCGAGAAAAUCAACAGUAUGUUGUGUGGUGUACGUGAAUGGUUUCGGGACAUGGGGGAAUAAGGAAAAAAGAAAUCAACUAGGUCGAUAACAUAUGUUGCGUAUAACUUCUAUAUGACGAAAAGGUGGUGAAGAGCGAAAUUGUUAUGAGUUUUGUGUGUCGUUCGUCGGGUUCUGUUUAAGUUGUAUGAAAGGGGACGGCUCUAUCAUUUACAUUUUACAUACAAUGUGAACAAAAUUGGAAGAAAAGUUGUUUACCGAUUGUACCCGGUUAAAAGCAAAGGUCCACACUUUAAAGGCACCCAAAUUUUCAAUUUAGUCUUUAAAAUAUCAUUUCUUUUAUUUAUUUUAUAAAUUAUUAUGAAUUCAAAAUAUUUUGUACUUUAUUUCUUUUGAAAUUAUUUAAGCCUUUGAUAUCAGUUCAUUCUAGACAAGAUUUUGCCUUUUAUUAAAUACAAAUAUUUCACCAUCUCUUCACUCUAAAUUUUAUAAAAAAAAUAUGAAGACUCUAAUUCAUAAGAAAUUCUUUUUUUUUUUCCGUCUAAUCAAUAAUUGUAAUGCUACCAUAACUCUUAUCUUAAGACACUUAUUCUCUUCAAUCUUUAAUAUAAAAGCAAAAAUGAAGUAAAAAAAAAUCAAUAUAUUUAAUUUAAAAUUUAAACUAAAGAUAUCCAUUUUAUUUCACCAUAUUUUUACUUAUAUUUAAAAUAAGAUAGAGUAGGUCAAAAACUCCACUAUUUCAUGUCAUAAAUAUCCUUUGGAGGAGGCUAUAAAGAUGCCUUUGAGCAGUCCCACAACUUAUCCAUAGAAAAUGAGCAAUCACCCAAAUGCAUGGACAAACUGGCUACCAAGAACCAUUUUCAUUCUCAAACAAAUCCAUCCCUUUUUUAAUCAAAAAGAAAUUAUAUUAAUUAAAAUAAAAGUUGAGAAUAAUAGCUUCUAUCAUCGUAUAUAAAAAAAAAUAAAUUUAAUAAGGAAAAAUAUAGAUACACUUUGAACUAAAAAAAGACCAUGGUGAUUAAGUUGAGCUAAUAAAUGAGCAUGUCUAUUUGUUUCUUUUAAAGAAUAAUUAAGAGGGAAUAAGUUCAAUUAUAAUAAACAAAUGAAUAAAUUGAACAUAACAUUUGUGGAUCAUAAAAACGAGGGUCAGUAAGCCAAUUUUAAAAAUAAUAUUAUAAAUAGAUUUAUCAUGAACCACAGAAUGUCAUGUAGUGAUGACCAGGACUGACUAUUAUGGUCGCGAAUGAUCCUUCACAAAUCGAGGAGUUAUCAAUAUGAAUAUAAGCACCACUAAUGUUCAUCUUUAUAACUUUCCAUGAGGUUUAACUCAUAUUUUUUAUUAUGGUUAAUCAUGUUCUCUUUAAGUUUUAGAAAGAUAACUAUUCCUCUUAGAAACUUUAUCAAUGUUUAAUUUAUAAAUAAAUAUAUUUUUUAGGUUUUAGAAAGAUAACUAUUCCUCUUAGAAACUCUGUCAAUGUUUAAUUUAUAAAUAAAUAUAUUUUUUAAUUCAUAUAAAAUUAUGGUAUAUCAAGUUUAGUCUUUAAAAAAUAUUAAUUUAUUUUUAGUCUAUAUUUUAAUUUUAUAGAGACUAUUUUAAAGUAUAAAAAAUAUAAAUUCUUUUAAAAAAAAUCAAAAUUGAAAUUAAAAAUAAAUGAAAAUUUUAAAAUUUAGACUUAAAAAUAGUAAAUUUAUAAUUAUUAAAAAUAUAUUUAAUCCUUAAUUUAAGUUAGAUAUGGAGGCAUCCAACUAACCGCAAUUCAAGAGAAUAACUUGGUACAUUGAAAUAAGAACUAUUUAUGGUGUUACUAUAAUUCAAAAUUUAAAUAAAAUAGAAAAUUAUAAUCUAGCAACAAAAUUGAACGUUUACUCGUCAAUCAAUUAAUAUGAUAAUUAUUUGUUUUUUUACAUUUUUUUUCCACACAAAUUUUCAGUCUCAAUAUUUGUUUUUUUUUCUGUGAUUAUUAAAAAUUUAAAAUACUUUUGCAUUUAAAAUAAUCAUAAAGAUUUGUUUAAUAAAUUAUUUAUACAAUUAUAUAAACACAAUUCUAAAGUUAACUGGUAGUAUUAAUUUUGGUCAGAUAUUUUUUACAAAUUUACUCAUAACAAUUCAAUUUUUUCAAAUAUACAUUAAAAAAAAUUAUAAAAAAUAUACAUUUGAACUUAACUCAACAUCCUAAAUUUGCCAUGAAAUUUAAAUUUUUCUGGAAAAACACUCUUUUAAGUUUUAUGAAUUUUUUUAUAAGACUUAAUAAACGUUUGUAAGAAAAAUGUUGUUUAAGAGACUAAAUGAAAAUUCCGUUUUUUCUAAUAUAUAUAUAUAUAAUAACAAAAUGAUGUAACAAAAACGUUGUUAUUAUUAACUUUUAGUGUAGCGACAUAAAAAGGUAGAUAGACGAUAAAUUAAUGUCCGUCAUUUUUUAUAACAAAUAAUUAAAUAUCUUAAUAAAUGUGUAAUUAUUUUUUGUUUAUUCUUUAUCACAGAAAAUGUAGUAUGUUAUCCAUGAUAAUUAUAUAUGAUUACAUAUGAUAUAAUUAUCAUCAGGACUAUGAGUUUGUACCUAAAAUAUUGUUAGUACAUGAACCAAAAUACUGUUUUUUGUUAAAAUAAAAUAAAAAGUAUUUAACUCAAUUUUAUCAAAAUAUUAAAGAGCAAAAAUAUAUUUCAUAAAAAAAAAAGAGAGCAAAAAUAUACAUAGAGGUUUGGUUCAUGUACUAAUUUUUCUUAAUUUGAUUAAAAUUUCUGUUUAGUUGUUGGACCCUCUUCCUCAUGUUUUCCAUGUGUCUUUGUUGGGAAGGAAAAAACACAACCAUGAAUGAAAGGGAAGGCUUUCAGUAGUUACCAUUCGAAUUCAGAAAAUAAUUAAUUUGUUUUUGGAAACUUCCAUUCUCAUGGUUUGGAAUUGAUCUCGAUACGUUUCACCUGCGUUAAUUGCAACAUUCAAGUUUCAAAACCAUGCAUGUAGGUAUGCAUACGCAAUUAUUCGAAGUUUUUAUUUUUGUUCACAAAAUGCGUAUCAUAUUUUCGUGGAUUUCGUAUGUGUCUUUUUUAUUCAUUGGGCGUUUUUUGGUUUUUGUGUGAAUUAUUGUGGGUGCUAUGCAUUUCAGAUCAUUUUGAAAAUUUUGUGCAAUUUAUUAUAUUGUUGGAACUCUUUUUUUGUUGUUAUUUCUUGGCUUCGUCAUACAAUUACGUAGUUUAUUCAUCCUCGUGAUGGAAAAAUAUGGAGACAUUGUUGAAAAAUGUGGUAAUUUGAAGUAUUUAUUAAUUUGUAUGGUUGUGGAAAACGAAAAGUUAUAUGUAAAAAUUGAAAGUUGAAUUAGGAUAAUUUGAGUUGAAAUUUGACAUUGUUCUGUUCGUAAUUCUCAUGAUUGUUUUACAAGAAACUUUGAAAACCAUCGUUUUAGUUGGUAACAUGCUAAUUUAUUUUGUUAUUUCCUUUAGCACAACAUUCAAAUGCUUAUGUAUAACAAUCUAUAGUUAUUUUUUUUACCGAGUAUUACAAUCUAUAGUUUUUUAUACAUGUUUUUGCUUGAACAAUUGAACACAGCCAUGGUGCUAAUGUACCAUAUUUCUCAAUAAUCAAGUUUGCUUUAACCACUAAUUGUUAUUUUUGACACAAACACCUCUGAGAUUAGGCUUGUCGUCAUGUCUGACACAUAUCGGUGUCCAACAUUCGUAUGACACUUUUACGACACCUCAAAUAAGUGUCCCAAAAUAAAAUUUGUUUUUCUUUGCUUCAACACACCUUAAACUUCUUGGACACAUCUAUGAAGGUGAAAAAGGUUAAAGAUGUGUCAAAGUAAUGAUAAUUAAUGAUAGGGUUAAAAACAUGAAAUUUAACUACAACAUGUUUAGUUUUUCGAUAGUAGAUGUAUCAAUGAAGGUGAAAAAUUAUCAUAUGUGUAUUAGUUUAGAUGUCCUAUGAUCUUUAUAUUAGCAAAGUCUGUGUCCGUGUCGUGUCAAAUGUUCGUGUCGGAAUUUGUGCUUCAUAGCAAAGAUCCUCUUUCCCCUACAAGGCUACAACUAUAUUCUAUUUAAAAAUAAAACUUGUAUGUAGUUAAGACAUACCAAUUCGAAUCCUUGAACAUGUCAAGCCAUGCAUAUCAACUCCUUACAAUGGUUAUCUACACUUGCCAAAGGGGUUCAUUAAAUUUACACAACUCUACUUUGUUUGGUAAGUUUAGGGAAUCAAGUUCCUUAGUUUGGCUAAGCUGUCACAUGUUAUGUGCAUUUUAUCCAAAAAUAAACACGAGACUAUCUUAUACAUCAGCUUAAUUAUAUAGUAAACAUUACAAAAUAAUUUUUUUUUAAUUUCUAUGUUGCUUUUAUAAUAUUAGUUUGUUGUAUGAUCUUACCAGAACAGAUCAAAUGGAUAUAACUUCAGCAAAAUGUGUGGUCAACACCAUUUCUCGAUUCAUUCAUCUAGUUUCUUGCCAAACAGUGAAACUUAUACCCCUUCAGAAGAACUAUAAUAAUAUGGUUGGUGUCUUAAAGUGUUUGAAACCAGUGCUUGAUGAUGUUGUGGAUUACAAAAUCCCUUUAGACAAAAAUUUGUACAGAGAAUGUGAAGAAUUGAAUAUGCAGGUUAAUGAAGCUAUGGAGUUCAUUGAAAAACGGAGCCCAAAGAUGAGUAGGAUCCACAAUGUAAGCAGUUAGUUAUUUCAUAAUUAAACCAAUAUCAUUAUUUUGCAACUAUUGUUUCAAAAAUGUUAGGACCAAUCGCCUCUUUGUCAGACAUUUGAACAAUGUUGAAAGGAGACAAUGAAUCACCGUUGCCUUUCUCAUAUGUCUGUUUUAUUUCGGAGAUAUUGAUUGCAGCCUAUUUAAUUGUUUUUGUUGGGAUUGUGUUAUUUUUAGGUUCUUCUAAGUGGAAAAAUGUUAAUAAAGUUACAAAGCACUUCACUUAUAAUUUGUCACAUAAUUAAUAGAUCUUCAAUGUCAACUUCCUCUUCCUCAGUUUUGGCUAAUCUUCAGGUAUGUCCAAAGUUUGAAACUACUUGUUUCUUGAUCAUUGUAGUUGUGAAACUAAUUAGUGGCAACUUUUUCAGCACCAUAUGCAAGAACUUCAGAGUUUUAAGAAGGAUUCAACAACACUCUAUAUAGAAGAAGCACUGAGAAAUCAAAAGGAUAAUAUUAAACCUUGCUAUGAACAUUUAAGGGAAAUUAUAGAGUUACUUAAAUUGACAUCAAGUCACGAGCUUCUAAAAGAAAGUAUUGAUGUUGAAAAGGAAAGGUUGAAUGUGAAUGCACAAGUCAACAAAACAAAAGAGGAGUUGGAUGAAGUUAACCAAAUUAUGAAUAUUGUGUGCAUUUUGCGCGAUUAUGCGACGAAAUCUAAAUGCCCUGAAGUCAAAAGUGGUGUCUCAAUACCAUCAUACUUUCUAUGCCCUUUAUCACUGGAAAUCAUGUUGGAUCCUGUUAUUGUGGCUUCAGGUCAAACAUAUGAGAGGGGGUCCAUUCAAAUGUGGCUUGAUAAUGAGCUGCUUAUUUGUCCCAAAACUCACCAGAAACUUACUCAUACAGAUCUAAUUCCCAAUUCUACUGUUAAAGCUAUGAUAACAAAUUGGUGUGAAGAAAAUAACUUCAAACUUCCCAGUAACUCAAAUCCUGGUAAUUCGACAAAAAUUUCAAACCCUUCCGAUAAUUUAUUGCAUCAAGAUUUAGACCGUGUCAAUAGCUUGGAAUAUUCUAGUAGCAAUUCCAAUUCAAAACCAUCCAUUCAAACUAUAAAUGCAUUUGAGAAUCAAAAGGGUGAAGACUCGUCCAGAUUAAGCGGCGAAUCAAACAGAUGCCAGAAUGGUGAGACAGAAAAGUUUAAGCAACAAUACCUUGGUCCUUCACAUAGUCACAGCAGAAGUACUGAAUCAUUUUCACGUUCUAUUUCUACUAAUGUUUUUCCUGCCUCUCCUGCAUAUAAAGAAUUAGUGAAUUUUCCAUCGUUAUCACGAGAUAAGUUUCAAACCUCUGGAUCAAAAAAUACAUCGACGGAGAAUGAAAUUAAGUGCAAUAACAAUAAUAAUAAUAUUGUUAUCACUAGCCAUUCAAAUGUCGAUGCUGAUCCUGUUUCUGAUAAAUUAACCACCACAUCUCAUGUCAAUAAGUUAAUUAAAGAUCUACAAAGUCAAUCAAAUGAAACACAAGCUAUCGCCGCAGAAGAAUUGCGCCUCCUUACCAAACAUAACAUGGACAACCGUAUCAUUGUAGCACAGUGUGGAGCUAUCAUGCAUUUACUUCCACUGCUAUAUUCAGAUAUGAAGAUAACACAAGAGCAUGCUGUGACAGCUUUACUGAAUCUAUCGAUUAACGAAGAUAACAGGACUUUGAUUAUGGAAGCAGAGGCUAUAGAAGGACUUAUCAAUGUUUUGAAGACAGGAAAUAAUGGCGCCAAAGAAAAUUCAGCGGCGGCUUUAUUCAGUCUGUCAGUACCAGAAAACAAUAAGGCGAAAAUCGGUUGUACGGGUGCAAUAAAAGCUUUGGUGGAACUUCUAGCUUCUGGAACUCUAAGAGGGAAGAAAGAUGCUGCAACUGCUUUAUUUAACCUUUCAAUAUGUCACGAGAAUAAAGCACGUAUAGUUGAAGCUGGAGCAGUGAAGUUUUUGGUUAUGUUAUUGGACCCUGCUGAUGGAAUGGUUGACAAGGCUGUUGCUCUUUUGGCAAACCUGUCAACAAUUCCAGAGGGUCGACUGGAAAUUGUACGUGAAAGAGGAGUCCCUUUACUUGUUGAACUUGUGGAAUCAGGUUCUCAGAGGGGAAAGGAAAAUGCUUCAUCCAUUCUCUUGCAACUAAGCCUUCAUAGCCGUAAAUUUUGUACUCUUAUUCUCCGUGAAGGAGCUGUUCCUCCUGUAGUUGCAUUAUCCCAAUUUGGUACACUCAGAGCAAAGGAAAAGGUAUCAAACUCAUUCUCUUUUUCUCUUAAACCAUGCACAAGCCUGCUUACUUUGUCUAUAAAAAAGACAAUGCUGCUUAUUUUAAGAGACUUUAUAUUUUUUUAUUGGUAGUAUGUAAUAAACAUUCAAUUGCUUCCUUAAUAGUCACUCAUAUUUUUUUUAUCUUCAAUGAGGUGACUAAUAGACUUCGGUAAAGCAAUUGAAUUUUUUAUGAUUAAAUUUUUGUCGGUUUGCAUAUACUGUCAUUUUGUUACAUUUGGAUCACUUGUUAUUCAUCUAUAGAUAAUACUCUCUUUAAAAUUAAAUAUAACCAAAAAUGAUAUUUGAAAAAAUGAUGUACGUGUUAAAAAUUUAAUCAAAUAUUCUUUUUGGUUAUAUUUUAUUUUAGAGUAACAUAUAGUUGUAUUUUAAUGAUGGACUAAUGGUAACUAACACUCAACUAUUUUAAUGAUGGACUAAUGGUAACUAACACAUUCAGUUUGUUGAAACUAGUUAAUCAAAUUUUACUUUCUAUGAUUAUGCAUUGCUAGUUUAACAAAAUCAUAAUAAACGCUUAAAGAAAUAUUUAUUUUCACAAUGGAGUUUUUCAAUAACACAAAAACUUAUGAGAUGGGGCAGAAACAUUGGUUGUCACGACAUAUAGUAUCUCAUGUACAAAGCAUAAUGUAAAAUGUGGAAGAAAUGCUAAUAUGUUGUUCACAUAUAUGCAGGCACAACAACUUCUUGUUCUUUUUCGUAAUCAGCGUGAUGGAGCACCAGGGAAGGGAAAAUCAUGAAGAUAAACAAUUUUGGUUACUUUGUUGCCUUUUUUCUUUUUCUUACUCCUAUUGAAGGUUGUAGGAGUUCAUUACAAUUUUUCUUUUUUCCUUCUCUUCUUGAAAACAAUUUAAAAAAAAACUGAUUUAUAAAAUAACCAUAUUAUCAGGUUUGAUACUAUGUCUCGAGUGGCAGUUGUGUUUGAGUUUUUUUAUUAUUUAAUAUACACGAAGAAAAAAACCAUUGGUGUUUAGGCGUCUUUAUUUGCAGUUCAAGUGAGUGGUGAAGGGAAAAGAGAAUUGAUUGUAUUCAAGUAAUUAAUUAGACAACAGUUUAGUAGUAGUUGUCGAGAGAGAACCCUGUUGAGGCAUGGAACACGAAUCAACUAGCUGUCUCUGAUCUGUAUAUCUGAUUUUAUUUAUGGAUUCAGAAAUAACAGGGCUAAGUCUUAGUUGUAGUUAAGUUCCUGACUCUUUAGUACCAUCACGUAAUUAACAUUGGGCCCACUCAAGCCCAUUAAUACUUUUUUUUGUCGUAAAACUAUAAAAGCCCCGUAUUAAUAGACACAAUACAAACAAACAGCCUCUUUACAUUUUAGUUCUUUUUAAUCAAUACUAAUUAAUAACGCUGCUCUUUUUAGAAAAGUAAUGUCUUGCCUCUUUCUUUCUAUAAAUCAUUUAUAACAAAUAAUGAUGCUCUUUCAGAAAAGUAAUGUUUUGAUCAAAAUAAAUUAUGGAAUCAUAUAAUAAUAAAUAUAGCAUCAAAUCUUCACCCACCAUCUUAAUGUAAUAAAAAUAUAAAUUUUCUAACUAUAUAUCAUUCAAUAUUUACUUUUUUUUUUUUUAAAUCAAUGGGGAACUUCUAAAUUAACAUUAAAUUCCUUACCCUUCCGAUACAUGUUUCACAGGCUGUAUAAAUUAACAUUAAAUUCCUUACCCUCCUUCCAUGUGCAUCACACGAGACCCCCAUAAUUUGAUCCUCUAUUCCUGCAUAGGCUGACAAAACGUUGCGCCCAAAUUUCCAAUGGAACAUAGGUUAAGGAUAUAUAGUGGGUAGUUAAUAUGAUAUUCACCUUAAUUAAUAUUAUUUUUCAAUUAACUUAAGCUAGUUAACUAGUUCAAGUUCAGCUCAUAUGAAGAAUUAAUUAGAAGGAGAACAAGCUAAAUAUGACUCACACGGUGAAUCAAUGUAAAUCUCUGAAAUAAUUUUUGAACAUAAAUUCUAACAUUAUACACUUUAUAAAUCUACUGUUGAUGAUGAGAAAAAUACACUAGCUUAUUAUGUAUUUUACACGGUGUCGAAUAUAAGAUAUCAAUUUUUUGUGUCUAAAUAACACAUGAUAUAUGUAUUGACUUGUGUGUUUGAGACCCUGCUUUUGCAAGCAUUAACCCUUAGAACUAUAUUGGCUGCAAUCAACAGCUUUUAACUACCAUGUAAUCUGAUGUGUAUAGAGUGUCAAAUCAAAAUCAAAUAAUCUAAAUUUUAAAUUUUAUGUUCAAAUUUUAUAUUUAAAAACAAUUAAAAUCGGACUUCAAAUCUGAACCCUCUUAUUUUGACAGAAAAAUCUAAAUAUACUAAAUAUAGUGCAUCAACUACUCCAAAUCGAUUAACAGAACAGUGAGAUUGACAAUCGAGUAACACAUUAAGAUGUCGCUGUUAAGUUUGUUAAUAUUAAUAUACUAUAGUACAACAUAUAUGUAUAUUUUACAAACUACGAACAGCUGCUUCAUGAAAGGAACAUCAUAAAUCCAGCUUAGAAAAUAAACUACUUCAUUCCUGCGGGGUUUAUAUAUAUAUUAAAUUAAUUGAAUCUAGCGUAGGUUUAGGAAUGGAUGUGAAAUAUAUCACUAAUUUGACCAUAGAUUCUCAUAGGGUAUAGGCUAAAAUCUCAAAGAUCGAGUAACAAAACAAUACGCAUAUAUUAUACAGGGAAUUAAUUAUCUAUUUAAUGAUGUGAAAGGUACUAAUUCAUAAAUUGUCGAGUAUGCUUGAAAGUUACAUUAACUUUGAAAUUCAAUUCAAUAAAAUUAUUUUAAGAUACACUCAAUUCCUAAAUUAACUAGCUAGUAUGAUCCACCCACUUAAAUAAUUAUAAUCUAUGAUCGUGAAACGUGCGGUGUAUCCUUGAAAUAGGGUUUUACUACUACUUGUUAAUAUACAUACUUUUAUAAUAUAUAUGCAUUUUAAGGGAAUAUAGGUAUAAAAUAAAGUACUGUAUAUGAUAGGAACAAGAGAGAUGGAAAUUAAACGACUAUUGAUUGGAAGAGUUUAUUAUAAAUUAUAUGAAAUUGUGAAAGACAAGAAAACAGUGUAAGAUUAUAGUACAAGAUUUUGUCAAGGACAGCCCAACAAGAACUAAAAAAAAUAACGGAGUAUAGAGUUGUUUAUUUAAUUAAUGCCUCCUCUGCAUGCAUGUCCUUUGCAAAAACAGAGAGAUUUUUUGGUCAACUAAACUAAUCUGAAAACGAAUUAAUAUUAAGUACAAAUAAAAUAAAAUAAAAUUACGUGCAAAUAAGAGGGAAAGUGUAGAAGAAAGUUACUCCUAUAUGAAAGCAGGCCUGGACCUUUACUCUGUCUCUCAUUAACGUCAACUAACCAUGAAGUUAAUUACUCAAUGCACAUGAAUAGAUUUAUUUUAUUUUUAAUGAACAUGAAUAAUUUUACUAAAUUUUUUAAUUUGUAUUAUCUCGAUUCAAAUUUCACUCAAUCUCUCUCAAUUCUCUUUAUUUUUUUCAAUUUUUUGAUUAAAAAAAUCGUUAGAUUAAAGUUUUAUAUUAUAAAUAUUAUGUAUAUAAAACUUAACACAAAUCUAAAAUGUUAUAGAGAUUUAUAAAGACAAACAAUUUUCAAUACAAAUGCAUAAAAUAUUUAUUUUGAUAUAUUUCAAUAAUAUAUUAAAUAAUUUUAUAUUUGUAUAAAAAUUUAUUUACACGAUGUAUAUACUAUAAACUUUUAAUUUAAAUUAAAAAAAAUAAUAAAAAUAAAAUUAAAAUAAAUAAAAGAAUUGAACGAGAUGGUUAAACUCUAAAUUUUCUUAUUUUUGAAUUUAUUUUAUAUAUAUAAAAAUGUUAGUUAAAUUAAUUAUUUUUUCAUUCGUUGGCAUUCCAACUCUGAUUAUUUUAUUCCUUCAAGAUUUUAAAUCAAAUCAAUUGAACUAUUUAAUCUAUUAUAUUUUCAGACUUAAUCAAAGCACCGAUAGUCUACAAAUUAAUCACCUAUUUUAUGUUGAAGUUUAUGUAUUAAAAGAAAAGAACUGUGAUACAAAAAAAUAGAAAAGAACUAAAAAAGAAUGAGAACCGUAAAGAUCAAACUUUGAACUAUUUAACGGAUCAUGAUUUGCUAUAAUUUGGGAUCACGCAUUUUCGUGUUGUAUUUCAUCUGAGCCGUGUAUUUUAGAUCAAACGUUUCAUAACACACUGUUAAUUUAAUUGCACGAUAUAAUCUCAAUCGUUGAUCUAAAUCAUAUAAUUGAGCACUAUAACUACGUAACCCAGUCCCAACAUAGAAUCAAAUUCUGACUGAAAAAUACAAACUUUGAUGGGAUGCUAUGUUUUUUGUUGUUGAUGGACACAGACAUAGACAAUGUCAAGUAUCGUCAAGAAGGUUUAGUCCUAUGGUUUCGAAUACGACAUCGAUGAGUAUUAAGAAAUAAUAGUUUUUUUAAAAUAAAAAAAUGAAGGGAUAUUAAGAAAGUUAAGAGGUUCAAUAUCUUUUAGGAAGACCAAUAAGCACGAAAACUCACGAAUGGUUUAAUAGUGUAGGAUAAAUCUUUUUUGUUUUUAUUAUUUAUUUUUAAUUCUCCCAUGUAUUAUUUGCAUCCGCUUGAUUUUCAUCGUCCAUGUUUCGUGCGCUGGAGUGUCGUGCUAUACAGUAGUUCCACUCUUAUGCAAACUUGAAAAGCCAAUAAAACUAAUUUUAUUAAAACCAAAAAGCUAACCAGACAAUUAAAGAAUUAUCAAAUUAGAAAAACAAAAUCAUUAUUCAUAGAAGUUCCUGCAAUGACAAUAACUAAGUAAUUGAAUGAAAUGUAAAAAUUAAAUUUUAAUUAAAAGCAAAUCAAAUUUAAAAUAUUUAAUUUUUAAUAUAUUUACGUAAAAUGGAAUUGAAUAUUAAAUUAAAAUACAUUUUAAAAAUUAAAAGGUACAAACUAUAACUUUAACUUAUAAUUAAUUUUAAAGGUAAAAUAAAUUUUACUUUAAUAAUAAUAUAUUUAAAUAUAAUUUUUUUUCUUAAAAAAAAAAAGACCGUACAGAGUCGCAAAAGUGACGGAAAUAGAUGAGAUAGUAACGAAAAUUGCAAAACCCCUUGAGCAUGAGCACCCAGAUGCAGAACCCUGCAGGCUGCUGCAAUGCAACAUGUUUCACUAUCUAGUUAUCGUUCGUUGCUCUCGUGCCUGCACAAUUUUGCAGCAGUUACCUAACAAUAAUCCAACGUAAUUAAAAACGAAUUAUUGCACCCAAGAGGCCAGACUACGCAAGUCUCAAAAUUAAAUCAACCACAAUAAUUAAGUUAUAUUUCAAGUAUCAAAUACCGAUAUUGUUAAGUUUAACCGACUUCAAAUAAGAGAAUACCAAUAUUAUUAGGUUUAAUGCGAAUUUAAAUAAAAAAUCUAUGAAUUAAUUGUAGUGGAUUUUUUUAUCUUUUUUAAAUUAAAAAAAAAAAUCAAACUCAAUUUAAUAUGCUUAUGUUUACUCUCUCUCAAAAUAAUUGACAAUUUUAAUUUAAAAUGUAAUUUUUUUAUUAUAUAUUUUAAUUUAAUAUUACUUAUAUUAUUUUCAAUGUUACAUUUAUUCUGUUUUAAUUAUAUAUAUUUUUAAUAUAAGAUGAUUAAAUAUUUUAAUUAUUUUAUUACAUAAUUUGUUUUGAAUAUUAGCCAGCAUUAUGUGGAAUAACUAACCUGAACGAGACCAAAACUAGUUCAUCAAAUUAAGCUGUAAAUAAUAAGAAAUUAGUUUCUUUUCAAUAUUAAUGGGAACACAUAAAAUUCGCUUUAUAUCAUUAACUACAACAAAAAUCUCUCUAAUUUUCUCGUCACUAAAUUGACUUUAUAUUUUAAUUUAUGUCUCUAGAUUUUCCUUGCUAAUUUAAUCUUUUUGAAUAGUAAUUUCACAGUUACGUAUUGAUAUCAACAUUAAUUAAAAUUCUGUCUGACAAAAACAUAAUAUCAACACCAAUAGUUUUUUGAAAUAGCUGAUUCACUCUAACUCUAUUAAAUCACCAAACCACGUAAUAACUUUCGGCCAACCCAUGUACCGACAUUAACUAAUUAAUGUAGAUAUUAUCAUAGUAAUAUUAACAUUCACUAGCAGAUAGAAAAAAUUAAAAGAUGAAUUUCAUGUUUUAAUUUUUCUCUAGAUUUUCACGCUAAUUUAAUAUUUUUUCAGUAGUAAUUUCCCAUUUACUACAUUAACAUCCUGUAAAAAUAAGUAUGUCGACAAAAUCUCAAUAUCUACGUUAAUCUAUAAAUGUUUUGAGGGAAUUUACUAAUUUAUUAACAAUAGAGUAAAAAAUUUAUUAUAAAAAUAUUUGACAUUUUAUACGAAGGAACAUUAAUAUCUUAAGCUAUCUUUUAUAAAAAUUAGCGGUAAAGUUUAAUUUUUCUGUUAAAAUAAGUUUUUAUUUAUUUAUUUUGAACUGUGUGUUAUAAAAUCAUAUUAACAUAUAAAAUGUUAUGUUUUGAUUAAUAUAAAUCACAUUUAUUUCUCUCUUUUUACCACUUGUAUAUAUCAAAUUUGAAACAUUACAAAUCUCAUGAAACGGUCUCUAAUUUCUAUUUUCAUGAAAUACUUUAUCCGUUCACAUUAAGUUAUAUGUUAUAUUGAAACACAUUUAAUAUUUUAUAUCAACUUAAAUCAAAUCAUAAUUAGAUGAAUUUGUUCUUAAUAAUCAAAUCCAAUGAAUUUUUACUCUGCUGUUAGUUUUUAUCUUUUAAAUUUAUGAAUCCCCAUAUAAUUUUUCCACACAGACAGUAAACAUGCGUAGGGGACGGGUCCACGGUGAGGAUAACGUAGACUCGUGCCUCUACUUGCAUUUUGAUUUCCUCCAUAUUAUAGUAGUAUAUUUAUUCUCUAGCAAUAUAAUUUAUAAAUAUAAUAUGGUAGUAUAUAUAUGCAUGCAGUUAAAAACAUUUAUUUCAUUGUUUUUGUUUCAUCUCACUUUUCUUAAUUUUUGUAAUAAGAAAACUUACAAAUAUAGUAAAAAAAUGUUAUGUGAUGUUUUAAUGUUAUAAAUAUAUUAAAAAUAUAUUUAACCUUUAAAUAUAAAUAACUUUUUAUAUACACAGGUCAUUUAAUACUGAUAGCAUGUUUGAUAUCGAGGAAUUCAUUUGAUAUUUUUUUUGUUGAAUUUUGAUUAUCAUUAUUUAUUAUUACUUAAAAGGAUGGUGAGAAGUGGACAAAGGUAGUGUCAGAAAUGAAAGUAUUUACAUUUUGAAAGAGAAAAGGAAAGGUUAAAAAGGGUAAAUUGGUAGGGGCAUUAGAGUCAAUUGAAAAGGAAGUGUCAUUCAAAACUACAGGAGUCAAGAAAAGAAAAGAGAAUCAUGUUAUUCCCUCAUUUUUACCCCCUCCAAACUUUUUCCUGUCUCCAUCCAAACCUACUGUCCAACUUUUCUUUCCUAUUUCCUCCAAACCCUCUCUCUCUCUCUCUCUCUCUCUCUCUCUCUCUCUCUCUCUCUCUCUCUCUCUCUCUCUCUACAUCAAGAAUGAAAUAUAUUAAUAUAACCAUUAACAAGCUAUGAUAUCAUGAACCAAGUUUGAGUUUGUUUCACCCUUUUAAGGAAAAAAUAUCAGAAAUCAAAGCUUCUAAAAAAUACACUGCUAUAUCUUUGAGAAGAGCUUUCUAACUAUAUAUACUUCAAUUAACACUUCACAAUACUCAUCCAAUCAAUCUCAUCACACAUUGAAAAGAAAAAAAAAAGAAUUCCUUCUUUCUGCUUCAUCAUUUUCAGGUAUAUAUCUCCUAUUUCUAUCUCCUAAAAUAAACACAACAAAUUCUGUAACCUACCAAUUAACAAUCAGAAUUUGUUUCCUUUCUUUCUUCAAAAGUUGUUCUUGAUUUCAUUUUAAAGAAACUUGUAAAAGGAUUAUAAAAAAUCAAACAAGAAAUCAUUGAAAUUAUAAGUAUAGUAACUCUCAUCUCACUCUGAUCACAGGAACCCUAGAAAAACAAGGUACUCCUGUCAAAGCAACUUUGGAUCUACAAAGCAAAGAGUUGAAGGAAAUUAAUUAAAGUUGAAGUAUAUAUAUAUAUAUGGAUUCAAUUCAAGAAUUUAUAAACACAUGUAACAUUGAAAACAGCUGCAACUUCAUGAAUAACAACAACAGUAUAAGCAGUACAACAAGCUUAACAACAACAGCAAGUGGAAGUUCUUCAUCAUCAGCUGUUUCAACCAUCACCACCAACACACCAAACAGUAGCAGCCGCUAUGAGAAUCAGAAACGCCGUGAUUGGAACACUUUCGGUCAGUAUCUUAAGAAUCAUCGACCUCCUCUUUCGCUCUCGCGGUGCAGCGGUGCACAUGUUCUUGAAUUUCUCAGGUAAAUAUGUAAAUAUAAUCAACAUGCACCCUCUCUUUCUUUUUAUUUCUAUCUCUAACACUACAUAUCAAGGUUUUAAAUAGCACUUCCAAUUGCAUCGCAAUUCUUAAUAUUAGUUUGUGACAUAUAAAACACAAUUCUUUAUGUUUUGAAAUGGAUCUUCUAUAGCAAAUGGAAGAGAGAGUAAGAGAGAAGAAGAAUUGAUGAGAGAUGGAAAGUGGAGAAGAUCCAAAUCGCUAUUGAAAUUGUAGUCACAUAUUUUUGAAAGUGUUGAUUAUGUAUAAAUAUAUCUCAGAAUAAUAGUUGAAUGUGUGUAGGUACCUGGAUCAAUUUGGGAAGACAAAAGUUCACACACCAAUAUGUCCGUUUUAUGGACAUCCAAACCCUCCAGGGCCAUGUCCAUGUCCUCUAAGACAAGCAUGGGGAAGCCUUGAUGCACUAAUAGGUCGUCUUCGUGCAGCCUUUGAAGAAAAUGGAGGAAAACCAGAAGCUAAUCCUUUCGGUGCUCGAGCAGUGAGGCUCUACCUUCGUGAGGUUCGUGAUCUUCAAUCCAAAGCAAGAGGAAUCAGUUACGAAAAGAAGAAAAGAAAGCGUCCACCAUUGCCAACACCACCUCCUACUGCUGCAAACUCAUUAGAUAUCAUCAAUUGACACUCUUCUCUUAAUCAAUGCUCUUUUUAUUAUCAUAUUUAGGGUUUUUAUUUUUAUUUUUAUAAUAAUAUUAUGUGAAAGCUGCUGUGAAAUCUGAUGAUAGAUAUAAGACUGUUUGUUUGUCUUUGGAUUCUGUUUGGUUGCAGAUGAAAAAGUGUUCAAAUUCUGAUAAAUCAUUUAUCUGCUUUUAAAGAUUUAGCAGAGACUGUUAUGUUGCUUGUACUCAUAGUAGACUCGCAGUGGACUGGAAAAGUUGAAGCUAGUCAUCAUAGUGAUUCUCAACAAGGAACCACUUACUUACAAUCACAGUCACAACCAUGGCAUUAUUAUUAUUUAUUAUAUAUGUUUAUAUGUUUUUGUACAAUUAUUCAAUAUGUCAAACUUAGACUUGCAGCACAUUAUAUGUCUUUAAUCACAUAUGCAUACUUUCUGUUGGAACAUAUAUAUAUUAUAUGUUAUAAUAAAAUUUCUAUUUUUGAAGGCUUGAAUUUUACUACAAUUGUUACUAAUUUGAUGUGUCACAAAUAGAAUUUAAGUUUCUAACUUUCAAGAUACAUUUGUGGCAAGUUUUCACUUCCAUUUAGAGAUGCAUAUAAUACAUAGUAAUGUGGAUAACACUAUUUGAGUCUAAUGUAUAUAUUGAUGUGAUAAUUAUUUGUUCAUAUCUAUCUAUACAAAAAAAGAUCUUUUUCUUAUCAUAGCUUACUUUUAUAAAUUCCUUUCAUCUGAUUAGAUACUUGAAUUGGAGUAUUGUUUUAGUAUGAAAGAGAAUACUAUAUAGAAAGUUUAAUGAUUCAUAAUAAUAAUGGUUAAUCGUUAAACAAAUAAAUUACUUUCUUUUGAUAAUAUUCUAUUUCAUUCUUGUGUGCAAUGCAGUAGUGCUAUCAUUUCAACUUAUACCAAACAAAAGAAAAUUAAUUAAUGGCAGACAAUGUAAUUAAUUUGUAUAUCACUGAACCUUCAAUUAUUUGUUUCAUAUACUUUAUGCUAGCUAAAAUAUGGUUUUCAUCUCAAUAAAAAUAAAAAUAAAAAUUAAUUUUCUUUAAUAUUCUUAGAAUGGUUUAUGUUAAUCUAUUCUAUUCAUCUCCAUUUAUUUGGUUUGAAAUACUGGUCAUGCAGGAUUAUUGUUAUUUUUUUAAAAUAGAAAAAAAAUAUGUUAAAACUGAAAUAUAAGAAUAUAUUCCAACUCAAAUAAACCUUAAAAAAAGGAACCAAGAUCAAACAUAAUACAGGUCAUUCUCAUUCAAAUAUUUCUAAAUCCAAUUCGUUGAAUAAUGUCAUUAAGACAAUCGUUUUAUACCUCAAAAUAAAGUAAAUUUUUUACUUAAUUAAUAGUCGAUCCUCCCGUGAUCAUGCCAUCAUCAUAAGUUCAUAACCCUACAUAUUCUACUAUUUUAAAACUAAAGUUUAAAAAAACUAUCUAAAAUAAAUAAUUUCCAACAAAGAUUAAAUAGAUUGACUUUAUUAUUGAUUGAAAAGAAAUAUCAAAAGAAAUCAAUUUCAAUAAUUUAAGAAAGAAUUUUUCAAUCUAAAACCUAUAUUAAAAAUAAAUUUUCAUAUGAAGGGUAAUUGGCAUAUUUAAAGAUAUUAUAAAUAGAGUUUAAACAUAUGUCAUAUAAAAUUAGAUUAUCUAAAAUAUAAUUUUAAAAUAUAUCAAAAUGUAAUUUAAUUUAUUAGUCUAUUAACUAGUUAAUUUAUCUAAAGAUAAGUUAUUUGAAUAAAUUAUUAUAAAAUAGACUUUUAAGUUAACAUACAACUUCUCAAGAGUACUUAGAUGAGAUGACACUUGUCUCUUCUAACUUAAUCAAAGUCGUAAGUUCGAACCUAGACUUGAGCAUGGAACAACAUUAAAAAAUUUAGUGAGAAUUUAUCGUCCAUUUAAAUUCUACCAAACUCUCAAGAUAAAUUUAUUAAGUUGUACAUGAAGGAUACUCUGGCUUACACUAAAAUAAUGUAUAACUUUAAAAAAUAUCAAACUCGAGUCUUAAAAUAAGUCUAUAACAAAUAAUAAGUCAUAUUUUAGCUUUAACUUUUUAUAUAAGUUUCUUGUAAAGUUUCUUUCAAGUAACAUUAUUUUUAUUUUUUUAUAAACAAAUAUUAGUAAUAAGUUAAUUUAACAUUUUUUACAAUUUGAAUUUAUCCGACAAGUUAGCUGUCCUAAAAUAUUGUGUUAUCUAUCCUUUUUGUAACGUGAUCUAAUUUUUUCUUUUAUGGCUCAAAAAGAAUAAUUUUCCUUAAUCCCUCUGGGUGGAUGAAGAGACGCCUAUUAAGCUUUUUAUUUUUUGUCACAAGCAAAACCCAAUAGGACAUAUGAUAUAUGCUGUAGAUCAAGAUUAGCUAAGCUUACGACACCUAAAAGUUAUUCUAGUGGGACAUACAAGUCUACCACUUGUGAAGACAUAAAGGAUCUAUUCUUUCAUGUAAUUAUUCAUAUAUAUGGUGUUUGUUUGUUUUAAGAUGUAAUCAUAAUUUCAACAGCAACAAAAAAAUAUAAGGAAUAUUAUGUCCAUGAUUGUCGUUUUCAAGUGAUGUGUGUGCUCUUGUGUCUACAAUUAAUGUGCUUGGUAUAAUAGUCUAUAUAUUAAUGUGAGUGUAGGUUAAUAAAUAAAUUGUUUUACUUAAGAAUAAUGAUAUGUGCUUGCCAUUGAUCGUCUAACAAUCCAUGAUUUAGCUCUAUGAUUGAAAAAUACCUCAGAACCAAUGGAAUUAAUAUCGUUAAUUAAUAACAAAUGAGUAAAAUGUUGAAUGUAUAGAAAAAAUAACUCAUAGACACAUUGUCAAUUAUGUUUAGAUGUAAUGUCAAAAUUUCUUUAGGGAACAUUAAUUGUUUCACUGUGUAAUAAGUCGAUUUAUUUUAAUAUUUUUAGUUAAAAUGUAUAUAUAUUAAAAUGUUCCAUGGAAAGCCAGCUGAAGAAGUGUGUUUUGGAGAGGAUCUAAUUUGCACGACCUAAAUUGGUCUUAGUCACUAAUCUCUCAACUCAAAAAUCUCACUUAGCAUCCAUAUGUAAACUUAGCCUCCCCUUUGGCAGAAACAAUACUCCAAAUCAACAAUGACUGGUCGAUACCAAUAAACAUAUAACUCUCAUAAAAAAACCACAACACAUUACCAAGGUAAAAGUUCCAUAAAAAAAAUUUGCAUCCAAAGGAAGAAUAACCUUAAUUAUAGUAAUAUUGGAUAUUGAAUAUUGUGCAAAAUAUUUGUCCUCAAUGAAUCACACGUACACAUGCACAAGGCAGUGAUAACUAGCGAAUAGUGCUAACAAAUGGGGCAAUAGAGGCCCAAUAGGGUAGUAAGUAAAGUUUUUUUUUAUUAAAUGGAAUAUAAGAAGUAUUUUAACCUUUACAAUUAAAAAAAAAAGCACAAUCUUAAUCCAACAUAAUAACAAGUAGUAACUAUUCACAUAUCUGACAACAACAAAAAGCCUAAUACAAAACAAACACUACAACCAUCUUAAACAAGGGAUGCCCCCACCUUCCCACAACAUAGAUUCCCUACAAACUGCCUAUAAGGUAGUAAGUAAAGUGGCCCAAUGUUUGUUUAGCUUUUCCAUAUAUACUCAUUAUGGUAGUUAUUUUAAACCAAUACUCAAAAUAAUCUACGUCGAUUCAUAUUUACACAUCACUUAUUUAUAUUUUUUUACUGUUAAUUUCUAUAAAAACUUAAUUAUUUCAAUGCAAUAUUUCUACAAAAAUUACAAUAUUGGUGUCUAUUUACCACUUUUUGUUUCAUCCUUCAAUAGAGGUGGCUAAUAAGAUGAAUCCCUAUUAACCAAAGUAAAUUUCAUUGGUGAUAUUGGUCUAACAUAAUUGGCUGAGCUCCCACGUUAUGAAGAAUACAUUUUACUGUUUUACGGAUCCAAGCGCAGAAUUAUCAGCUACUAGAAACGGACCACAAUAUGUUGCAGUUCGGGACUAUGUCAUUUUACUAUGUAUUUCAUCUCAACUCUUCACUUUAGAUCAUAUAAUUACAAUAAAAAUAUUAACUACUACUUAAAUAUAUUAUUAUUUAAUUUAAUUAUUCAGAUUGAAAUAAUUUUUAUAUCUGUAAACAUGAUGCGGUGGAUAUAUAUAGGAUUCUAUAUUUAACAAGAGAAAAGUUUAAGGAAAUAGAUUAAAUAUUCAUUUCGAAAUUCUUUUUAUUGUCUGGUUUCUUGUAACUAAUAUGAGAAUAUGGAAAUAAAUGGAUUUUUUUUCUCUACUUUUAAUUUUACCCCUAUUUUUCUUUUCUCAUUUUUUAAAUCUCAUCAUAAUUACAAAAUUGUUUUCCUUUCCCUUACCUUUCUUUCCUCUCACUUUUCUUGUUUAAUAAAUCAAACAUAGAAAUAAUGAUUUUAAUCUAUGUUGUUGGGAAUGGGUUGAUUAACUACCUUGGAUAUAGGAUUCUAAUUUUUAUGCUUUUAUGUGUGAAGUAACAACGUUCCCAUAAUGCGAUAGUAAACAAACUUGAAUCUUCUACACAUUCUUUACUCUCUAUCUUUUAUUUUGUUUCUCUCUCUUCCAUUUGAUGGAGAGGAUCAACUUCACAAGGUAUACAGUGACCAUUCCAAGUGAUGGAUGUCAACGUAGAUUUUGAUGAGCUCAAAAGGAUUGGCCACGGUUUGGAUCGAUGGGGUGGAUAUGUAGGUGUAGAAGAUGGAUACGUCCAUCCAUCCAUGACUUAUGAAACCUUUAAUGUUUUGCUUGGAAAAUUGAGGAUAUAACUAAUAAGUUAGUUGAUAGGUGAACUUUAAAGUUAAUUCAUUUAGGUUGAAUUGUUUGAUAAGAGUAGUAGUUAAUAUAUAGUUAUAAAAUAUGUAAAAUGACAAAAACUAUUUGUAAUUAAUUUUUUUUUAAUUAAGACAAUCAGAGUAAAAAUUGAAGAAAAAAUAAAACGUUAUAUGUUCAAUUAUUACUUCAAUUAAUUUUAUCAAAAAACGUUACAAAUCCAUAAAAAAAAUAUUAUCAAAUAAAACUAUUAACUUAAACGCUAUAAACUAUAUCCGAUGUAAAUAUUUUUUUUGUUUUAAAUAGACCGUGUGACUUUAUUUGAUAAAUUGUGGAUAAGCUAGCAACUAACCUAAUAAAUUUGAAAUUACUAAUAAAAUGAAGUGAUAGAUAUAAAAUAAUAUUUUUUAAAUUAUUUAUUCCGUCUUACUGUGAGUGACUCGAUUAUAAUUAAAAAUUAUCUCAAAAUGCACAUAUUCUUCCAAAUUUUAAUGUAUUUUUCUUUUUUACUCUGAAAUUAAUACUCAUUAUGUCCUAAACACACCCUUGCUAACAAUUUGGCAUCUGUAAACUAUUAAGAGCUAACAAUUUGGCCUACAUGACAAAAGUAAUUUUUCUUACGAAAUUGCACACGCACGUGUAAAUAUUUUAAACAAGGAAAUAUAGAGUUUCUUUUUCGUGUUUGCUAGAAAUAACAGCUAGGACAGACAAAAAAAAAAGAAAGAAACACAUAUAGGAAAAGUUGAAAUGAGCCAAUAACAGUUUGUUGGUCAACAACAUCAAUUGCGUAUUUGCAUGUUUGGAUUCCACCGAAGAAUCGUGCAUGUUAACGCAGACCCCAUCCGGAAUCUCCGUUGGCACUACAAGACUAAAAUAACACUGUGAGUCAGUAACUUGGUACUACGUAACCGAUGUGACAUGUCCUUCAUUUUUCUUCACAAAAUAAUCAUAUUUUUUAUUUAAACUAAAAUAGAUAAAUUAAUUGAAAAUAAUAUAAAUUUGUUAUAUCCAUGAAUAACAUUAAAUUGAAAAUUGUUUACAAAUUUAAAAUAAAAUAAAAUUAUCGAAAUACUUACAUUAUCACUCUGCAAUGUUUACAACUUUAAAGUGAUUGGUUGAAUUUUUUAGAUAUAUAUUAAAUUAAUUUUUCUAUUUUAAUAAAAUAAAUAUUAUAAUAAAAUGAAAAAAUAAAUAAAUUUGCACCGAAAAAACAAACAAAACAUCAUAACAUAAAUACAUAAAGAAAAUAUAAAUUUACAAAAAAUCACUUAUUUUGAUUAAAAAGUACAUAAAACAAUAUAGAAUAAUAAAAACAAUAUAAAAUUAUGAUACCAGACUAAAAAUAAUUUAUAUUUUUUUAAGAUAAAGAAGAAAUAGUUAAAUGAACAAAAAGUUUAGAUGGCUAUAUUAAAAACAUCAUGUCUUUAAUAUAGUUUGUAUUUUUCUUAUGAGAGAGAAAUAUCAACAAAUAAAUUUUUGUUUACUUCAAAACUAUAUUAAUUAUUUUUUUUACAUAAACAAUAUUCAUUAUUGAUAGAAUAGAGAAGAACACACUUUUUCAAAAUAAAAUAAAAUAGAGAAUAUCACAAAUUCAUAGUUACUAAAAGACUUAAUUGCAGUUUUAGUCAUCGUAUUUUAACUGAAUCACAAAAAUAAUCUUCUAUUUUAUUUCUCCUCAGUUUUGGUCCCCUAAAUAAAAAUUUGGUCUAAAACUUGAUAAAGUGUCAUUUUUUAAAAUCAAACCACACCAUUUAUGAUCAUAGAUUUCAAGUACAAUUAUUGCACCACGAGAUAUUGAAGCAUAGUGUGACUUAAAUAAGCGCAAAAAAAUGACAUUUCAUCAAGUUUUGGAUCAAAAUUCUAUUUGAAAUACCAAAAUUAAAGAAAAAUAAAAUGGAGAGACUGUUUUUGUGAUUCAGCUAAAAUAGAGGAAUUAAAACUGCAAUUAAACCUUAUUAAAAUUAAAAUUAAAAAUUCCAGCAAACACUUAAGUUGCAUUUAAGUGCUUUCUUUAAAGGCAUUUGCGUGUUGAUAAUUCCAUUAUUUUAUAUAUGUGAUUACUGAUUAAUUAUUAUAUAUUCUAAUAUAUUUUAAGGACACUUGUUAAAAAUAUAAAUUUAGAAUUAUAUGAAAAAUAAUUUAUAUAUAGAUAUAAAAUAUUAGAAGUUGUAUCCGUAAGGUUAAGAUCAAUUGUUAAAUGUUGAAAUUGUUAGAUCGAAUAUCAUGUUUUUGAUUCGAACUUUGGAAACUCAUAGUUACAUAUGAUUUUUUAUCUUUGCAUUUAAAGAAAAUAUUAUAAAUAUUCUCAAUUCAUUAAUUAAAAAAUUCAUAUAAAAAAAUAUGUAGUAAAAUAUACUCCAGUAUCAAGACUGAUAAUUAAAGUAACAAUGUUGAUUUAUAAGGAAGUGGGUUUGAAUUGUAAAUGUUUCUAUUUAAAAAUUUCUGAAAAACUUAAGGAUUUAACUCAAGAAUGAUCUUGGUUAAGAAAACACAAAACAAAUAACGUUAUUGGCUUUCACCAAAAAAACGGAUAACGUUCUUGAUUAGUUUGAAAAACAGAAAUUCAGUUUAUGUUUUAAUUCAAGUAAUUAAUCAGGUUUAAUAAAUAAGGAGAUAACAAAAAGAAUACUACACAAGGAUGUAUCGUGAUUCAUUCAACUUGUGCUACGUCCAAAAACUCACAUAAGUGUUUAAAACAAAUAACCUUCUGGAUUUUACAACACCUAAUUCAUAUCAGACUUGAUCUAUUACAAGAUAUAUUUCUUUUCACCCAGAAAGAUAUAUAUUUCUUUUCACCCAGAAUAGAUAUAUAUUUUAUUUAUUGCAUUUUUUUGAAAAAUAACUUGAACCAUCUUAAUUUAUGCGUGUUUGAGAAAUGACGAUCAUGGAAUCAGGUUAAUGACUAUUGUAUUUUUUAAUACGUGGAAAUAAACUUAAAUAAUAUUUAAUUAAAAAUAGAGGAAUUAAUAUUUAAUUUAAUAUAAAAAAUUUAACUUUAUAUUUUCAUUUUAAUUUAUUAAGUGAUACGUUUAGCAAUUUGUGGUGUAAAAGCUUCAAGUUAUUUUGUGGUGAGACCCACCCAAAAAUGUAUUGUCACUAAUCACUAUACCAGACAACGGGGGCAGGUCUGCACGUGUAGCUUACACUCUUUUGUACUUUGGUUUUGGGAUUUGAGUUGUCAAAAAUGAGUAAUUAAUUUUAAAAUUUAAAAUAAAAAAUAUCAUCAAUAAUUGAAUGAAUUAUAUUAUAUUAUAUAUAUAUAUAUAUAUAUAUAUAAAUUAAUUAUGAAUAAUUAUAAUAUUAAUAAAUUUUGGAGAAUUGAACGUGGACAUUUUCUUUUCGUAUAAGACCAGAGAUGUCGAUACCAAUUGACAUGGACAACCUCAAAAAACAAAUAUUUUUUAAAUAAAUAAUUAUAAUUUUAUAGUUUCUUAUAAAAAAAUAUUUAUAUAUCUAUUAAUAUAUCUAUUUUCUUUUAAAAAAUUUAUCACUUAAUUAAUAUAUCUAUUUCUAUUAUUUUUUAUAUUUAAUCUCUACUGUACUUAUAAAUAAAAUAUUUAUAAUAAUAAAAAUUAUUAAGAUAUGAUUUAAAAAUAAAUUUAAAGAUAUAUUUCUUGUAAAUAGUUUAGUUUUUUUAUAUUAAAAAAAUUAUAUUAAUUAUCAUAAAUUUAAUUAUUUAAAGUGUCAUUUAGUAUUAUUUUAUCAAUAUAUAAUUUGCUAAAAAAAAUUGGUCAUCUCUUAGCGUAGAUUCGCCGUUGUAUAAGACAUUCUCUUUCUUUAAACAACUAACAAAACAAAAUAUAAUUUGCUUUCAAAAAAUUUAUGGCAACUAAAAGAUGCAUUCCCAUUGAUUAUUUUCUUUUAGGACAGUUGAAAUUAAUUGAUUUCCUUAGUUUUUAUUUAAUCGAGUUGAUCCUUUUUCGCAUAAUAUAUCAUGUUUGAUCGAGACAAAUCAAUCUGUUCAAGUGAUCUGUCAAAUAAUUAUGCUAUGUGUAUCACCGAUUAGCCCAGAUGUUGGAUUUCCUUUUUUCUUAUUGGUUUAAGGAGGAUUCACUGCAUGUCCAUAAAAUAAUUAUCUAUUAAAUAUUUAUUUUCCUAUCAAAUUUAAAGACCAAUAUAAAAUAAAAGGAGGGAUACUAAUAAAAAUAGCGAUACAGUUUAGUUUAUUUGUAAAAAUACGAUAUUUUAUUUUAGUUUAAUUUAAUUUUCAAUAAUAAAAUUAGUGAUUGUGUUUUUGUUAAUUAAUUUUAUCUUAAAAAAAAUAUUAUAUUAUAAUUAACUCAAACAAUUGUAAAAUUUUAAGUUUGAAUAGAACAAAAUAUUUUAUAUUAUAAUAUUAAUUUUUAUCAUUUGAACUACGAAUUAACAACUUUAGUUUAUUUUAUUUGAGUUUAAAUUUUUAUCUUUUUUUUACUAAAAAUAAAAUAUUCUAUUUUUAAAAUAAGAUAUUGUUUUAACAUAAGCAAGUUUAUAAAUGAGAAUUAUAGCGGAGAGACCCAACACCCACCUCAAUGACAUUAAUUACAGAAUUGCAAUAACCACAUAUUUAUGCUCAAUGAAUAAGAAAAUUAUGGAUGCAUUAUAAUCAGUUUCGUUGACCAAAUUAUUGAGCGUAAAAAGCAAAAUUGUUUACUUGUAUUAAUAUCUUUUUUUUAUAUUGAAUUGAUAUUUUUUUUUAUUAGAGUAGAAAUAUGUAAUUUUUUAAUUAAUUAUAGAUUAAAUCAAUUUUUAUAUAAUUACGAUGUUUUAGGUUUGAAUUUAAAAUGUGAUAUUCAAUCUAAUAAUUUUAAUAUUUGUUAAUUAAGUUAGAUCUUAUAAAUAAGGUUGACUUCUAACGAUAAAUCAAUUUUAAAAAUAAAAUUAAUGUAAUUAAAUGGAGAUUAUAAACUAUCACUCAAAACUUUAGCUAAUGAAAAAAAAGGUAAGUCUCUAACCUAAACGUCUCACACACAAAAUAUUCUGGACGAGCAAUAACUUAAUGAAACUCAAUAUUGUCACUUUCACUGUUCUUCUGUUGCGCGGGCCUUCGAAUCGGUUUUGGGCCUCAUUGAAAUCAAAGACUAGCUCUUCCAAAAAAGACUUUCAGCACAUAGUUUGUCUUCAGUUCGUCUGGAUGGUAGCUUACUCUAUCAUCCUCUAUGUUUUUAAAAGUUUCCACGAUACAUUAUGAAUUUACCAUUCCAAAAAAUAUCAAGAAGUGAGAGGAGAAACUAUUGUCUUCGUCAGGAUUGGCCUCAUUUAGGUUACACCCCAGCGGUUUGUCCUAUACUCCCAACAAUUCAAUAAAAUUAGUAGUCAUUCAACUAUUCUAAUAAAAAAACAAUUUUAUUUAUAAAUAUUUUAGAAAAAUUCAGAACACAAGUUAGGAAAAAUUUAAGAUAAAGAGAUGGUGUCUCAAUUUAAAAUACAUAAUAUUUUCAACUUUAUCGAAUAUAUAUUGAAUCUCACGAGAGCACCACCAGCUUGUGCGAUCUCCCCCAUUGUAUUUGAGGGAAGAUUUUCAUCUACAUGGCGUGAACUAACGUUUUUUAGUUUGAUUCAAUCACGACCUGCAACCACCCAUUAUCCGACGUGGACUUUAAUUUAAUAAUAUCAUAAAAUCUAUUUAAAAUUUAAAUAGUUGGAUUACCUUGGAAGCCGUAACCGCACUUCUAAAUGUAAUCCAAAAGUAUUGCAGCGAGGAAGCCUUCCAUAGUCACAAGAUUAUGUUACAAGUUUUAGGUUCACUAAAAAAAGUAAACUGUAGAAAUAACUUUUUUUUUUUAAAAAAAAAUUUUAAAUAAUUAAAAAAAAUUAUCAUAAAAAUCAUAAAAGUUAUGUUGAAUCGAUUUGAAUUAAUAAAUGUUUUUUUAGUCAAAAAAAUAAAAUUAAUAUUUUGUGAAUGUGUUUUGAGUAUGUUUGAAUGAGGUAAUUGAAAAUUAUAGAGAAAUUAUAAUUAUAGGUAAUUUAAAUGCUUCAAUUGAACUCAUUUUAAUUCUAAAUUUUGUUGUUUUGAUAAAAAAAAAUUAUUCUUUUAAAAUUAAACUCUUUUUAUAAAUUUAAAAAGUUUAGAGACAAAUAUGAAAAAUAAAUUUAAGCCAAAAUUGACAUUUAAAAAAAUUAAGGCACUAUUUUGGAAAUUUUAAGGAAUCAAUUUACAAAUUUGAAAAUUUUUAGAGAGCAAUUCGUAAAAAUAAAAAAUAGGUACUAAUAUGAAAAUUUUGAAAUAUAUAAGAUUAAAAUUAUAAAUUCAAAAAUAUUAUAGUGACUAUUUCAUGAUUUAUAUAUGAUAGUGACAUUUGAAAUUUAUCUAAAUUUAUCUUUGAAAAAAUAGUUCAUGACAUCUUUCAUUUUGAAAGUUCUCUGUAUAAGAUAAUUUGCAUUAGAGAAUUUGAAUUCUUUAAAAAAAAUUACAUUCCCUAAAAGUUUCUUCAUCCAAACACAAUCUAAGAGAUUUAUAUUUGUUUUUGAGCAAAAAUACACAUGUAGUCAUCAAAGUUUUAUUUUAUUCUAAUUUAAUCAUUUAAAUUAUAUUAUAUUUGUAUCGUUAAUUUUUUAUCUCAAUUUAAACAAUAAUUGAUUUAAUUAAAAGUUUUUUUAUCAUUUAACACUCUAAUAAAUGCUGCCACAAUAUGUCAUUCAUUAUAAUGUUUCAGAAAAUAUUUAUCAAAUCUUAUAAAUAAUAUAUAUUUCUUGAUUUUUUCUACAAUAAUAUAAACACACUAUAAUAUAAAAAAACAAGAUAAUAAAUGUCUAUUUAAAUGAUUAAUAUAUUUAGUUACUUUCAUAUGUAAAAUAGUUUAAAUAAUUUGUUACGAUAUUUUAAUUAUAUAUUAAUAUUUUAUGAUAAUAAUUCAAAAAAUAUUUCAAAUUUAAGAUAUUAUAUAUAUAAUUUUAUAUAUUUAAAAAAUCAAUAAUAUAAAUAAAUAUAACUUAAAAAAUUGAAUCAGGACAAAAUAAAUUUAAAAGAUUUAAGUAAAAAUUAAUUUAAACUUAAAAAAUAAAAAAAUUAUUUUUGGUGUGAUUUUGUUGUGACCUUUCAAGAAUAAUCAUGCUGUGUUACAAAUAUAUUUAACUUUCAUGGUGGUCCACACGAGUGCACUUUAAUUUAACAGCGGCACCGACACCAGGUUCCUUCGUUACCGCGCAAAUUAACGGAAUUCCAUCUUUUCUCCAUUAAUGCAAUGCUAAUGAUAUUCAUCAAUCACUGUCCAUAAUUUAUUUCUUUCUUUCUUCUUCGAAUCUCAGAACAACGCUACCCUUUUUUCUUACUACUUGUUUGUUUCUCCCCAAAUGGGUUCUCUACCAGCGUUUCCAAACGACCUUUCUCCCAAACAAGGUAUUAACGGCCUCAUUGACGAAAGAACCCUCGCCAAUCUAUUCAAAUCCCAACAAAACCAUCUCAACUUCUUCUUCGACCGUAUCGACCACUCCCAAACCCUAGCUUUCACACGUACUCUUCUCGACGCCUCCGGCACCGUCUUUUUUACUGGAAUCGGUAAAUCCGGCUUCGUCGCUCACAAGAUCUCCCAGACUCUCGUUUCCCUCGGUAUCCGUUCCGCUUUCCUCUCUCCCGUCGACGCCCUACACGGUGACAUCGGAAUCCUCAGCGAUCGCGAUGUUCUCGUUCUCCUCAGCAAAUCCGGCGCCACCGAAGAGCUCCUUCGUCUUGUUCCAUGCGCUAGGGCGAAAGGCGCGCGUCUCAUCGCUGUCACAUCCGUCGAAGCGAGCGCACUUUCGACGGUGUGCGAUAUGAACGUGCAUUUGCCGUUGGAGAGAGAGCUUUGUCCUUUCAACCUUGCGCCGGUUACUUCCACUGCUAUUCAAAUGGUUUUCGGUGACACCGUGGCAAUCGCGCUCAUGGCCGCACGAAAUCUCACGAAGGAAGAGUACGCCGCUAAUCAUCCUGCCGGAAAAAUCGGCAAGAGUCUCAUCUUUAAGGUCCGCGUUUCUCUUUCGUACGAGUUUUCUGCUUUAUGAAUAGAUUGAAAUAACAGAAUCUGCAUUUCCUGUUGGCAAGAAGGUUAUAAAUCGCGGUUACUUAAUUAUCAUCGAUAUCGUGAAAAAUUGUAAUGUUUGUUUGAGAUCUCCAAUUUUAUUGAUCUGGAUUGCGACUUAGAAUUAGAACCUUUUUAAUCAGUGAAUUAAUCGGAUCAAUUUGGUUUUAGUGAAAACAAUUUUCAAGGAGAUAACUGCGAUAACAGUGUAGUUAAACUGUUAAAGAUCUCUAAAAUUGCAGCCCUGGAUUGCGAUUUAGAACCUUUUUUAUCAGUGAAUUACUGGAUCAAUUAGGCUUUCGGCGAAAAUGAUUUGCAAAGGAGAUGUAAUUGGUUGUGAUUGUGUUUGUGUGUAGGUAAGAGAUGUGAUGAAGAAGGAAGAGGAGCUUCCAAUCUGCAGCGAAUCGGAUUUGAUUAUGGAUCAGCUUGUGGAGCUGACGAGUAAAGGAUGCGGAUGCUUGCUUGUUAUAGAUAGUGAUCACCGUUUGAUUGGGACAUUUACCGACGGUGAUCUGCGUCGUACUCUCAAAGCUAGUGGAGAUGCCAUUUUCAAACUGACUGUGGGAAAAAUGUGCAACAGGUAACAACCGGCAUCUGCAUAAUCAUUAACCAUUUCCUGUGAAUCUCUUUUAUCCCCAUUUGCUUUUCAAAUUGUUCAAACUCAAAAGCUUGUUCUUUAGUUUUGUUUUUUGACAGAUAUUCUGUAGCUUAUUCAUUUUUUUACUUGGAAAACUUCAUAAUUUUCUUGUCAUAAUUGCUCAGACUCAAGCUUAGUCUUUAGUUUUUGCACCCUCUAAUUUUGGAAGUUAAUAGGAAUAUAAAGUAGGUCGUUUGUUUUGUUUGCGGAUGCAGACAUUGGAACUGUAUGAAAGAUUUGUGUGUGUUUGAGUAUUAUAAUUGAUUUUGGCUCUGUUAAAACUUAACACAUGAUUUUAAUAAAAAUAGAAGUUUUUGGGAAUGAACUUGCUGAGUUAAAAAUAUCUAAAAUAUAAAUCACUUCACUCAGUCAAUUUUAGCCAAAUAAAUUUGCAUAUGUGAUGCUUGGUGCACGACAGGUCUAUGGAUACAAACAUAUGGAUGCAAUAAUAUAUUGAUGUCCAACCUUUUUUGAAAUGUCAGGAAUCCAAGAACUAUUGGUCCAGAUGCUAUGGCAGUGGAUGCCAUGAAGAAGAUGGAAUCACCUCCAUCACCAGUCCAGUUUUUACCUGUGAUAGAUGAUGAAAAUGUCUUGAUUGGAAUUGUCACGCUGCAUGGUUUGGUUUCAGCUGGGUUGUGAUUAUGUCUGAAUAAUCUUAGAGCCUGUUUCGCUAUUCGUUCAUUGAAUCAUUCUUUCUAGCUAUUAGCAUUUGAAUCCGCCCCCAAUUCAAUAGGACUAUGGUGUUCUGUAACUCAAUCACCCAAGCAUUUCAGUAGGAUAUUUUUUCAUCUCAUUUUUGGUCCCAAAGGAUGCAAAUUAUUUGAUGCUAUGAUGGACGGUGAAUGCUCAUCCAUUCCCCCAAUUUUUUCAACUUUUUACCAAAUUUUAGUUUCCGGGUAUUUGGGUUGGGAAGGCAAAAUCAGAGGAUGAAUGAACAUUUAGCAUGUCGGACCUACUCAUCUUGUGGGUCUAGCUCUGUACUAGUAUCCGUGUGUCUAUUUUUGUUGUACUCGUGAAAUAAGAUAUUGCUGUAGCUGAAGAUUUUUGUAUAUUAUCAAUUUAUCACUGUAUAUUAGUAUUACUUGAAUUACACGUUUUCAAUUAUUUCAAACGCAUAUAUGGAUGGUUGAUGUUGGUUAAAUGAUUUUUUAUGCUGGCAUUGUACGAGACUAAAUAUAAUGAAGAGAUUAGUUAUGCACUGAUAUAAUUUUUUUACCCAUCCAUAAAUCAGAUCACAUUUUAAUACCACUUGUUAAUUGUUAUGAUAGCUUGUAAAAUAACUCAUCAAAUCUCUAUAGGCGGAAAUGUAAUUUGAUACAUAUAUAAAUUAAAUUUAUACAAAUAUUGAAUUAAGUGUGAACAAUUAUACAACUGGUGAGUUUUAAUCCAUGUCUAUUUGAAAAUCUUUACGAAUUAAAUUUCGAAGUAAAAAAAACAACAAAUAAAGUUCAAUUUCGAAGUAUGAAAAGUAGGAUGAGCAAUGGCAACCUUAAAAAACUCUCGAGUGUCGCUUCGCUGCAUAUCCAUAAUUCUUUCUUUGGCCUUCGCAUUUUAUUUAUAAUAUGUAGAAUAACAAAUAGGUUAUUUUCUUAUAAAUCAUGAAAACACACAACACACCCUGACUCUAAGGACUUGUACCGCCUUCAAAUUCAGUACGUUACUUCAAAUCCAAAUAACGUAUAAUUUGUUACAAGAAAGGAGAGCAUAUUCUGAUAUUUAUUUUAGCAAUUUAAAGUUACUGUAUCACCACAUUUUAAUGAAGAAAGCAUCUUCCUGUGUGUCCUGCGGCAAACAAGCAUAUACACCAAAAUGUAGGAGCAUUAGAGGAGAGGGAGAGGAAGAUAAUACAACAACAACUAACAACUCCGAGUACAAUGUGAACCAAUGACUCUGAUUACUUCUGACAGACGUGUUGGUUCUUUUGAAUUACUAAAUGGUGUUAAUUUACCUGCCAAUCUUUAUGACUGAUUAUACACUGCAAUACAAAAUCUUCUAGAAUUCUUGAUGAAUGUUUCAUCCAAACAACCGGUGCUGCUCUAUGCAUGAAAAUUGAUUAUCCUACACAUAAACCUAGAGAAGACUCUCUCUACCAAGUAAAUGCUUCCUUUCUGGAUCAGCUUUUCAAGCGUCAUCGGAUUCUGAAGAAGUAGAUGAGCUUGUACUAUCAGAUGAAAUUUCAAACAAAACAUUUUCCUGUAGAAAAGACAAGAAACGCGAGCUUGGAGUUGAAACAUCAGAAACUUUUGGGUCACCUACUUUCUUUGAAAUUGUGAAAUCCCCAAUUGCCUUGCUAUUAGGUUUGAUCUCAGCAGAAUUACUUCCUUCACCAAUGUUUAUUGCAGCAGAAUGGUGCCCCGCCAUUUUCUCUUUAGCUUUGAUCUCAUUUGAAAUUGCUGAAUGAAGUGAAGCUGUGUUCUUUUUUGAAUGAAUGCCAUAAGAACUACUGUGAAUGCUACUAGAACUCCACUUAACUUGGAAGGCUGUUUCAUUUUGUUUCCCUUCCGAAGUAUUUGAUGUAGCCUGUGGCUUACUCUGUUUCCACUUGUAGUAUCCAUCCCGCACUGGCUGCAAUAUAGGUUCUUUCAUCAAGUCUUGUGAAUCAAUUAAUUUUUCUGGGGUUUGUUUUGAUCUCUUGGAGGCAACUGAGCGCACGGUUAAACCAAGAUGCUCUUUGGCCCAUUUAUAGACUGCACUUAGUUUUCCAUCCAAAGCUUGAUGAAGAACAUCCAAUUCACUGAUUUCAUAACGGCAGAGGAGAAUUUUUUCUGUCCAAGAGCAAGAACAAAGCUGCUUUGCAUGAUCAAUACAUGCAAACUUGUCAUCUGAACACGAACAACCAACAGCAGACAGGAAUAAAUCACGCAGACAAAUGCUACACUCCCUUUUACAAUUGACAUCAAAAUUUUCAUCCAUCUUUUGUGAUUUCAAAGAAGUGGAAAUAAAUUUCCUUUUCAAAUUUUCACUCAUGAUGCGAGACUACACAAAGAAAACAAAUAUAAUUAGUUUGCAUAUGGUAUCCAACAUGAAAGAAGCAAACUAUGCAGGCAGAUCCAAACACAAAUGAAAACGAAAGAGGGAGAGAAGUCUUUCAGAACUAUCUUUUAUUAUUAAGAAACAAAAUAUAUGUGCCACUAUUUCUUCAUUUUCAUUUCCAAAUAUGAAUCAUAGAAUAUUUGUUAACGACUAACAUGAUUUGAGGUCAGCUAAUAAACAAUCUUAUCAAAUCUAGGAUUUAGAGCUGAUGGACUUACACUCAAAACUUUUGUUAAGAUCCCACUUCUUUGAUAGGCAUCUUUACAAGUUAAAUUGUCUGGCGUGCUCUUCAUACAUAUAUCAGUUUCCCAUCGGGCCCUCACAGCUUCCCUUGCUGCUCCCAGCAACAGCUUAUCAUAUGAAAUUGAUGUCUUCCUCUUCUGUUCACAAUGUAGCUCUACAACAUUCUGUCCAUGAGGCAGCCACUCAAGAGGAGCAAAACUUGUUGCUUCAGAACAGUUGAAACCACAAUCAAAACCUGAGUGAUAUGCUCCAGGGAAGACAAGAACAAAUUCACGAGGAUGCUGAACGCAACGAUAUACUGGUAUACUCUCCUCCUUCAAUACUGAGCAGGAUAACUGCAUAACCUGUACCAAAUACUCAUACUAAGAAUCAUAUUUCAUAUAUCAAAUAAAUUGUUUUUCUCUUGUGUGUUCUAAAAAAACCUUAACACGUUGACAUUGGCAUCUUUCGCGUAAUACUGUAAAUCAGGCUGAGCUAAAUAUGCUUCAGCAACGACAAACAAAAUUCCAAUGAGUUAAACCUAUGCUUCCUUUUCUGAGUGCCCAUUGACCAAUUAAAUUUCAGUUGAUAAAACAAAAGAACAUAUAAUAAUCAUUCCUUCAAAUUUGGGAAUCAGCUACAUACAAAAGAUAUUAAGAAAAAUCUUAAAUACAAAGCAGUUUGUAUGACUAUGGAACUUUUAAAAUCCAAAUUCACUAAUAAUAUAAAAUGAUACAACAUGCAUGAUGGAGAACCACUUUCUACAAAUGGUAAUAGUUGAGACAUAUUGACUAAAUGAGUGAAAUUAGUAAAUGAGUAGUCCGAUAGAGUCAGAAUCCAUCUAACCAAUGAUGUGAUAUUUGUCAAAUAACAUGCACAGAUUCACAUUGAAAAAUAUGAGAAAUUAAAGGGUGUUCAGCAUACACCACUGUUACUUUUCAACGAAAAACAAUUCUUCAAUACAAGAAGCAAUCAUAUUCUUACCAUAUUAUCAUGCAUAUCAGGAUGUUCUGCAUACAUAUCUCGGAUAUACUUCUUCCAAACUGUUUCGAAGUUAACAGCAAAUCUUCCUGGGACACUAUACCAUACUUUGGGUUCACCCAAAUGCAUGUAACAUAAUGAGUAUAAUCGGUGCUCUUCAACUUUCUGUUUUGUCAAAUGAUUAUAAAGGAUAGUAAAUAGGAGAUUCAUUAGUUACAUUUUGAACGGUAUCCAAAAGUUUUCACCAGAAAAAUUUAGGAAAAAAACAAAGGUUAUGAACAUGCAAGUAUAAUGCAAUAAAUCAAUGGCAUUACCCAUUUGAGUGGAGAAAAGCACAUUCCCACAUGUACCCUAGGGGAAAAUUUAUGUGCAGCUUCAGGGCUUUCAAAAGAAAGAAGAGAGCCUGGGACUGAAAGCAUAUUAUUUAAGUUCCAUCCAGAUUUCACAUAUUCAGGGUAAGUGUUUGCCUCUGGAGGAUCAGAAACUGUUGGAAUUGGAAAUCCACUGCUAAAAUCUCCAGCCUCCAAAGUGUUACCACAGAAAACCUAGAACAAUGUGGCAGAAUUACAUAAUUAAUAUUUGCACAGCUUAUCAGGACUUAAGAUAUAGAAGGCAUUACAUGUUUAAAUUAAAUUUCAUCUAUAUACCUUGAUUUCUUCAGUUGGAUUUUGAACAAUCCGUCCGUAUUCACCCUCAAUAUUCUCAACAGAUGGCUCCCAGUGCUGUUGGCGUAUAGCUGAAUUUAUAUCAGAACCCAUAAUCUUAUUCUUAUCCUUGUAGUUGAAGUACUGGAACUUGAAUUCAUCUGCCAAUUUCUUAAAUGUUUUGAGACUGAAUUUAGGACCAGGUUUAGGUUCAUAGUCGCAUUCUUGAACAUUCUCUUGAUUAGGGGUGCAAGUGCUUCUAUUACCAAGAUGAGAGUCCAUGGCUACUUUCAUCCCUUUUCUUCUCUUGGUUUCUAUAGUAUCAUAAGAGAUAGCUGUAUUUUCUGGUGCAGGCUGAACUUGGUGCCCAUCAAUUCGCUGAAUUUGAGCAACAAAUUCAGAGUUUUCCCAUACAUUUUUUCCUUCAAGAAUACUUGGCGGUUUCCAGCUAGUAGGAGGGAUGAUACGGCAAAUUCCAUAAGGUUCUGCUCUGGAACGUAUGCUAGCGAUAUAUUUAAGCGUGUCUUUGAAUUCCUUCAUGCAGUAAGCAACCAUAUAAAUCUAUGUUAUUUAAUUGGCUUUAUAAUGUAUUGUAUUUUAUAAACUCAACAAGCAUAUGAAUCCACAAUCCAUAUUUGGUGACAUAAAUCAAUAUGAAAACACAAAAGUGAACACAUACUAUUACGUAAAACUGGUAGGUACCUCUUCGGUUGGAUGAAAAAUUGGAGCUUCUCCUAGAUCUUCCCUUCUUACAUCCUCAGGAUGCCACCUCGCUAAUACCUGUCUCAAUACUUUGAUAAUUAAACAAGCGAACAAAAAACUAUAUAUAUAUAGGACAAGUAGUCAUCUCUAUAACAAUGUCAAUAUGGAAAGUUAAGGUGAAAGGCGUGUCUACCUUAAUACAAUUACUGCAGUUUGGACAUCCAAAUACGGUCCCUUUUGGAAGAGAAGAAUUUGUAUGGGGAUUCUGGAAGAAUAAAAACGAAGUUUAAACCCAUACAAGGAAUUCUGUCUUCAUACAUAAAACAAACCAGUCAUUUAGUAAUAGCAUUUUAAGGUUCUAAGAAAAAUAAAGAAUCUGACAGAAAAUGUAGGAAAGUAGAUGACUACAGAGAAAUAAUUAGUGCUCUCUGCAUUUGGAUUCUUAAUCUUGAUUAACACUGAACAGAUUUCUUAGAUUUACAUUGUAGCAUGAAUGCAGUUAUCUUUAACUGUUCCUAACCAACUUCUAAGUUCUAACACAUAAUUGAGUAUGUUUGAACAGAGUCAUUGCAGCUGUUAGCCUGUUACAGCUGAGCUGUCACCUCACAACACUAAGAAAGUUGAUAAUAAAACUAACUUAAAUGCUGUCAAACAUAACUGGACAUAUACUCCACGAAAUCAUACAAAUUUGCCACGAGUUACUUAAUCAUAUUGUAAAUCAUAAUUGUAAUUAUAUAUGUGAGUGUGUAUUCUACCAGUAGCAGUAAUUAGAUGUUGCCUAAUUCACACCUAAUCCUUGAAAAAAUAUCCAAGUAGUCCUGCAACCCAAUGCCAAAUCACCAGACACAUCACACAAGCACAUAUGCAGAUUAUUAAUACACUAUUUGUAUGUAAAUCAGGUCCUAAUAGCAAUGCAAAUUUUGAAAAAGAAGAUACAAUCAUAAAAAUUCCAUUUGAAUUGUUUUUAGUUUUCCCAUCGCCGGAGGACAUAUCAAUUGUUAAGGUGUCUCAGUCAUUGCUGAAAAUCAUUAUCAUUAAUCAAUCAAUUAAUCAACAAAUGCGACACUGAUUUUUCAAAUGGUCAAGAUCAUUACAAUUUAUUCAUAUUUCCAUACUUUUGCUAAUGCAUCUCAUUUCAAACUCAACAUUUCUGGGAUCUAAGAAUUUUUUUUGCAAAUUACCAACUUAACCAUUGGAAGAUGGUCAUUGUGAGAUUCCUGAGGCUUGUGGUUGCUGCUCUGGUCCAGCAAUAUCCACGGCCGAUGUGUAUAAAUCUCAUUUGGGACGAUGUUUGUAGACUUAUCCGUUUUGUUAACCUUUUCAUCCCUUUUCAAAUAAAAAGACGUCAGGGAUGCAAAACCAGGUGGAACUGAAACAUGUUCCAUCUUCUUGAUUUUGGAGCUAUUACUUUCAUAGUUUGCUUCCAUCAUUGCUGCAUGCAAAAGCCAAGAAAACAUUAUAUAAAUAAAUAAUAAUAUUGGCACUAACAUAUACUAUGAACACAAAAUGAAAUAAUGUGAUACAACAUAUAACAUAGUAUACAGAAUUCAUCAAAUAGUUCACACACUAAUAUGCUCCCAAAUAUAUAUUUAUUAAAUUCAAAAAAAUUUCUAUGAGAAUUACUGAGUAGAUUUAAAUGAAGGAUAGUUAAUGAAGUGAUAGAAGAAUUAAAAAGAAAAUCAGUUUGCACUUGCUUAACACAUUGUACUAAAAAAUAAUAAAUUUGCGAAAUGGAGCACUGAUCUGCUGCGACGCAAUUUUGUGGUGUGUUUUGAUGAGGCGGCUAUCACCGCCGUAAAUCGCAUUAUCGCGCGUGAUACAAGAAAGGGGAAGAAAAAUACGAAAACUAUAUUAAGAAAGAAAAAAAAAAAGAAAAGAUAACCUAGACGGACGAGUUGAGUUUCUGGCGGUCGACGAGUAACUCAGUGUGCGUUUUCCGGCGAGUUGAGUUGAGUAUGACUGUAAUUUGUUGUCUUGACGGAGCGGUUGAGUUUUGUUCUUGUUUUUCGAGAAUCAUUAUGGGAUGGGGAUGGGCUCUUCAAAAAACAAGUACAUUGGCUUUUUAGUUGUUGUUGUUAAUAUUUUAUUAUUUAAUUUUAAUUAUUUUUUCCACCCCUACGUGAAUAGGAAGAAAACUGCAUCUGGUAAUGUGCAUUAGCAAUUGUCUCUUAUAAAAGAAAUGUAUAUUAAUGAAACAAAUUUAACAACCAAGAAACAGAAUACUGUUACAAGUUACAAUUUUAACUUUUUUUAUUGAAGAAACAAAGAAUGUAACAUAUUAGGUUCUGCUGUGUUGCACUUUGGACUGAUAUAUUUUUUAACAGGGCACAGAGUUGCAAUAAAAAAGGUAGCGAGUUGAACACUUCAAAAUAUAUAUACUUGAUUAAUUAUUUCCCAGAAAAAAUUGAGUUGCAAACUGAGGAAGUUCAUUGCCAAUUCAAUGUGAAUAGCAGUGCUGAAAUCUUGUUCUUCUAAUCAAGUUCAAAGUCAAUUAGUGGUGGACAAAUCUAAUUAAUUAACAUCUGUUUGAUUGAUAUUACUAUGGAUGGUUUCUAAUUUCUAUGUCUUGUAAGAUUUAAUUUGUUUGAUUGAUAUAACUAUCGAUGAUUUUCAAUGUCUUAUAGAAAUAUUUAGUUUGUUUACUUUUCUAAACCAAUUAUUUCGUCCCCAAAUAUUUUUUUAAUAAGUCAUCUUAAUUUUCACUCAUGUCAAUUAUGGAUCAAUGUCAAUGUCAUAGUCUCAAUUAUUAAUUUCUGCCCCUUUCAUUUUCUGUAGUGAGUAUCAACUGAAAGAUAGCUACGAAUACGGUGAAGGCGUGUCGCAUGCCAUCAAUUUCUUUGAUCGUAACAUUCGAAUUCUACCUCCAUUAAUGUUAUUAGAGAAAAAUGAAUGUAAAUAAAUUCAUUUUUAAGUAUUUAUCAAACUUUAAAUGUUUUUUAAUUUAAACAGAGACACUGUCUUCUUAUCCUAAAAAAAAUAAUGAGAUUAAAUGAAAAAGUUAAAUACGAUAAAAUUUGAAGAAUCUAUUUUUAUCUAGCCUAUAGUGGCACCGUGUCAAUAAGUUUGCCGACAAAUAACUAACACACAGUAAAAAUGCGUUGAAAUAAUUCCAGAACCAAAUGACUAUGGGUUUCAUUGACUAAUCAAAAUUUCUACCUAUAGAAAACGAAAAGCAUAUUAUAAAGGAGAGACAAACCAAUGUCUCGCAAGCUCUUUAUGUCUCCUUUUUAACUCAUGCCCCUUUCUUCCAAUUUGGAUUCUCUGCAUCCAAGAACUUCAUAGUCUAGCAAAUUAGAUUAUCUGAUUAUAAAAUUUCAUAAAUCAUGUGUUCAUUUGGUAUAUCUUGAAUUAAAUCUAAUACAUUAGAUAUUAUUAGUUAUACCCAUCAUUAAAUUAAUGACACAUAGACAUUUUAAAGAUUCUUUUUUUAAUACAAAGACUUCUUUCUAAUCAUAUAUCUUUGUCAAUAUCUUAACUAUUUUCUCUCUUAAGUCUCUUCAUUACUUACUCUAACCAACCCUUCAAUCUUUCUACGUCUCCACCUUUUUUUUCAAUGAGAAAAAUUUACUAUUUUUUAGUAUAAUGCAUAUAAAUCAUAAUAUAUUAAUUAUAAUUUAUUACAAAAUCUAAUCCAACGAUGCAAAUGUUUACCACUAUAAUUUUUAAUAAAAUUAAUAUUUUCUAAUAUCACAAAAUUAAAAACAAGAAUAAUUAUAAUAUAUAAAUUAUAAUUUUUUCGCACUUCAAUUUUUUUAUGUUGUUUUUCUUGAAAAUAAACAAUUAAAGAAGUUGUUGAAGCAAGAAGUUUAUACAUAGGAUAUGUUUUUCUCUAAUAAAUUAGUUUAAUCAAGUAUUUUUUGUAUAUAUUCUAAAAAAGUGAAAAUCACUAUAAUAUACUAUUACUAAUUAUAAUUAUAUUUAUACUUUUCCUGGACAAAUAUUUGUCAUUAAAGAAUAAAUUGAAAUAUAUACAUUUUUUAAUAUAUAUAUAUAUAUAUAUAUAUAUAUAUAUAUAUAUAUAUAUAUAUAUAUAUAUAUAUUUCUCUAAAAUUGAGAAUAACUAUAAUACAAUAACUAUAUUUUUUUUACACUUUACUUUCUUCAUAAUGUUUUAGAGAAAAAUGAGUUGUUAAAUAAACAAUUGGAGCGGACAAUUCAAACAUGAGAUAAAUAUUUGUCACCAAUCAGUUAAUUAUAUAAAAACAUAUAGCACACAUAUUUGUUACUAAUAUAUAUUAUUGAUACAUAAAAAAUACAAAAUACAUAUUUAUCACUAAUAAAAAUUAAAAAAAAAUAAAAAAAAAACAUGUAAUGAAUAUCGAUCAUUGAUAAAUAUCAAUAAAAUACGGGACACGUAUUUUUCACUAGUAAACAUAUAAAAAAACACCAUAAAAACAUUUGCCACUAAACAUUAAAAACAACUCAAGAUAAAUAUUUAUAACCAAUAAAUAAAUCAAAAACACAUAACAAAUAUUUAUCACUAAUAAAAUAUAGAACAAAUGUUUGUUACUGAUAAAUAUUAAAAAAGACACUAAAUAUAAAAUAAUACAAAACUAUCAUUUGUCAAUAAUAUACAAAUUAAAAAAUAAUCAAAUAUAUUUUACCGAUAAAUAUAAUUAUAUGAUGAACAAAUAUUUAUUAUUAAAAUGACUUGUAUAUAUGACAUACAACUUUUGUAAUAUCUUUUGUUAAUAUUUAUCUUUAUUGUAUAAGAAUUUAAUUGUAUAAAUUUCAACGUUACUAUAUUAUUUUGAUUAUAUUAAUUUUACGUCGUUAACAAUAUGCAUUUAUAAUUUAUUUUAAUAUUUGAACAAAACACGUAAACGAAAAAACAUACUUCUAUUAUUAUUUAUAUACUUCUCGAAUUGAAAAAUUAAACCCGUGCAAAUUCCCAUAAUUCUUACUAGUUUUAAUUAACAAAAUUAAAUCGUUGUAUUGAGACCGUUUGUCUUUUGGCCCCUCUUGUGCCUGUCUUUCAAUAAAAUAUUUUCUCAGUUACCAAAGAAUUAUUAAUGUAAUAGUUUAGAUUUGUGUGAUCUCCAAAAAGUACGAUAAUGCAGUGUUGGAUCGCAUGUCAUUUUCAACUUCCAAUCCAUGUUGUCCAUAUAAGCAUGCAUUUUAUUAAAUGCAAAUUACAUAUUUUUCUAAAUUACUUUUAAAAAGAGUGAAUAAUUUAUCCCAUUCAAUAAAAUUAACAUAUAUGUAGUAAAUUUGUAACUAGAGUAAAUAUUAUAUUUUAUCAUAUUGCAAAUUUACUUAUAGAAUUAAUUUGUAUUAAAUAUUAAGUAAAUUAUCCACAAUUUUUCAAAAACAACCUAAUUAUCGCCAUUCAAUAAUUGUCCAAUGUAAGAAAAGAUCAAAUUAGACGUCUAAUCCAAUAUGUAUGCCAAUUAUAAAAUGCAUGAAUAGACGGAAGAUUCCCGUUGAAAACUUAAUUUUGAACUAAAAGCAUCACUCAUCAAAUUGGAUGAUCUCUUGCAUGCAUGCUUCGGGUGUUUAAUUAUUAAUUAGUAUUGUCUAACUACAAUUACGACUGUGCAAAAAAUUCAGUUAUGAAGUCUUAAUUUAAAAUCGAUUUCAAAUUCAUUUUAAAUAUCCGAUUAAAAUUAUAUGGUUAUAAUUCGGUUUAUUUAUAAACUAGUUGGAUAACCACUUAUGUUUUAUAUUUGGAUUUGGUUUUUAUCCACUAUCAAUAUUUUGUUAAUUUUGACAUUUUAUUUAAAAAAAAAAAUUUAAAAUUUUAUUUUUUUUCAAAAAAAUAUCAGAAAAAAAAAAUAAAACUUUUUUUCUCAAAAGAAUUUUAAAUCAAAAUUUUUCUCGAAAAGUUUGGUGAGAAUUUUUUUAAAAAAAUUUAUCGAAAAAAUUGAUUUUUUUAAAUAACCGAUUUUUAAACUAUGAAUAAAUGAUUUUUUAAAAAAUAAUCAAAUUUUAACCGAUUUUAAAAUUAAAAUUUUCAAAAUCGGUUGCUUAAUUAUAAAUCGAUUAUUUAACCAUAACCAAAUUUUACAAUUAGUUUUAUAACCGAUUUUAAACCAAAUAAUAGAUUUGAUUAUAAAUCUAAAUUCAUAUAUUAAUUUUAAAAUAAUAUGGUUUGUUUUUUUUUUUUUUAAAACUAACCAUGAACAGCCCUAACUACAAUACAUUUUUUUGAAAAUUAAGGAUCUAUCCUACCUAUAAUCUAAAUAGAUGUCGGUAGUCCAUUUAGAGUUGUUGAGAAUGGCAAGUUAAUUAGUUAAACAUAUUGUCCUACAUAUUGCACAUCAUGUGCUUAAGUAAUUCUAUCUUUUCAUGCAAAAAAAAAAAAAAAAACAUUGUCUUAAAUAUUGAUAUUGAUAUAAAAAACAUUGAAAAAAGUUGAAGUAGGAGAAUGAAAGAUGCAAAGAAGGAAUUGAAACAUUUAGACGAUGCUAAUACAUCACUAAUUGCAUUGUUCUCCGAAGAGGAAAUUAGAUGCGCAAUGUUGGACUGACAUAGUCUCAAGAGUUCGAUGAUAUUUCAGUUGGUUUCUUCAAGUAGUAUUUGGAAGACAUAAAGACAGAUUUCAUCAAAUACAUUUUGGAAUUUCAUGUUAACGGGGAAAAUUUGUGAAAGGAGGAGGAAAUUACAAGUCAUUCAUUGUGUUGAUACCCAAGAAAGAUAAGCCACAAAGAUUAGGAGAGUAAAUAUAUAUAUAUAUAUAUAUAUAUAUAUAUAUAUUAUAUAUUAUAUAUAUUUUAUUUCUAAUUGGGUGUAUAUACAAAGUCUUAGUAAAAUUAUUGACCAAUAUAAUGAGAGGAGUAAUUAAUAAAGUUCUUAGAAUCAAACAACUAUAUUGUCAAAGAAUGACAAAUGUUGGAUGAAAUUUUAAUCGCUAAGGAAUUAUUUCACGAGAUGAAGAGAAGAAAAAAGAAGACAAUGUUAUUUAUAAUACAUUUCGAAUAGGCAUGUGAUUUAGUUGAGUGGUAUUACUUAUAGGCCAUUAUAAGUAAACUGGAUUUCUAUGAGUGUUGUAGGAGAUAGAUUACAUGAUGCGUGAGCAUAACGUUAAUUUGAGUUUUGGUAAACAAAAGUACAACUAAAUAAUAUAGAGUUGAUUGUGAUUAAGGCAAGGUGAUCCACUAUUGUCUGUCGUAUAUUAUGAUUGGUGCAAAAAGACUUAUGAAAACAAUCAACCAUCUAAUCCAAUUUAGGAACGACACCAUUAAAGUAAUAUUUCACCCUCUUGAGAUGGUUUCAUGAUUAAAAAUCAAUAUCCAUAAAAUUAAAAUUGUUUGUUAGGAAUUAAAGUUUCUCGAUAUUGGUUACAUGAAGCGGCUCAUAUGUUAAACUUUAAAAUUGGUGAUAUCCAAUUAUGUAUUUGAGAUUUCUUGUUAGAGUUAACCGUCACAACAAUCAAUUUGAAAGUUAGCGUGCUUUGAAAAUGUCAUCCUAUCUUACAAAAUGUGAAAACAUAGUUAUAGAGUUGCUUCUUGAUAAAACGACUUGGACGAGACCUCAAAUAUUUUAAGAAUUCAUAUUUAUAGAGAUAGUUUGAUGAAGUUGCUUACCCAAGAUUUAAUAAGAUAUAUAUUGAGAGAAUGCUUAGAACCUCGUACACUUCAAUGUUAUGAUUUCUAAAAUAAUUUGCAAAAAUCAAAAUUUCCACCUAAUCUCCCUCAUAUGCCACCUAAUAAAAAAACAUAGUAUUAUGAUGGUUUAUCUUAUCACGUAUCUCAUAUUGUGACCAGCAAAGGGCCUUAUGCUUUAAUUUUCGAAACAAAAAAUAGAUAACAAAAGAAUUUAGAUACGUAAUACUUACCUCAUUAUAUAAAUUUACACUACACAUAAUGAAAUUCAACGGUAAAGAAUGGGGCAUUGGGUAUUGAUCGAAUACAUGUUUUUGUAAAGGCAAUUGAAAGAGGAAGUGAAGAUGCAUGAAUACAUAUAUCGAAGUAGACUAAAGAAGUAAAGUCACAAAUACAUAUAAUGAAUUUUGCUUAUAAUUAAAAAUGACAUUGUUAGCGUAUUCCUCACAUUUCUAUUACUUUAUUUGGCAUACAAAAAGCAGCUUCUCAAUGUUUGGCUUUAAACAUUCAAAAACUAUAAAUUUUGAAAAAGUUGAUAUGCUAAAGUUAAUUUCAGUUCAUGCAUGAAUAAUAAUGGUGUAAAUUACUUCAAUUUUUCCUUUGCUAUAUAUACUCAUCUAAACGUACUAGAGCCAUGUGAACUUUCAGUCUCACAAGGGGAGCCAACUUCAUAUGUUUGUCUGUUCUACUUCGUGCAUAUAUUUAUGACUAUUAAAUAGAAUUGAUGAUUUUUUUUAGGCAAAGCAAUAAUGACGACAAUAAGACAAAAUAUAUAAACAUUGCUAUUACAAAUAUUCGACAAUACAAUGUAUUUAUUAUUAAUGGCCUACCCCGGAAACAAAUCCAUAUAAAUAUAAAUAUAAAUACGAAAAGCCUAGCUAAGUGACCACACUAUAUAUUAAUAUUAAUUACCCUCUUAAUAUUACUUACAUAAUAUAUACCACAAUCUUCAAACAUCGAAUCCCAAUCUAGCAUGUGCCUUUGCCCAUAAAUACACUCACAAAUAAACGAAUUUUGACAAUUUAAUUAAUAAUAAAGAACCUUAUAUAUAUACUAUACAUGUACAUGUAAAAUACAUACAUAUCUUUAUAGUAAGACCAUAUUAUUAUUAUCAACCUCAAAUCUUAUCGCGUCCAAGUUUGAGGCCACGCCAUCUUCUAGGCUAUUUUCUUCCAAAUCCAUGUUCCACAAGAAUCCAUAUCCAUCAUGAUCACCUUUGGAACUAAUUUGAGUAAUAGUGCUAUUAUUAUUAUUUGGAUUUGUAUCACGAGAAUAAUGAAGGAGAUUCAUCAUGGAAGAAUUGUUUUGGUUGGGAAUUAAAUGAUGAAGUGUUGUCAUAGAGGAAGAAAAAGAAUCAAUUCGGUUAUAGACACUAGGCAUGGUUUGGUUUGUUGGAGAUGAUGACGCCAAAGUUAGGGAUGGAUGUGUUGUCUCAUACAUGAGUUGUUGUGUGUUGAUUUUGGAAUUGUUAUUGUUAUUGUUGUCUUCUUUGCUUUUGUGAAAGACUCUACACAAAACCCAGUCCUCCUGUAAUCAAUAAAACUUUGACCUAAUUAACAAAAAUAUAUGUGUAAUUAAAUAAACUUUACCCUUACGCCAAAAAUACACGGCAUCAAAUUAUGGUACCUUUUUUUUUUUUUUUUUAAGAUUUUAAGGUAGCCUUUUAUUUUCCCCUUACAGUUUAUUUUAUUUAUUUAAUUGCUUACGCCCUACGACAAUUCGUCUUUAACAUAAAGGAUAACUCUUUCUCUAAUGAGAAAUUGAAAAAUAUAUCAUGUGCAUUUUAUGGAGAAUAUAUCCUAAAACUUGUUUGGUCAUAUUUUCAACAAUAUUAUAAAGCUUGUUGAGAUACAUAUUCCCUAAUACUAUCAACUUUUAGUUGCGGAGAAAUAGUCAAUAAGUUUUUAAAACUUUAUAUCAACUUUUGAAUUGUGAUCUACUUAAUUUUUAUUUUUAAGUCAACAGAUACAUUUUUCAAAUCAAUGUUUUACAUCAAAUGAUUAUAUAUAUAGUAAGAUUUGAAAGCUAUAGAUAGUUAUGUAUGUGGAUAAUCCAAUUUAAGGGUCAGACCACUAAAUAGUUUUAGGUUUUAAAAAUAAAAUUGUCUCAUAUUUUAAAACUUUUAAAGUUAAAAUUAAUAAAAUCUUAUAAAAAGUUAAUAUGGGGUCUCAAUAAAUAUUAAAUUAAUUGGCUUUAUUAUCAAUUAAAAAAUAAAUAUUAUACAAAAUCAAUUCUAUUAAUUUAAUAAAUAAUUCUAUGUUAUAGGGUUUAAUAAUUUUGUAAUCACUGUAAAAUUUUAAUAUUUUAUUUUUAGUCUUAUAAAAAAUUUCUUCAACUUUUAGUUUCCAAAAGUUUUUCGUCUUUAAUUUUUAUCCUAUUUUUAAGUAAACUCAUGGUUAUGCUUUGAAUUUUUUAAUGAUUUUUUAAAUGCAAGUUUAUGAUAUUAUAAAAAUCUAUACCACAAAAAUUUAUAAUUUGUUAACAAGAGAUAUAAAUUAAAUACGAAUUUUUAAGCACAAAAACCUUAAAUUUUCAUAUUUAAUUAAUCUAUUUUAAAAAAUAAUAUAAAUUUAUUUAAGGGAGAUUUAUAAUGUACUAAAUAUGAUCAUAUAUAAAAAUAUUUAAAUUCAAAGGAUAUAUAUGGGUUGACUUAAAAGUAAAGACAAAAAAUGAAGAACAAAUAUUUUUUAGACUAAACAUUCAAGAAAUUUUUUAUUGAAACUAAAAAUAAAACAUCAAAAUUUAUAAGAAUUAAAAACUUGUUUAAUUCUAUAUUAUAAAUUUUCUAAAAAUUCAUCUUUAAUAAAAAUUAAUAAUUUAAAAAAUAAUAUUAUAAACUUUAAAAUAUCUAAUACUAUUAAAAUAUGUGUCGGACCUUCAAAUAUUUGGAUCAGCCCAAUUGGUAAAUUUUUAUAUCAACUUAUAAAUAGGAUAUGUAUGUAUUGGUAUGUUAAAUAUGUGUACUACUUGUAUGAAGUUAUAUGAGCGAAAGACAUGGCUUCUUGAAUUUGUUUCACAUUACAUAUAUCAUGAACGAUUUAAUUUUAUAUAUUUUAUCAAGGUAAAAACUUAUUAAAUUGUCAGUUAAUCAUAACAUUGAAUUAUUGAGAAAUGUCCAACUUUAACUAUAACUAUGUCUAAAAUCAUAUAUUUUGAUAGUCGUUAGGGAUGAGAAUAGGCUAGUUCAUCCGUCAGGGGCUUAUGGUCUAUUUAAUAAAAAGGUUAGACUCAGACUAUUUUUAAAGCAUAUUUAUUUAAAUAGGUUAUAAAAAAGCUUAUUAGGCAUGUCAGACCGAUCUAUAUAUAUUUUAUUAUUUAUUAAUGUUAUUUUUUAUUAUUAUAUUUAUAAUAAUAUUUCCUAUUUUAAAUUCUAUCAAUUAGACAAUCACUCAGUGAUCAUUCCAUAUUCGGUAGUCGUUCCAUAUUUGGUAGUUGUUCUUUAUUCGGUAGUCAUUCAAUUAGUCAAUCACUCAGUAGUCGUUCCAUAUUUGUUUGAAAGGUAAUAAUGGGUGCGUUUGUUACAGAAAAAAAAAAAAAACCUAUUCUUUGAAAUCAAAAAUUAUUUUUUAGAGUUUAAAUGAUGUUUCUUUCAGAUUUUUUAAAAAUUAUUUUGUUAGAAAAAUUAUUUUUUGUUUAAUAUAUAUAGAUAUGUACACUGAUAUUGGUAUGUGGACAGAAUCAUGUAGUAUGAGUAGAACAUUUAAAUGUUUUAAUGUGAAUAAUGCUUUUAAAUAGGCUUUCAGAUUAGGCCAAGCUAGAUCAAAAAAAAAGCCUACGAUAGGCCUAAAAAAUUAAUCAUAGGCUAUGCUCAGGCCUUUCAAAGUCUGACCUGACAUGACUUAUGCCCACUCCUAAUAGUCGUGUGCAUCGAUAAUAUAAUAUUUUACAUUGACAAAUAUGACAGUUAAUCUUUAUUUGUGUUUUAUAAUUUGAAAUCAAAUACUUAAAUAUUCAACAUCGAGAAAUAUAUAUUUGUUAACAAAUUAUGAAGUCAAGGUGUGUAUUACUCAUGUCUUAAAUAUUAGUAGAAGUUUAGUUAAAAGAGAGUUAUGUAUUCAUAAGUAAUUAUAAUAAAAGUUAUUUAUUAUUAAUGAUUUAACAAUUAUAAUUAAUUAAUAGUUUAAAAAAAAUUACACUGAUAAUAUAUAUAAAAUCAAAAUUUUUAAAUAAAUAUAAUAAAAUUUUUGACUAAAUUUCAUUAUUUAUAUUUAAGAUAGUAGAAAAUGAAGUAUAGCUCUUACUAAUCAUGAGCAAGAUUUAUAUCCUGUAUACAUAGGACAUAGGCCUGUCUCUCAAUUUGGAUGGAUAUGCAUGAGUCAGAUUGAAUAUUAGGAUAUAUUCAUGGAAUAUAAAAAAGAUGACACUAAGUUGUGUCUCGUGUAUAUCCACUUGCAUAAGUAAUACCGGAAAAUAAUCCAAUGUUGUUGCUUAAUUGGUAUUUGCAUCAUUUCAAUGUAAAAAAUUUGCGAAAAGAACCGUAUUACGGUUUAUAUAUAUAUAUAUAUAUAUACUUUUUUCUGCAAUAGUUCCCUAAUAUAUCUCACUUUAUAAAAUAUAUACCGCAGAAUAAUAAAAAAAUAAAAAAAUUAUAAGUUGAUAAAAUAAUUAUUAAAUUUCUUUUUUUUAUAAAUGAUCGCAUAUAAGGAAUGUAACUUUUUACUGCAAAAACAAAAAAUAUCAGAAAAUAGGUUGUUUGUAAAAAAAUGUAGGACAUUUUAAUAUAUAUUUUUUAAAGUGAAGUUUAUUGGUGAUUUUUUUUAUAAAAAUGAUAUAUAUAUAUAAAGAACACCAUAUUACAUAAAAAAAAAAAUUGAAUGUGUCCAUUUCUUUUUAUUUAUUUAUUUAUAAAUGCGGGCUUUGUGUGUGCCUGAAAGAUCUAUGAGGGACGAUAUAUCUAAAUUGAAUUUUGGGAAAAACUAAGAUUAUGUAUGAGUGCUUAAUAUAUGUAUCAAUGUUAAACAUGUGUUUUUCUGGGCACAAAAUAUAUAAGCUUGGUGUAUAGCUCAAUAGAUCUACAAUAAAAUCUAAUAGUAUCUUAAUUGAAUUUUGAGUUUAAUUUACCUCUGUAAAAUAAAAUUUUAUGUGAGGAGUGUCUACUGUUUAUAAGUUUAUUGGUUUUUGUUUUUGUUUAUGUAAGAUAUAGUAUUUCCAAAGUUAAAUUGAAAGUGGCAGCCUAUAAAAUGGGAUAUGGAUACCCUAGGAUAAUUGAAGAGAAAAUAGAUAGGAAAGAAAUUACCUUAGGAGGCAUAUGUGGUGUCUCCAAUCGAAAUUCAUGCAUAAUCCACCCUGUUUUGAUACCAUUUGGAGCUCUGUUCCUAUAGAACACCAAUGUCUUCCUCAUCCCUACAACCUCUUGCGUCAUUGGAUCUAACACCGUUCGAUCCUUCCCCGUUGCUUUCCAAUACCCAGAUAUUGUUGCUCUGUUUGUUCUAAACCCUGUCGCAUAUUUUCUGUCCCUAAAGCUAAAGAAAUACCAUUCAUUUGCAUUCAGCUUUGCCACCUCUGCAUGCAAUAUUCAUUAAUAUACCAAAUAGACAACACGUGACUAAGGUAAGGUAUAAUAGUACAUAUAUUUGCAAUUAAAUUGUCUACCAAUUCAAUUUUGGAAAUUAAUAAUUGUCUUAUGUCUUGUGAGUUUGGAAUCACAUGUCAUCUUCUUCAUUAUGACAUCAAAUUUUCAAGUUCCCAAUUUUACCAAACAAAGAUGACACCAACAUAGCGUUUCAUGACAUCAACCACAGUUAUCACAAUUUACAAGUUUCAAACCUCCAACUCACUGUUUUUGCUAUUUAUGUAUUUUUUUUCUUUCUCCUUCUUAUUACCUCAUUUCAUAGCUUUCAUAAUUAAUGUUGUGCAUCAAUAAGAACUAAUUAACCACAACCAAGAAAGAUCGUGAAUAAAUGUCAUUUCGUGCUUAAAAAUUUGUUUUUCUUAUAUUUAAUUAUGAGGGGACCCUAACAAGGACGCAUCUAUAGAUAAUAUGAUAAUGAGUCAUAAUCAUUUAGAUACAGAGUCAUAUCAAAUAAAGGUAAUUCAAGCGUAUGCAUAUUUAUUUUUUUAUACACGUACGUAUUUGUAUAAUAAUAAUACUGUUAAAGACGGGAUUAAUUGUUGAUUGCUUCAUGAAAAUGUAUUACUUUGUCAACAUAUAUAUUUGUUAAAAUAAAUAAUAAUAGUUGCCAAAUAGGUAUAUAUCUGAAACUUAAAAUUAAAGAGACACUUUGACAAAUAAAUAAAGGAAAUUUCAUUUAAAUAAAUCUCAAGAGAAUUCAUUAGGCCUCUAAUAGUUAUUGUUCACAGAAUAAGUGAUAAAUAACAAUCAAGUUGUACAUAAAUGAAUAUUUUAAAUAAAAAAUUUAUAUGAGGAUAUUCUAUAAAUAUGGCUCUGUACUCAUGAUGUAGAAAAAAGUAAAAACGUUUUUUAUAUUGAAGAAUGCAAGGGGAUCCUUGCAGCAAUGAUUGAAGAUAAUGUUUGUGUGAUAUAUAGUCAUACCAAAGAUUUGUAUAGUGUAUGUGCUUUUAUAUUUAUUUUGAUUCGUUGCUAGUGCAAAUUGAAGAAUCUUUUAUAUCAUAUAAUAUUUGAUAAUGAAUGAUGCAUCUGAAUUAAAUUAAAGUAACUCUUUGUUGUCUUAUACUUUGUAUUUUACUUCAAAAGGAUAAAUGUUAUCUUCCUAAAUUGAUUGCUUUUUAAAUCCGUUUUAACUGAAAGAAGAAAAUUGUUGGAAAAGAAGGGAAUUGAUCAGAUAAAGGAAAAAGACAUGUGAGAAGAUAGAGCUUAUUAAAAAAAAACAUAAUUUCCAUCUUCAUUAAUGUAAUUAAUUGUAUAAGACAACUAUAUACAAAAGGCAAAAACAAUUAUACCAUCAAAUCUACAUCAAUUAGUGAAGUAUAUGUUACAUAAAAAUUAAUUAUAAAAAAAAAAAAAAAAAAACUGAUUUUUUAUUUAUUUGUAGAGAGGCAGAGUAUUCAUGAAGGACUAUUAAUUUGGCAUUACAUACAUGAAUGCAUUAUGAUCUCUUCCUCUUACCUCUCCAUCCCUUUUUUUCAUUAUCUCUCUCUCUCUCUCAUGGUUGUCAGAGCAGGUUCAUGAAGGAAGACAAAACAACAACUAUAGUCUAUAGACACAAACAAAAAUUUAUGAGGAAAUAAGAACAAGCAUCUAUCUUUUUGUGAUGUGAAGUAAUUAAUGUUAUAAAGUUACUUUUCUAGUUUUCUUGUAACAUAGACACAAACAAAAGGAAAACAACAAAUGGGAAAAGAUCAUGCAGUUACAAACAAAACAGAUCUUCCAAAAAUGAAAAAAGAAAAAUAAAACUAUAAUAACAAGAUAAAGUCAUAAAGAUAAUUAAUAAAUAAAUAAUUAACAUUAAUAUACCAGGAAGCUGCCAUGGUUCACAUAUGUGAAGAUCAAUUUCUACCAAAGUACCCUUAAGAACUUCCUCAUUUGAAAUCUUUUUGUAAAGAUAGUGACAAACCAAUUCCUCAUCACUUGGAUAAAAUCGAAAUCCAGGAGGAAGUGAAGCUCCUAUGUCUCUCAAACCCAUGGAUUUGAUAUUAAUUUGAAAGGAGUGAAAUAAAGAAAGAAUAUUUUUUGUGGAUCAGAGUUGUAUAAAGCAAGGAAUGUGGAUAAUGUAUAUAAUUGAACCUUGGAGAGAGUUAAUCACUAUAGUAUGGUAUUUUGAAAUAUUAAGGUGUAGGCAGAAAGGUUGGUACCGUGUAUUUAUAUAUAGUUAGGAAGAUAAAGAGAGUUUGGGAGUUUAAUUAUAAUUUGUUACUAAAAUAUUCCAGCAGGGGCAUGCUUGUGUAAAUGGUUAGUUAUAGUAGGAAGUUUCAAGAUAAACCAAAGUUACAAGAAAUCUUCUAACAAAUAAGACGAGAACAACACUGUAACUAUAUAUCAAACAUACAAAUGCUUCUAAUUUUAUCAUUCUCUAUUAUUAAAUUAACUAGCUUUUUUUAAAAAAAAUAUCUAUGCCUAUAUAUAUAUAUAUAUAGCAGUUUUUCUUUCUAUUUUAUUCUUUUGUUUAAAUUAUUUUAUCAUUUUUUACUAAUAAAAUAACUUAAUUGUUUUGAAAUAUUUGUUUAAAUUUUGCAAUUUCAAUAAGUUGAAUGUACUACGAUAAAAUUUGCACUUUUUAUAAGUAUUUUAACAACUGACCCAAUAACAUUUUUUAGUAUAUUAUGUUAGUAUUUUCUCUGUUUUCACCCUUAAUACAUUCGAUCCCUUAAUUCAAAUUAAUUGAAGUACCUUAAAUUGAUUCUUAUUCUUAAGCAAUUGUUUGUCAUAUAUAAUGAACAAUUAUUACAUGUCGUAGCUAGCUACUUGCUCAAAUUGGUCCUUUAAAUCUCCUUGCACGCAUAAAGUUGGUCUUUUUUAAUUUUUGUUACCAAAAUACAUGUUACUAUUAGGAGUUUGAUAUGGAUUAAACGGCGCUGAUUUAUACCUUGUAAAUUUAUAUCAAAUUGGUGUUUUAAGUUUUGUGUUAUAGUAGAUUAGUCUUUUAAAUUUGUUAUUUUAUAAGUACUUGUCCUCCUCUUACUAUGAAACCCAACAAACAACAGUAAGAUCAAACAUACACAGCAAUUUUCAUCAUAUUUAUUCAUAUCACAAUCUCAAUUUAUUUUUUGGGGAAAAAAUUCUUUCAACCCAUCUUGAAAUCCAAAAAUUUUAAAAAUAAAUAAAUUUAGUCUUGAAACCCAACAAAUGAAACCUAGUAAAAGAAGAAGAAGAAAAAAAGCAAUUGGAUGGUUGAUAAAACCAUCUUGAAAACAAAAUCAGAAACCCAUAUUAAUGUUGUAGUGUUGUUCUUCUUCAUCUUCACUUUCAAAACCCAAAUUAAUUGUUGUGAAAAAUGAUUCAAAGAUUAAAAUUAUUCAACACUAAAUUAGAGAAUGGGGCAGUGAGAUUUCUACAAGGGCAAAGAUAGAGAGUAAGAAGAUGAUAAAGGUUGAUUAAAAUCUUGAAUCGAAACAUGAAAAUCAACUAUCGAUCUAGUUUUAGUAAUUAGGUUGGAUUUUUUUCUUUUCUUUUUUUUUUUUAAAAAAAAAAAAUUCCAAAAUGAUGCCUCUUUUUAAGUGAUUUGAGACUAAAAAGUAGAAAUGAAUAAUAACUUUCGCGCUGAAAAAAGAAUAAACUGAAAUGUAAAACACAGUUGUGUUUGACUUCUUUCUAGAAAUCAUGAUUGUUACUAGGCUUAAAUUUUGAUUGUAAUAAUAUUAUAAAGUUAUAGAUAUUAUAUUUUUGUUUUGUUUUAUAUUUAUAUUUGUAUUUUGUUUGACAUAAGAUUUUCAAAAUUAAUAAUAAUGUAUUAUUUAAUUAUUAUUAGUCUAAUUCCUUAUCAACCUAGCCCUAUAUGGAGGAACUCUUGUUUAGCCACAAUAAUUUGGACAAAUCAUUAACUCAACAAAAAUAUUAAAAAAGAGAAAAAAAAAUUAAAUAAUAUAUCUUUAAAAUAUUUAAAUAAAAUAUUUAUUUUUAUAUGAAUGUCUAAAUAAUAUCUCCAAAUCUGUAUUGUGAUUAAGCAAGAUUUGAUAUAUAUAUGUAUAUAUAUAUAUAUAUAUCAAACUAGUAAUCUUUAUACCGGUGACUAUACUCAUUCAAUGUAUUUAGUUACAUUGCUUUUAUGGCCUAAAAAACUAUUUUUAAGGUAAAAAACUACAUAUACUUUUUAUAUUGAUUUUGAUGAUAGUGUACUUGUAAAACCUUUCUAUAUGACCAGACUUUCUCUAAUGUACAUGCAUCGAUCCAAUAAUGUUGUAAAGAUAAAUUUUUUUACUACCGACAUUCAUGAUCAAUCAGCAUCAGAUGUCUGAAGUACCAAAGUAUAUGGUUUGAUUUUUUUGCUUUAUCAAAUAAAAAUGGUUUGAUUUUUUUUAGUUGUUUGUCCAAAAUGUUUAGCUAGCUAGGAGACCUCAUUGGAAGUAGUCUAAAACUUUCCUGGCUUUUGUUUACUAGAUUGAUAGAUAUCUUAAUUGGUUCAUCAAUUAGUUAAUUAUUUCAUAUUUUAUGUUAUGGUACAUUGAAUAGAGAUUCUUACUUGUAGAUCGUACCAAAAUCACGUUUUUCGUCGUUAUUCUUAUAAAUAUACUUUCGUCAUGCAUAUAUAUACAUACUUCUUUGUAGUACACUUCUUAAAUAACUUCGCUCCAAAUUCACAAUAGACAAGUGGCCGUUUUUGGUUUGAUAUACUUGUAAUUAAGCAAAUAAUAAAAAAUAUAUUCUCUCGAUCACUAUUAUAAAUAUAAAAAGUAUUCAAAUUUUGGUCAUUAGUAUAAAUAAAAGUUAAUUAUUUAGUCUUAUUAUUUUUAAUAAUCUUUAUUUAAUUCUAAAAUAUUUGACUUGAAAAAGUAGUUCAAUAUAUGAGAUUUAAAAUAGAUAAAUUAUUAAAUUCGACUAAUAUUUUACAUAAAAUUUAAAGAAAAUUAAUUUUGUUUAAUGAAAUUUUUUAAUAUCUAUGAAAGUAAUUUUUUUGUUUAUGAUGGUGACCAAAGGAAAAACUCAAGAAGAGUCUAUGACUCAAAUUUAUAUACACAGAGAUUUGAAUAAUACCAUAUUUAAAAGAAUAAAACUCAAUAUAAAAAUAUAAUAAAAUAAAAAUUGUUUGUUUAUUUACAGUAAUUAAUUAAAUGGAGAAAUAUACAGUGUUAGAUUGGGUUGGCGAAGCACGUGAGGUAUUUGAUAAGCUCUCAAAUAAGCGCAAAAUAGUUGAAGAUGGAGAGAUCCUAAACAAAAAAGAAGAAAUAAUUAAUAGCAGCUGUAAGUAGAAUUGAAUGCCAAUCAUGAACUUUGGAAGUCCCAUAUGUUCCGUUCUCCAUCACAGAUUCAUAGUUUGGAAAUGACGUAUGUAGCUGUGGGGUAUCCUAGCUAAUUGUCUUUUGAUAUGGGGUCUCUAAAUUGCCCACUUAUAAUUUGGAGGUUAAAUAACAAUAAUACUACAUCACUCUCUUUUUUUUUUUGUCUUUUAAAUUUUUUUUUUGAACUUUCAUUAUUUUUUAAAAUCAAAAUAUAAUAAAUAGUAUUUUUUUUAAUACCAUUAAAAAUCACAAAAUAUGGAUUAAGUUAAGUUUAUUUCUUUUAAUAAAUAAAAAGUAAAAAACUAUUUACAUAAAUUUAUUGUUUCUUAAUAUACAUGUUUAAUAUUAAAAAAUCAAAGUUCAGAGAUCAAAGAAAUAAUAAUAAUAAUAUCUUUUGUUAAGAUAAUUAUAUAUAUAUAUAUAUAUAUAUAUAUAUUAAUUUGGCUCUUAUAAUUUGAAGGUUAAAUAAUAAUAAGAUUCUUUUGCUAAUAUCAUUUUUUAUUGUACUGUUGUCAUAUAUUGUGUGUAUAUAGUGUAUAUAUAAUGAAUAGGUCAGGUUAAUUAGCUUUAGAAAUUGUAAAUAUUAGUUAACAUCGUCUUUGAUUUUUAUGAAUUGAGAAAUAUACUAUUGAAUUUAUAAAUUGUUAUUCAAAAUAUAUACUUUAUCGGUUGAUCUACUUGUUAGAGAUUAUAAUGUGAUGUAUUUAAAGAAUAUUUCACAUUACACAAUGAUUUUAUUUCAAGAUCAAUUUAUUAUAGAUUAAUUAACUUGUGAAAUUUAGAUCAUCUAAGUGAUAAUUUUUUUUUAAUAAUUGUGACUGUGUAUAAAUUACGAAUAAAUUAAUUUUUGAGAAAUUAAAAUUUCAUAGAUAAAUUACUAAAUUAGUCUUUGGUGUGACGAUUUUAGUAAAUGAUCAUUGUAAAAGAGUUAUAUAUUUAAUUAAUAUAUCAUAUCAUAAUUAAUCUUUAAUUAUAUAAGUUAAUAGAUAAUUUGUUUUGACAUACAUUAUACAAAUUCAGAUACAUAUUUUUCAAUCGCUAAAAAUCAAAGGCAAUUUUAACUAAAUAAUUUCGAAGACUAAUUUUUAUGUUCACUCCGUAUAUAUUUUAUGUCUUGAAAGAAAGCCGGACUAUAUAUAUGGGUUGAAGACUUAUACUCUAUGCUGAUAAUUAUUUUUUAUUAUUAUUAUUAUUAUUAAUGAACUAAUAUUAGUAUGUGAUUUAUUUUCUUUUUGUUUGUGGCUGGGUGAUGAGGGAUGAAAGCAGGGCAAUAAUAAUGUAGAUGCGGCCAAAAUUGACAUUUUGUCAAAACAUGUAUCAUCUAAAUUAUAUAAUAUAAUUACGAGAGAGUGCAUGUGAUAAAUAAUUAUCCAUUGCGGUUCCUCCACUGUAUGAUUACGACGUACGCAAUGAUAUGGGUUUUUUCACAUUAAGUUGUCUGUGUAAAAUAUUUUAUAAUUUAUUUAAAUUAUUGAUUAAAUAAUUAUUUAAUAAUUUUUGUUGUAAUUAUCUAAUAAAAUUAUAAUAUAAAUAAUUAUAUUUUAUUAUUGCUAUAAAAUUAAUUUACAUUACAAUUUUUUUUAUCUAAUAAUUAUAUAUAUGAAUAAUGUUUAAAUUUACGUGUACCAUUUAAUUACACUAAACAUUAUAUAUUCUAAAAUUUUAACUAACUGUAUAUUUUAGUUUCUAUGUAUAUGCACUUCAAAAUGUGUAAGUCUAUGUCUUUUAUAAUUAUGUCUCUGAAGUAAUCUAAGUUUUUUGUAAACAAGGUCGACAUUGUAUCUUUACAUUAAAGAGGAAAAUGUAUCUGAGGAUUACUUGUGUAAACUAGGUCAUUUUCCACAUUUACAUGAUUAAUUAAUGGGCCAUUUUAAUGGACGAUGAGACAGUUAUUGAAUGAGAACUUGGUCAUUAAUCGUUUAAUAUGAUUCUGUCGGAGAAACAGUGAUUUUGUAGUUGGGACCAACCAUUGGGACCAAUGGAGUAAUUAUUGUAGUUAGUGUAACGAUAAUUAGCUGGCUAGAAAAAUUAACGACACUGCUAGAGGUACCAAUAGUACUUUUUAAACCUUGGCUGGGUCAACCCUUUUUUAUGGCAGUUAAUAGUUAUAAUGGGUGAUUAUAUAGUCUUUUCGAAUAAAAUAUUUUUUUUUACUAAAAAUAGGACAUUCAUUCAUUUAUUUUAAAUAUUGAUUGAAUAUAUUUAUUGAGAGCAAUUUAAAAUUGCAAAAAUAAAAAGAGAUGAAUUUGUGAAAUGUAUACUAAUAUGACAUAGUCUAUAGAUAUAAUAAAAUUUAAUUGUUUAAAAUAUUUAUAUAUUUAAAUUUAUAAUAUUAAAUAUAUUAAAAUUAUUGAUUGAAUUCACACGAUAUUAAAAUUAAUUUAUCAAUUGAAAUUAAACAAAUACUACACUAAGAUAUAAGAAAUUAAAAUAACAUUAUACUAACACGACGAACAAAAUAAACAAUUUUCACUAAAUAAUACACCAUUUCUUUCUCUAAAAGAUAAUUUGAAUGACUAUACUUAUCUCCUAUGUUAAUGUUCAAAACUUCAAAUCUACAUUUCCCUCAAUUGUUUAGUAAAUAUGAAAAGUAAAUUAUACUCAUAUCUUAAAAUCUAAAAAUGCAUUACACUUUAAUUUAUUUUGACAUAAACAAGCUUUACAAUGGUAGCAAAUAACUUUAAAUCAUUAUUUAUAAUUAUUUCUACUUUUCUUUAUAUAUAAUUUUUAAUGUGAAAGAUUAUUAAUUUUGAAAAAUCUAUUUUAUAUUGCCUUUUUAUGAGCCUUAAUAAAUUUAUCAAAGUUGUUCAUUUUAUAUUGUAUUUCUCUAUAGUUGAUAAUAAAAUAUAAAACUAAAUGUUGAAGAUAUUGGAAAUUAAAAUAGAGCAAAAAAUAUACACAAGAAACUUGGUUAUAUUAAAAUGGACUAUUACUUAAUUGUUUUGAUAUAUAAAUUGAUUAUGUAGUAUAUAUUAUAAAAAAAUUUAUCCUUUUCUCCACUAGACGAAUAUAAAUUACUCGUGUUUUAGGAGAGAGAAUGAUAAUUUUAUCUCUAAUAUGUAUUUUUAAAUUCGUUUUAAAAUAUAAAUAAAAAUAGAUCAAAGAAAAUUAAUGACCGGACUCAAUUCAUCUAAAUUUAAACUAAAUACAUCAAUAUAUAUAUAACUUUAAAUUACAUCACCUACGUUAUUUUCUACUAUACAGUCUCUAUCUAUCUUAACAAUCCUUUUUCUCUUUCUUUAUCUUAUGUUUCUCUUUAAUAUUUAAAAAAAAUUGAGAGAUAAAAAAUGUGUAGAGGAGAAUUUUGUGCAACUGAUUUUCUCCAUUAAAUUAAAUUUGUAGUAACUAUCAGAUUAAAAUCGAAUAGCCUGAAUUACUUGACUGGAAUUGGUGACAUAAGAAAAUCUAACUCCCAUGUAUGUAUAAGACUCACAUAAUGUACAUUAAUUACUUGCUCACAAUAUACUAGUAUUAUUUUUUGAAAUCUAAAUUACCUUUAAUAAAAAAAAUAUAAAUUACCCUAAAUCAACGGGAGUCAAGCACGCUUUAGAAGACACACAUCUUGUUUUUUUUUUACGUAACAUCUAGUUGAAUAUAUAAAAGCAGGCUUUAGUAUACAAAUAUACUAUGUAUACACGUCAUAAGCAGGGCGUGACGCACAAGAUUAUUCUAAAAAUAUUAUUACUAUCCCAACCAAUGGAAGAUAUUAUACAAAUGAUUGCAAAGGUUAGGGUUUUUGUCUAAUGAUAGAACUUUUUGUUGGGUGGGUUGAGAGGGAUGAUGUUGGAGAAAGAGUGACGGCUUAAUAUUCCUCUCCUCGGUUUAGGACCAAUAAUUUCGUCCAUAGCUCUUUAAAGAGGUGUGUCUUUUAAGUCUUAAUUGCCCUAGCUAGCUAACUAAUAUAGUUAUUUUACUUACAUAAGUUAUAUAGUAUGUAUUGGAUUAACUAAUUAUUUUAUUAAAUCUAGUAUAGAUAAAACUUCAAUGAUUUGGUUAGUGAUAAAAAAAAAAGUAUUUGAUAUAUAAGUUAUGAAUUUGAUUUCGUUAGUAUUAUACUAAUGCAUUAUCUCGUAAUAUUAUUUGCAAAAGUCCAACAACAUUAAUUUUUAUAUUCUUUUAUGAUAAUAAUAAUUUUUUAAAAUCCUACCAUAUGUAAUUUUUUAUACAAGAUAUCCUCAGUUGAAAGUUAGAUAAUAAUCCUUAAAAUUACAGAAAUUUAUUUAAGAGACUGAUUUUUUCAAACAAAUAUUAAAAAAAAGUGUUUAGCAUAAUUUAAUAUUCUUAACAAAAUUAUUAGUUAUAAUUUUUUAAAAAUUAUAUAAUAAAAGUUACGAGAGAUUACUAUAUUAUCGAGAAGCAUUACACCUAAAAAUAUUUUUGUUUCAAUUUCGUAAGGAAGGUGUAUAUUCAUAUAUUUUGACAAAUAUCAUUUCUAGACGCGAAACAAACACCUCUGACAUACUUUUGUGAGUUUGAUUUAAAGUGGGCCCGGGAUAUAAUCAGUGUCGAACAUUUUCGACUCGGGUCCAUAAACAGUACUCAAUAAAUUCGAGCCAAGUCAGCAUUAUUAUACACGUGGCAUUCUUCCACCAUCAAUCAUGUGAGAUAUCAUUAUCGGUAUCAUAUCAUUUCUCUAAUGGACCCUCAAAUAGUAUAUUAUAUCAGUAUGUUCAACAAAGACUAUUUGAACAUUUAAAGAGCUAAUUUCAACGAUUUUUCUAAGAUUUGUAUGACAACCAAAUCGUUGCCGUUAAAUUAUUAUUUUUUGAGUGAAACCCAAAAAUAAAAAAUGUAAUAGGUGUACGUGUAUCAACAUGUUACACUAAAGUUUAUUGAAUCGCCUAUAAAUAUUCCAAUGAACAGUUAGAUACAUAGUAUGAGAAAUUAAAGGAUUUUUAAUGACAUAAGAGAAAUUAAAGGAUUGCUCAUUAGGUUAGAUCUAGAGAUCUGCUAGAAAUUGUAAUAUCCUAUAAAAUCAAAUUAAUGACAAAAAAUUAAAUAAAUAAUUAAUAUAUUUAUAUUGAAUAGUUAAACAAUAUAAUAGUAUAAUUAUUUUGCGGCUGUUGACGGUGUAGACAACUUUUCUGAAAAUUAAUAAACUGUUCACACAAGAAAGAAUUACAGGAAAGCAAAAUAAUUAAUUUAGUUUGAAUGGUGUUUGGAUAUAAUGGUAUUGGUAUAUUUGCAAGGUUAAUCGAAACAGUGGUUACACUUUUGCUAAUUGGUGUAGUAAUCUCAAUUUAUGUUAAUUUGUAAAAUGGUUUAAUACAAGACACAGAGUUACCUUAGAAGGUGUUUUGCUGUCUUUGUGUAUAACUCGAGUUUACUUUGAAUGGUGCUUGGACGAUCCUAAUAUAUUUUUGUCCAGACUUUGUUUAUACAUAAAACCAUUUAAACAUAUCUCUGCUUCAUUUAUUAAAUUUGGUGGUAAUAACUAAAAUAUUAAAAAUUCAAUUUUUUACUGGUGAUGAUAAAAUUAUAGAUAUUCCAUCAAAACGUUAGUUUUAAAAAUAAAACAAAAAAUUAAUACACUUAUUUAGGGAUAUGUCGUUACUCCUUAAAAAAAAAUGAUGUUUUUAAUCUAGAAUGUUGUGUCCCUGUGAAAAUUUAGAAGGAAAUACAAUUAUUAUUUUUUAUAGUGUUCAUCUUUAAAAUUAAAAUAUCAAAUUCUAAUCAAUGAAUCAAUAAUAUAGAUAUAAAUAUCCUCUGUGAUUUUCAAUAACAAAAGCAAAUUAGAUAAGUGAUUAUUGGUUGGAUUCAAAAAUACAGUUGAAUAUUUUCAUUUUCAUUUUUGCGAAACAAAGUAUAAUAAUCUAAAGUUCAAUUAUCAUGCAAUAAAUUUUGUCAAUGAGUACUUUAGUUAGGGACAUUCAAAUUCGAGUACUUUCGAUUGAUUUUGCAUUUUGUUUUAAACCAAUGGAUUUGUAAUUAUCUAAAGUUCAUUUAAUCAUUUUGGUUAAAGAUGCAAUCAAUUCACAUAUUUUUUUUUUUGAGGAAAUUCACAUAAAAAUGUAAUCUCAAUUAAACUAGCAUGUAUAUACAUUUAUUGAUUGUUAAAUUAAUUUACCAUCAUUCUACAACAAAAACUAACUAACCAGAUAACAUUUCUCAAACAAUUAACUUUAAAGUUAAUCAUAAAAUUGUCAUUUUUGCACUUCAAUUUUCAGUCCAUUUUUUAAAAGAGAAACAUUCGUUCACUUUAUAUUAAAUAUUUUUUGAAACUCUCAGUUUCUCCUAACUAAAUCGUUAAUGCAUGUCAUGUCAAUACUUGGUAGAGUAUAAUUUUUCUUUUAAAAUUGAUUCUAGUUAGAAACUUUGAUCUCUAUAAUUAAUUUAUAUAGAAUACGUAAAAUAUUAAUAUUAAGUAUGAAAAAGAAAAAAUAGAGAUGAUUUUAUAUUGAUUAAACGAGAAAGAUUAUUAAUAGGUAUAAUCAAAUUUAUAUACUCAAAUUAGACAACUAGUUUUUAAUUUGAAUAACUAACUUGUAACUAAUACCUAGCUAAAGUGACUAACUUUAACUAAUUUUACAUAACUGAUAUAUUUUCAGCCUUUCAUAGGAAUAGUAUAAAGGGUGUAAAAAAAAAAAAAAAAAAUUGAAUCAAAAUAGAGGGGGUCACAACAUUUUACUUAAAGAAUUAUCUUGUUUUUGGGCUAUAAAAAAUGAUGUUUUAAGAAAAGUACAAAAUUGUUGUUAUCUAUUACUCUACAAUAGCACUUUUGAAAUGCCCUCUUUUAUAUUAACUUAUGUAUUUUAUAUUUUAAAAUAUGUACUAAUUUAAUAAUUAAAUUUUAAUGAAUACUUUUCUCUAAAAUAUGUAUUUAUUCAAUAAUUAAAUUUUUCAAAAAUAUUAAAUUCUUUAUAUAUCAAUCAAUAUUGAAAAUAACAGCUUUAAGAAACACUUCAACAAAUAAAUCAUAAUAUAUAUUUUAAUAUUAUCAAAAAAUUUAAAUAUAAAAUAUAAAAUUGUCUUGUUUCAUAGUUAGGGCACUUUAAAUUUAUCCCUUUGAUAAUUAAUUAGGUUUAGGGUCGAGCUAAAUCCUAAAUGAGUAAAAGUCUCGAUCCUAGCAUGAAAAAUGUGUCCCUAUAUAUCAAGAAUCUUUCAAAAUGUCCUUUUUUUUUUGUCAACUCAAAUGUCUUCAAUGGGCUACAAUAAGCUGGCUUAAUUCUUGCUUGGAUCUUGUGGACUGCUCAAAGGUAUUUAGCCUUAAGAUUUGAGCCUUCUAUUCCGGAAGGUUUCCUUGUAAAUGUUUCACUGCCUAUUGUCUGAUCAUAACUAGAAAAUUAUUACACACCUUUUAAAUAUUUUUUUUUUAUGGAAAUAGUUUUAGAUUAGGAAGACCACUCAUGCAAGAUCAAUGAGAAAAUCAAUAUCUUUGAUGUUUGUAAAUUGAAUUUAUGUAUAAUAUAUUAAUUGCAAAAUUUUGAAUUUGAAUUUAAAUCAGUUAAUGUUCAAAUAUUUAUGUAGCAAUUAGUAUUAUACACCUUAUUACAUAUUUUAGUUUAGUUAGUUCCGUUAUACUAUUUAGUUAAUUAUUUUAUGUUAUUUAAUUGUUUUAUCUAAUUUAUUAUAUAAUUCUUAAUAUAAAUAAUUCUUUCAACCUUCAAUUCAAUUUAUUUUUUUAUGUUUUUUUCUUAUCAAUUACUUAAAUCAAUAACUAUAAUACAUAUUUUAUAAUUAAUUAAUGAUAAUCAGAAACAUAUCACUUAUAAAUGUUGUCUUAUGCCACACACAAAACACUGGCUAUGGCAUGGUACAGUAAACAAUUUUUUUUAAAAAAAAAAUGCAUGUGCGAUUUAACCAUUUUUAGUUAAAAUGUAAUUGAAAUGCUUACUUUAUGAAAUAAUUGUUUAAGAAAGGUACAGGUUAACAUCAGAAAUAUCACUAGCUAUCACUUUGUCAACAUAGCUAAUGCAUCGUGUCCUUUUUAUUAUUUUAGUAAAUAUAUAGUGAGGAAAUGCAUUCAUCGUAUUCAAUUUAACGAGUGCACUUAAUAAUAAAGAGAUUUCUAUAAUACAAUUAAAUAUUAAAUAUUUUUCUGUUAUCAAAUUAAAUUAUUAGUAAUAUAAUAAUAUAUUAUUUAUAGAUAAAUUUAAUUAUAUUUUAAAUUUAACACUAUCAAAUUUUUAAAUUUUACUUCUAUUUUAAAAUUACUAAUAUUUAUUUAUUAAACUAUAUGAAAAUAAAAAUAAAAGUUUCUUCUCUCUGUUCGUUAUCUCUCGACGCUACCGUCUCUCCAUCGUUUUUCACAUCUUUCUCUGUCAUAUCUCACUAAAAAUCAAAGACAAACUUGGAAAUGACGAUGCGACGAUAAUGGCAGAUGGUUGACGACACCAACAUCACGCGUCAAUUGAAAGUAAGAUAGAGGAGAGAUCUUCUCGUGAUCGUGGAAGAACGAUGAAGAGUUCUUCUCAAAAGAUGACAGAGAGCAAUUUUCUUUAGUGGUGGAGCGAUUUCGCGAAAAGAGAGAAUGAAUUAUAAAUUUGUAAGUUGAUAAUUAUUUUUAUUUUAGUUCAAAUAAAAAACUUAAGUAAAAAAAUUAUUAAAUUAAUAUAAGAAAUUAAAUUAAAAAUAUAAAUAUAUCAAGACAAAUAAUUUAAUCAACUUAAUAUUUAAUAUAUAAAUAUUGAUAUAAAAGAAUAACACAUUUAUUAAUAAAAAAUUAAAAAUACUUAUACACUUUUUUUAGGAGUACCACACAUAAAUUAUCAAUAAUAAUAAUGAAAUAUCUGAUGAUUUGGCAAUGUGAUGGAUGGCUCUCUGAAAUGGAUAAAUGAUUCGUGACCCAUAAUUUAAGACUUUAUGUCAUUUUCUUUUUAAUUAUUUGUUGUAAUUUAAAAAAAAAAAAUUAAAAUCACAUCCAAAGAUUCUUGUCAUAGUUUUUUUUUUUUUUUUUUUUUUUUUUUUUUUUUUUUUUUUUUUUUUUUUUUUUUUUUGUGAUAGCUUGAAAACGUAGCAAAUUGAUUUCUACAAGCAUAAGCAUCGUCAAUCACGUAUAGAUACCUCGAAUAUGAUUGAUUGUCAUUAAGAAAUAAGGCGAGAAACGUUUUUUUUUUAAGAUACGAUCAUACAAACUACUACAAAAACGUAAGGUUUUGGAUUUUCUGAAAAAAUAAAGUAUUCUAGAUUGUAAUUUAUAAAAUUAAUCUCUCAAAAGACAGAUGAGAUACAUUUUAAAGUUUUGAUUAAACUAAACAAUUGUCCAAUCAUACUAAUGACUUAAGUUUAGAAUAAGAUAUUAGAUUCAAAUCAGAGUUUAAAGAGAAAAAUAUUUAUACUUAAUGUUUGAUAUGCCUUGAAUAGACUUAAAAAAAUACUCAAUCAAUCUUAACUAAUAAUUACUUUGGAAUGAAAUAAAAUAAAAAUUGAUAAUUGAAAGUUCACAUAUCUAAUUAAAAAUUUAUUCUAGAUAUAUCAACUUUUUAACUAUUAUUUUUUAUUAUAUUUCAUUUUGAAGGUAAAAAGUGUACAUAUUUUAGAAAAAUUUAUCUGAAACGUUAUUGUUCCAUUAUGAGUAUAAAUGUUAAUUUCACAAAUCUAUUAAUUAUUAAUCUCAGCACACGUGUUUAAGGGACAAAAAAAAAUUCAUAAUUAAAAAGAUUCCACAAAAAGAAAUCCCCAAAUAUAAGAAGCACAAAAUUGAUGUGGGUUAAGAGGGGUUUAUAGAAGCACAUUUUCAAUUUUUUUUUAUAUUUAAAAAAAUAUCAAAUUUUCUUUUUAAUAUUUUUAUGAGAAAAAAAAAUGUCAAUUUUUUUUUUUAAAUAAAAGGUUUCAAAAGAAAGUUUUUAUUUUUUUCAAGAAAAUUUUUAUUUGAUUUUUUAUUGAGCAAAAGAAGUUUUAGAGAAAUUUUGUUUUAAUAUUUUUAUGAAAAAAGUAAAUUUCAAAUAAAAAAUCUCAAUUAUCAAAAAAUUGAACCCAUGAACCUUCAUUUAAACUCACCAAAAUAAAAUAAUAAAAUAAUAGAUCAAAAUCUUAAGAGAUGUUUUAGAUUUUAGAGCUUAACUAACAACUCUAAUUAUUAUCGUUAUUUUUCAAUGUAAUAUAUUAUUAAUUAUUAUUUUUUAAUUGUACUCUUUUAACUUUCAAGUAAUUAUCUUUAUUAAUAAAUAAAUAAAUAAAAAAAUAUUUUUUUAUUUAUAAUUUUUUUAUUAAUUUACAUAUAUAAAAUAUCAUGACACUCAUACAAAUAUUCAGUCGGAGGGGGUAAUACAUUUCGAGAAAUACUUCCUUAGUCACAGCUCUAAAUAAAUAAAAAGUAUUUGGACACAUACAUAUAAAAAUACACAUAAUUUAAUUAAUUUAAUAUUUAAAUACAUACACGUAAAAAGUAUUUCUCAUUUAUAUGUUUGUGUCCAAAUAUUUUUUAUUUAGAGUUGUGAACCAAUAAAUAUUUCUCAACCUAGAAAUUUAAUAUUAUGUCAUGGAUAGUGAUGGGAGUCAAUUUAAAUUUUUAAGCUUAAAUUGUAAUGUAUGGAAAAAAAGAGAAGAAUAUUCCAAGAUCUUAGAAUUUGAUCUUUGGAAUAUACAAAUACAACUAAUUUAAAGAAUAAAGUGAGAGUUUGUAACUCUUAUUGAAAUUGUGAAUAUUAAUUGACUUUUUUUUUUUAAUAUUCUUUGAAAGAAAUCACACUCUUCUAAUAUAAAUAAAGAGUCUUAUAAAGUAUUUUAUUAUCUCAUUUAAGAUCAAGUGUGUUUAACAGAACACUUAAGAAAGUUUUUUUUUUUAUAGUGAAAAUGUUAUUAUUUCUUGUAAUUCAUAUAGUGAAAAAAGCUUUAUAAAAUGGUAUACAAUUUGAGAUGGAUUAUAAAUCAUUGAAAUUAUAUUUGAGAUAAUGAAUAUAAUUAUUAAGGUGUUUUUGUGAACGUAGAUAAAAAAUUUCAAAUUAUGUAAAUAAUGGUAUGUUUUUUUUCUGUUUUUUUUUUAUUUUUUAUUUUUUAUUUCUGUAUAAGAUUUUAAGUGUAUGUGGUAGGACCGAAACAAUAACACUAAUCGUAUGACCAGCAACUAGUUUGACAAGUAUAUAUAUAAAAAAGUUUAUGAGUUCGCUAUAUUGAACUUAAUUAAUUAGUGUUAGGAUGUCAAAAUUAACAGAUAAUCCGAGUAUAGAAACACAACUAGUAAUUUAUAUUUAAUAAUGUGAUUGGAAUUAAUUUCUUUAUUUAUAUAUUUCAUUUCAAAGAAUGUAUUUUAUAAUGUGAGGAGAAAAAUUCCAAAGAUGAAACUGAUAUUUAAAAACUUUCUUAAGUCUCUAGUGAUAUUUUUUUUUAAUAUAUAUAUAAGGAGUGUAUCAAAAUGAGAUAAAUUUUACAAUAAAAAUAUAAAAUGAUUAAAUUUUGAUUAUACAACUAUAUAUACAUAGAUGAUUAUGAUUAAAAAUUAUUUACGUGACACAUAAUUACUUUAAAAAAUCACAUAUUUUUCAUUCUAAUCAUAAUCAUUCAUACAUAAUUGUAUGGUCAAAAUUUAACAUUUCAAUAAAUAAAAAAACUCUCAUUUGAUAUAUUCUCUCUAUAUAUCUAUUCAUGUUCUCCCUUUUGAUCUUCAUAUUUUCUUCCAACCAUUACUCAUCUCAUUUCUCCCUCUAAACCACAAACAAUCAAUAAUUUCUAUUACAAUGUUGGAUCUAAUAUAUUGUAAAGAGUUGAAUUAAGUUUGUACUACCUUUAAUAAUUUUUUUGUUUAAAUAUAUCUUUGAUCUUUAGAAAUAUGUUUCGUUUUGAUUUUAGUCUAUGUAAUUUUUUUUAUUUGAUUUAAACCCUUGCAAAUUCUAACAAGUUUUUAAAAAGUCAUUUAUGAAUCUUUUUUAGUAAAAAAAUUGUGACAUGACUAAUUUUAGAUGAAGUGACACAUAGUGAUUGUGUAAUUGUUGUUAACUAGACAAUAUUUAAUAUUUAAAAUUAAAUUCAUUUUGUUUACUUAUUAAAUUAUUUAAGUAAAUUAAUUAAACAAAAAAAUGAAUUUUAAAUAAUUAAAUGAGUUAAUAAAAUAAAUUUUAAUUUUAAAUAUUAUCUAAUCAAUAACAAUUACACUGUCACCAUGUGCCGCUUCAUCCAAAUUAAUCAAAUCACCAUUUUUUUACAAUAAAGAUUCAUAAAAUAACUUUUUUAAAACUUAUUAGAAUUUACAAGAGUAUAAAUAAAUAAAAAAUUACAGUGACUAAAAUCAAAAACGAAUCAUCUUUGCAAAGGCCAAAAAUAUAAUUUGUUUGAUUAUAAAAAAGAUACAGUAAAGUUUGUUUCCAAUAAACCAUAAUUUGUACCAAAUUCGUGCCCACAUUAUCAACAAAACCUUCGUUCAAGUAGGAACUGAGAGAGAAGUAGGAACCAGAGAAGUAUGUAAUUGUAGAAUCAAGACUUCAACCAUUUUGGAAGAAGAAGAUGAAAUGUUUGGUUUUUUUUCUUGAAAAUUAAGAAUCCUAAACAAUCAAUUUUUAUUUUUUAGUUUUUAAUAUAAAAUUUAUUUGCUAAAAUAAAACUAUUAAUAAUAAUCAGACUUACCACCUCAAUAUUUUUAAAGGAUAACUUUUUAAAUAGUUAAAAGAUAAAUGAUCUAUCGAAAAAUAAUUAAAAUUAAAGAUAACUUUGUAACCAUUUUAAAGGAUAAAGAAUUUAAACAAGACAACAAGAUAAAAUACUAAACUAUUAUAAAUAAAUGAAUGAGAUAAAAAAAUCUUUUUAAUCAUUUUGACUUGUUUAGAAAGUAAUUAACACCCCAUUUUGUAUCGAGUUCGAAUAAUACUUGUACACAACUCCCUUUUUUUAAUGUGCAUGUUAAGAAUCAUGGUUGAGUUUAAGAAAGAGAAAAAUAAUUAAAGAGAAAAAUAAAUUUAAAAUAAUUAUUUGAUGAAUGGUUGUUACAAUUAAAAUAUGAUGCACUUUUACAUAAUGCAAGUAACUAACCUAACAACUUACACAUAACUAUAAGUAAUUUUAACUACAUAGUGAUCAAACCAAAGUCAAGAAGUCAACUUAAUAUUAUACAACAGUUCUAAUAAAUUUGCAAAGACCAUCGUUAAAUAUGAUAUUGUUCCUCAAAUUCCAGAAGCACCAUGAGCAAGAUAGCCAAAUCAGAAACCUCACCUUCCUAAACUCAUAUGUAUUUAUCUAAAACUUAAAAUAUUAGAAAUAUUAUUCCUCUUUUAUAUAUACAUUAUUUAGUUUGUAUAUUUAUAAUCAGAGUCUAAUUUAAUUACUCACACCAACGACUUUUUAUUAAUGAAACGGUGGAUGUUUAUUCAAUCUUUUAUAUUUAUUCAUUUUUAUACUGGAUCUUGAUUUUAAUAUUACUAUAUCUUAACUUUCGAUAACAUAUUAGAUGAGAUAUGAAUAAAACUGAGAGAGGGAUCAACAUUUUCUUAUCUAAAGUAACGAUACAUGGGCUGAGAAUUACUUGGACUACAAUCUUCCUUACAUGGGAGUAAUUAUCACCAAAUUAUUUGUUUUUGGUACAAUAAUGUCCACCAACUUAACUGCCGACAUACAUGGAUUUGGACAUUUAUGAAUUCCGACAAAAUUACUAGUAUUUUUUUUACACAACUAUCUAAAUCCAACCACGUUGGUGUCAAAAAAAUAUAAAUACUUUUUUAAUUACUUUUUAAUUUUCAGUUUUUUAAUGUUUACAUAUAUAAGAAAAUUAAUAAAAUUUAUUAUUUUUGAUGUCAUUAUUUAUCUUUUUAUAUAAUAUAUUUAAAAUUAAAUACAAUUUUAAUCUCUUUAUUUUGUUGAAUCAAUAAUUUUUGUUUUUUGUUUUUUUUACGGCUCAAUUCUAUAAAUUUAAGACAUUUUGUCCAACUUUUGAUUUGAAACUCAAUUUAAAUGAUGCGGUAAUUAAAUGAGUCGCAUCAUUUAAAUUGAGUUGACGUGGAAGUCAUGUCAUACUUAUAAUGAUUUUUUAAUUAUUAAAAACAUUUUCAUUAAAUCUAAGAUGAUUACUUUAUUUUUUAUAAAAUAAAACAAAUUAAUGUAAAAUAAAAAACAAAAAUCUAAAACUUAAAAUCAAAAUUAUUGAAAAUCAAAAAUAGAAAAUUAACAAUCCUAUAAUUCCUAAAUUGAAGUCCUCUCGCCUUUCACUUUGUUCAAAAAUCAAAAUUGUGUUUUCUACGAUAAAUCAAAAUCACCGUAAUUCUUACAACUCAAUGAACUAGUAAAACCCAGAAUUAAGAAAUGAGAAAAAUCAAGAAAAUGCAAACAAUUAACCCAUAAGCUUUAGAAUCAACCCAAAAAAUCAAUAGGAACAAGAAUCAAAGAUUCAAAAAUCAAUAUAAUCAAAUUACAGAUACAAAUUCAAUUAUUUUUAAAAUGAAGUUUGUAGCAAAGAAAAAUGAAGAAAAUUUGUAGCAAAAAUUCAAUCAUUUACACAUUCAUUAUAAGUAUGACAUGACUUCCAUGUCAAUUCAUUUAAUGCCACAUCAUUUAAAUUGAGUUUCAAAUCAAAAGUUCGGCAAAGUGUUAAAUUUAAAAAUUUGGCAUAAUAUCAAAAUUGUGUAAAAUGAAUAGAGACUAAAAUUACAGAUUAAACAAAAUAGAGUAAUUGAAACUGCAUUUAAAUUUAUAUUUAAUAAUUUGCUAUCUCAUUUUAUAUAUUUAUCUUUCUGCAACUAGUUCAUCAACGAUAUUUUUUUCAUUAGUAAAACUAGAACUCCAAUCUUUCUAGGAUAUCAAUUUAACUAACUUUCACUUGUGCAAACAAAGUUGUAGAUUGACUGUGUGCUAUUAUUAUUUAGGUUUAAUUAUAAUUUUAAUUUUUUUAUUUUUAUUUGAUUAUAAAUCUGGUUUUUUCAUUUUAAAAUUUCUCAAUUUUAAUUCUCUUUCAAAUUUUUGAACGUGAAAACAAGAAUGUAACAUAAAAUUCGAUGAUAUAAAAUAAUUUAGAUAGAUUAAUUAAAUCAUAAAAAUAAAUACUUUUUUAAUUUGAAAAUAAAAUUUAUGAGAUUUUCUUAGAAUAUCAUAAGUGUUGAUGGAUCAAAACCAAAAGAUUUUAAAAUAUAAAGAUCAAUUAUUUAGCCAUCGCAUUAGAAUUUACCUCCUUAUGUUGUCUCAAUAAUGGAGAUAUGUAGAACAACAGGGUUGCUAUCACACAUAACCCGUGAUCCUUAAGUUAGGAAUUAUAAUUAAAACUCGAUUGAGACAGAGACAUGGUAGUACCAUGCAAUUCAGCUACCUCUAAGGUAGGUAGCACUAUAAUACAGAGUUUCAAAGACACAAAAAUGUUUAAUUUAAUUAAAUAUUUCAGUGUUAAUUAACUUAUAAAUUUAACAACCAUGGAGAAAGAAUAGUAGUGAUAAAAAAAGUGAUAGUGUGGUGUAUGAGACGGAUUCAAAUGGUGUUGAUGUCAACAAAUUUAUUGAUAAUCACACACAAUUAGGGGUUAUAAUCAAUUGUCAGAGCAUUACAAAUUAUUGGGCAUGCGAUGGGAUUCCUAUAUUAUUGAAUACCAUUAAUUUUGAUUUAGUUCGACCUUAAUCCUUGAAUGAUUAUGAUAGUUGGCACGUGUAUGUGUAUUGUCUCAAGAUUGAAUGAUUGAUAUUCAAAAGGUAAAACACAUGCCGUAUAUGGGUGAACUCAUAUGAAAUUAUAUUUGUAUACUUAGUAGCAUAGAGUAAGCAUGCAAUGCAUAUAAAAAGACGUGCAUUUAUUAAGCUUUAAAUUAUAUGAUAUGUCAAGGUGAACUUGUCCUCGUGCUUAUAAAUACAAAGGAAUCACCGUUACAACAUUUUGUAGCGACAAUAAAAAGUGUAGCGUAAACUAAAAAAAAAUAUGUAGUCUAAGUAGUAGAUAACAAUUUAUAAAGUGUGGUGUAAGUAGUCAUGACUUACUUUUUAAGGCAACGUUUUUUAUAUUUGUCCAUGAAUUUUAAAAAAUCAUUGUUGAAGAUACUUAAAGAGGUAAUGAUUUUUUUGAAUGUAUCAAAUCACGGUUUUAUGAAUUGGUUUUGCCAAUAUUUUAUAAAUGUUGCAUAUAAAGUUAGACUACGAUUUUGUAUACAUUAUUUUUGUUUCAUACGAAACAUUUAUUAUGCUGUAAAAAACAUAGACAACAUUUUUUGGUCUAAGGCAAUAAAUUUGUAUGUGUUGCAUUUAACUUUAUACCACGGUUAUCGAACAAUUGAUAACACAUUUAGCCUAUAAUUUUUUUAGAUGUUGCCUAUUUGUUUAGGUCACUCGGAUGAAAAUGUUUUAAACCACACUUUUUAUGUGUUGUUUAUACAUUUUGACCACAAACAUUCAAAUAUUGCAUACUUCUUUAGUCUACAUUUUUCUAUGUGUUGCUUAUACCUUUAGAACAUGAUCAUGCAUUAUCAUCUUUUAGGUAAAUAAUGAUAAUUAAUCAUUAUUACUUGUAGUCCAUAAUUUAACAUUAAAUAAUCGUUAUUGCACAAAAUACGAAAGAGUUAAACCUAAUUAUGUCUUAAUUAAAAUAUAUGUUACCAAGAAAAACAAUUGUGGUACAAAAUAUUAUAACAUAAAUAUUACUAGGCAUAAAAAAAAAUUAAUACAUAAUUAGAUCAAUUGUUAUCGUAGUUGUAAAAACCAACAAGUUUUUUACUUGAGUAAAUUCCUUUCGUCCUGAAGUUUUACAAGUAUUGCAAGUAUCGUCAUUUUCAUACUCUUUCCAAUACAACAUACAAUCAUUUGAACAUGCAAUAAUUUUUUUUAUAAUCAAGACACAAAUCCUUGAUUAUGACUUUUGUUAAAAGAUUUUCAAAUUUUCAAAUUAGAUAUAGCUUCUUUCAAUAAGUCCAAAAGAGCAUUGAACAAAAUCACUUUUCAAAUAUCCUAAGCAAACGAGUUGAUUAUUUAUUCAAAUUGAACUCGAAUCUGAAAUUACUACUAUCUAAAUUUAUUUAAGUAUUAAUUGAAGAAAAAUUGAAGGGCCGCAGUUCAGUCUGGUUGUUUUUGUUGAGAGGAAUAUUCCUCUUGUGCGUUGUUGAAUAUUCACUAAUAUAAGAGAUUGUCACCUUAUAUGAUCUUUUUUUAUGGGAAAAGGUAACAUAGGCACUGUUAAUAAUUUAAAAGUAGAAAUUUUAUUUGAAAUUUAUGUUUUAAACUCUAAAAAUUUAAAUACUAUAUUUUUAGUUUAAUUACAGUUUUAGUUCUUCUAUUAUUAUUAAUUUGUGAAAAUGGUCCUCUUAUUUCAAAACUCGACAGUUUUGGUCACUCCCUCGUAUUUUUGAACUAAAAAAAAUGCAUAAUUGACAUAUUUUUAAUAAUAUACAAUUAUAUGAUAUAGAAUCAUCUAAAUGAAUUAAUUAUUCAUAUGUUAUUAAUUAAAUUAAAAAUAUGAACAAAUUCUUAUGUUGAAAGCUAAGUUUUUCCUGCAUUUUAUUCAAAUUUCAUGGGUGUUAAUCAUUUUAUAUUAUCGUAUCAUAAGUCACAUUAUUUAAAACAUCUCACAUCAUUAUUUUUUUCGUUAAAUAAUCAGAAGGAGAGACCAAAACUAUCGACUUUUAAAAUAGGGGAUCAAUUUCGUAAAUCAAUAAAAAUAGAAGGACUAAAAUUGCAAUUAAACCUAUAUUUUUUAAUAAAAAAUUCUACUUUUUAUGUUUUUAACAUGUAUUAUAAAGGCACAUGUUAGUUGGUAUUUUUCAGUUUAAACUUAAUUACUUUAGCCUUCAAUUUUUUCAACUUUUAGUUCAAAUUAGUUGAGUUAUUCACCUCUCCAAAAGCAUAUUCCUUAAUUAUUAAUCAUCUUUAAUUUCACUAUAUGGGUUUUAAAUUAUUUUACUGCAUUUUUUUUAUAAAAUAAAGAUAUAAAAUAAUUUAUAUUUGUCUCUCUCUAAUGAUACUAUUGAGAUCAAAUAUGCAAAUAAAUUUAAUAUUUAUUCUUUAGCACUGAAUCAAAUUAACUAGUUAUCGUUAUUAUAAAAAUUAUAAAAUAGAACUAAAGAAUAACUUUAAAUUAUAAAUUAUACCAAAUUUACAUAGAACUUAAUUUUAGUGAAAUCUAUUUAAAUUUCAAUUAAUUAGUAGGAUCAUGUUAACAAUGAAAAGAGGAAGAAGAGAAACAACCACUCUAGAAUUUCAUAACAUAGAAUGAACCAAAACUUGAGUUAAUAGGGUUACAAUGAGUAUAUAUAUAAAAGAAUAGAAAUGUCUAAAAUACCUUUACUACUAAUAUAUAAUAAUAUUAUCUAACAUCUCCCCUCAAACUCACGAUGCAUUAACAUGGAGCAUCGAGAGUUUGUCAACUAAAAAACGGAAACGUUUAAUGGAAUGCAUCUUUGUAAACAAAUCAGCAAUCUGUAAAGAAGAAGAAACAAACAGUGGAGUAAUAGUUCCAUGAUGAAGAUGAUGACGAGUAAGAUGACAAUCAAUCUCAAUGUGUUUGGUGCGUUCAUGAAAGACCGAGUUGUGAGCAAUUUGAAUAGCACUCUUGUUAUCGCAGUGCAUCGGAGUUGGCUCAGAAAGAGAGAUACCCAUAUCAGACAAAAGCCAACGCAAUCAAAUUAUUUCCGCGGUAGUAGAUGCCAUAGCACGAUACUCAGCUUCUGUAGAGGAGCGAGAGACAAUGUCUUGUUUCUUACUCUUCCAAGAAAUAAGAUAGUCUCCAAGAAAGAUACAGAACCCUGUGGUGGAUUUACGAUCUGUGCAAUGUUAGAUAAUAUUAUUAUAUAUUAGUAGUAAGGGUAUUUUAGACAUUUCUAUUAAUAGCAUGAACAACAGUAAGAACUGCUUCUCCCCAAAACUCAAUAGGAACUGAAGCGGACAACAAAAGGGAACGAGCAGUCUCUAUAAUAUGACGGUGUUUCCUUUCAGCAACUCCAUUUUGUUGAGGAGUAUCAGUACAAGAUGUUUGGUGGAGGGUGUCAUCAUAAGCAAGUAAUUCAGAAAAUUUAUUAGAGGUAUAUUCACCACCUAAAUCACAACGAAAACACUUUAUAACAGAAUUAUGUUGAGUUUUGACCAUUGCACGAAACAUAUGAUAAAUGACAAAAAAUUUAGACCAAUUUUUCAUAAGAUAAAUCCAACAAUAACGAGUGUAAUCAUCAAUAAACGAAACAUAAUAUCUAGAUCCACCUAUGGUGAGAACCGGUGAUGGACCCCAAACAUCAGAGUGAACUAAAUCAAAGGGCGCAUAUGAAUCAGAAACACUUUUACUAAACGGUAAAGCUGGAAGUUUAGCAAGUUUACAACCACAACAAUCUAAGAUAUUACAGGUUUGUAACUUUCUUAAGGCUCCAGUAGAAGCCAAAUAUUUUAAUCUAGAAGCAGAAACAUGUCCAAUGCGAGAAUGCCAUAUAUAAAAACUUGAAGAUAAGGAUUUCAAGUGAAAACUAAAUAAUAAGUCAGCAGUAGUUGUUGAGGCUGCAGUAUCUGGGAGUCGUAGGUCAUCCAAAACAUAAAGUCCCCCUUGUCUAUGACCUGUCCCAAUCAGCCUCCCGGAAUGUGGAUCCUGCACACAACAAGAAGUGGAAGAAAACAUAAUCGAAUAACCGAAAUCACAUAUUUGACUAACAGAAGCAAGACUCAAAGUAAGAUUAGGAAUAUAAUAAACAUUAGAAAGAGACAUGUUAGGUGUGGAGACAUAACCAAUGUCUGCUAGUGGCAUAUGAGUGCCAUCAACAGUCAUAACCGACACAGACGAGACAGGUUUCACAAACACAAGAUUUAUCAUCGUAUGUCAUAUGAUGAGAUGCUCCCGAAUCAAGAAUCCAUAUGGAAUGAGAUAUACCUGACAUACCAGAGGAGUUCAAACCUUUAGAAGAGGUGGCAGACAUGACAUGUGAUUGAGUGGCAAGAAGUUUUUGAAGUUGUUCUGCAAUAUCAGAUAUUUGGGAAGCAAUCUUAGAUGAGUAUACAUAACCAGAACUAGAGCCAAUGGUAGGAGGAGCAGAAGCAACAACAUUGGACGAUAGCCCCUAAAAUUCUUUAUGUGCUCUCCCCUAAAAUUCUUUGAAGAGAAUCAUCCUUAGUACCAACCAUAACAAAUAAUGACAAGAAAUACGACAAACACAAUCACUGAGACAAAAUAAAUUAGGGAUAAUCUGGUGUUGUGUGAGCACGAUUUCUCCCCCUUCAGACAUGGUUUCUUCAAUCCGACUGUUGAAGACGAAGACCUGAAUGUUGUGAACAUGUUGUCCAAAAAUCAGUCUGAUCCAACGGUUAACGAAUGCGCAAUCGAUAUUUUUGUGAGACUGAUUUAACAAAAUCGGGAAUAGGGUUACUCUUCUCUUUUCUCUUUUGGUGGUUGUCUCUCUUAUCAAAAUAGUCUCUCUCUUUAUUAUAGUAGAUCCCAAAAUCAACCAAAGCUCUUUGAUACCAUGUUAACAAUGAAAAGAGGAAAAAUAUAAACAACCACUCUAGGGUUUCAUAACAUAGAAUGAACAAAAACUUGAAUUAAUAGGGUUACAAUGAAUAUAUAUAUAUAUAUAUAUAUAAAAGAAUAAAAAUGUCUAAAAUACCUUUACUACUAAUAUAUAAUAAUAUUAUCUAACAGAUCAAAUGUUUUGAAAAAACAGAGUUUUUAAAACUCAUCUUAUUUUUAUUCUUUCUAUUUGAGGUAACCCAUCUUAUUAUUAUGUAAGUAAAAUACUCAACUUCAUAAAGCAAUCAAUUAUAGAUUAAAGGUUACAUCGUUUCUAUCUAGUUAGUUUUCUUCCUCUUCCCGCAUAGUUUUGAAAGAACACCACGUCUUCUCAUACUUCAUUCCUUGAAAUGCGCUGUGAAACAAAUUGAGUGUAUUACACACUAGUUUGUUUUCAUUGGAUUGAAUGGAAUAAAUUUUAUAAUAUGUAACAAAGUAUAUAUAAUUGUUUUAAAAUAUACAAUAAAAUCUAACAAAGUUUUAUUAACUAAAACAUGUGUGGAUCAAACUUAGUUGGACUUUCAAUUCUUUCUAAAACUGUCACUCAAUUUUAGUUAAAGUAAAUUUUUAUAAUUAGUAUGUAUAAUUAUAAAAAAUACACUCAAAUUUUGUUUUUAUCAAUAACUAGGAUUAUAUAGCGGGGUGGUAAAAUAUUAAUUCAAAAAAAUUAAUGCAACAAAAAAGUAUUAUAUAUAUAAUAUUCAUAUUUAUAUCUACUAACAACAUUUAUAGUCUAUCAAAACAUCCAACAUUUCAUGUAUAUUAUGAAAAUUAUCUAUAAGUAAAUUUAAACUAUUAAUUUUAGAGGUUUGUAUAACAUUAAUUAUUUUAUUGAUUUUUGUAGUAAUUGUAAUGUAUUAAUAAAAAAAAUAAGCAUUAUAUAAUAAUUUACUAAUCUCACAAUUUUAGCAUAAUGUACUUAUAGUCAACUAUUAAUUUAUUACUAUUUACUUAGGGUAUUUAUAAUAUAUAGUAUAAUAACUAUACAGUAGCAUAUUAAAAGAAUAGUUUAAUUAAAAUAAUAUGGUGCAUAUAAUCCUUUAAUUCGAUAUGUGCAAUUUUUUGUAAUAUGUUAUGAAAUUUAACAAUUUUUAUUUUAUAAUAUUAAUAUUUCAUAAAUAUUAAUUUGGUUGAAGAUGUUAGAUUAACGGUACAAAAUGAGUGUUAAUCAACUCACAAUCUCCAUACAAUUUUAUCUUUCUUUUAAAUAUUUUCUUCAUCUUCUUCCCUGCAAAAUACCUUAAUCAAUUUCUUAACGUUUAAAUUAGUGGACAUAUAAAAUACACUUGUAGUAAAUAGAUUCAUAUAAUCUUUGUGUUUAUUUUGUUUAAGAUGAAAUAUAUAAAUACGAAACAAAAAAUCUUUUUAUAUCAAAGUAUAUUUAAAACAUAUUUUAAGAAAUUAAAAUUCGAGAAUAAAUAAUUGAAAAAAGUAUAACUCAAAAUUCAUAAAAUUUGCUGAAUUGAAAAAAAGUUAAUUAAGUUUAAAUACUGUAUUAAUAGCUUAAAGUUUAUAAAAUUUGCUUCUGGACCCUUCAAAAAUGAAUUUACUCAGCCUUUAAAAAAUGUACUAUUAUUUUUAUUAUAUACUACUUAAAAUAUGUGUUUGUGAGCAUUCAGACAAACAAGAAUAGGACUAUAACUAAAUGUUAUUUAAAGAAGACAUUUGUUUUAAAAGUUGAUGAUUGAAUAAAUUAAGAACUGGACUCUAGUCCAUAAAAUUGAAAGAAGUGCACAAUGCACCCGUGUCUAUAACACUGUAUAAUCAACAGAUAACGUUAAACUAGAUUGAACACAUGGCUUGUUCAAAUUUUUAGAUAAAAAUAAAGCUCAAAAUUUAAUAUCAAUGUUGUUUAGCAUGGAAAAUUGGACACAAAUGUCUAGGGUUUUUAACAAACAAAAAAACGUAUGAUUUAUAAUACAAGUGUUAUAUUACAUCCACAAUAAUACAUUCUAUAAAUUUGGUCUCUAACCGUGUACACGUCGGUGAACAACUAUAAUCAUAUUAACUAUUAAAAUAUGGAAUAAUUGUCACCAUAUUAACUCUUAAAACAUGGAAUAUUCGGUCUUAUUAUCGAUAUUGUGGAUUUUAAACAUUAUAUGAAUAAAUAUAAUAUAUUAUUUUAAAUAGUUCAUUUAAUUAGAUAAUUACAUAAAUAAUUGUUUUUUACAAAUAUUCAAAUAAAUUAUAAUAUUGUAUUGUUAAUAGUUUAUAAUUUAAUAUAAUCAAAGUCUAAUAUUGUAGUUGAAAUAUACACGAUCAAAUUAUUAUGCAAUAAAGAUAAAUAUUAAGUUAAACUUAAAAGAAUAGUUAAUCCACAAUACAUAAAUAAUUAAAGUCAUGACUAUCAAUAACCUUAUAAACUUUUGGUAUAAUAAAAGAUUUUACAAAAAUUAUAUGUCAUAGACACAAAUGACUUUUUAUUUAUUUUAGAAACACAAAUCAAAUUAUUCCGAUUAAUUAUCACAAAUUUAAAAUAGAUUUGAUUUUUCAAAUAUAAAAUUAUCACUAUUGAAUUCUUAUUUUUGUGAUCAUAUUUGAUUCAUCUAACAAUUUAUCACUCUUGUCGCCACAUAAGUGAAGAGCUUCAAAGUUAGUUGUCGCCACAUAAGUGAAGAGCUUCAAAGUUAUAUGCAUGUGCAUAUUCUACAAAAUUCAUAUGUAAAAUCUAAAAAUAAUAAACAAAAUUAAUUGUUUACUUCUUUGUCAUGGAAUGUAAAAGAAAAAGAGUAAAAGACAAUAACAAUACUUAUUUAAUCAUGAUUUGGUUUUUAAGUAUUCAUAUAUUUGUCACUGCGUUUUUUAUGCACCGAAAUAAAUAUUGGUCCCGUAACUUUUUUAUAUUUAUCGAUUAUAAAUAUGUAACUCGUAUUUUUUAUAUUAAUGACAAAUAUUUGUUUCAUUUUUUUUAUCUAUCAAUAAUAAAUAUUAAUUUUGUGAGUAUUUUUAAUAUUUAUUAAUGACAAAUGUUUCUCUCAUAUUUCGUUUAUAUUUCAUCGGUGACAAAUUUGUAUCUCGUGUUUUUUUAUAUUUAUUCGGGAUAAAUAUUUUUUCCGUGUUGUUUUUAUUUAUCAAUGAUAUAUAUUUGUCUCAUAUUUUUUUAUAUUUAUCUGUGACAAAUACGUGUCAUGUAUUUUUUUUUUUAUAUUUAUCGGUGAUAUAUAUGUCCCGUAUUUUUUAUAUUUUUAAGUGAUAAAUAUGUAUCGGGGAUUUUUUUAUAUUUAUUCGUAACAAAUAUUUGUCUUGUGUUGUUUUUAUAUAUCAAUAAUAAAUAUUAAUUAUGUGUUUUUUAUAUUAGUCGGUGAUAAGUGUUUAUACGUGAUUUUUUUUAAUGUGACAAAUAUGUGUCACAUUUUUUAUGUAUCAAUAAUAAAUAUUUAUUCCGAAUUUUUUAUGUUUAUUAGUGGUAAAUAUUUGUCCUGUAUCUUUUUAUAUUUAUAACAGUUAAAUAUGUGUCUCAUAUUUUUUUAUGAAUCAAUAACAUAUAUUUGUCUUUAAUUAAAAAAAAAACAUAUAUUUAUCUAGUGUUUUUAUAUUUUUCAGUGAUAAGAUUUAAAUUCAUGAUGCAAGAUGAAAGUUAAUAAGAUUUAAAUUUUGUAAUUGAGAAAUAUAAUGGAAAAAUGAUGGAAAAAGAUAGAUAAAGUAAAUAGUACAUUGAUUAAUAGAUAGUGUGAUGGAUAAAGUAGUGUGUCAAAGUGGUUAAUAAAUAAUAUGAUAUAUGUAGAGAUAUUUUAGACUUUUAUAUUCUUGAUUUUGAAUGUGUCAAUAAGUUGAAUAAGGGUAUUAGAAAUGGUAUUAGAAUAAAUUCCAUUAUAUGUUGUUUAUAUAUAUAUAUAUAUAUAUAUAUAUAUAUAUAUAUUAGACAAAAUUGUUUUGGAAAUUAUGCAACCAGUUAAUGAUAAAACUCAGGGAAUUGGUAGUCUGAAACCGCUUAUGUAUGUUGGUAUCGGAAAAGAAAAUUAUAGAAAUUAAAAAUAAAAUUUUAUUGAAAAUAAAAAAUUAUAGAAAAUGUUACUUUUCUUUAAUGGUAUAAUUGUAAUUACGUCUAAUUUAUAAAAUAACAAAAUUAAUUAAAAAUUGUUCAUUCUCUAAUAAAUACCAUUAUAUAUUUUUUAUAUAUAUAUAUAUAUAUAUAUAUAUAUAUAUAUAUAUUAGACACUUGUAGAUACUACCAAAACACUUCAUGAUAUAUAGAAUCCAAUACUGACUAUAUGUAGCUAGAGAAUACAUGAUAUUGGACUGUGAAAGAGUUUAAAAGGAAAAGAAAAGUAUAGAAAAAAUUAAAUAAAGAAGCUAUGCCUACCAUAUCAUGGAGAGCUGCGAUAUGCUAAAACACGGUUGUAAUGGCUUUCAUCAAGAUAAAGUAAGAUCAAGACAAAGCUUUUCUCUUUUCGAUAUGAUUGAAUUCUCUAAAUUAUAACGGGCUACAACAAAGGUCCUACAAAAUUGGAUUAGUACCAUUCUUUUAGUGAAAAACUCAGAUAAUCAUGCCAUCGCUUUAUAAAUAUGCCAUCUCGUUAUAAAUAGACAAUCUUCCUUUUACUCAUGCAGACUUCAGCUUAGCUGAUGUUGAAGCAAGAUGGGAAAGAAUUCUAUGACCCACUAACAUCAGAAAAGCUCCCAAGAACCCGAAAACUUUGAGUGUCGUGAACAAGUCCAGCUGCACAAUAGCAAAAAUGUCAAAGAGACGAGCACUUUAUAUUGAAAAAGGACAAUAUAAUUCUGCCAGAAGAGACAGAAAUUGAACAUAGUUCCACCAAAAACUGAAAAACCAAUCAUCGAUCAUUCUCACCAGCUCUGCGAGUCGAGCAUAUUAUUUAAUCAUUGUUACUACUUUACAUGGAUGAAUAAUUAUCACAACAGAAGAAACUGACAAACAUAUUCAAUAAGGGAACGUCGACAAUGCCAAGAUGGAAUAGGAUGGCAUACCUUCAACCAGAAAAGUACAUAAAGCAAUAGAACAGCGGCAAUGCCAAGAUGAAAUAGGAUGGCAUAUGUAGUGGGCACUGCUGAAGAAGGAAAGUUCUUGAAGUUCACCCCCAAGCGUAAUAGCUGUGAAUUAUGUCAAAGACAGUCACAAAAGUUAACUAAUAUACAGAAAUAUGUAAAAAUAAGAAGAAGAAAAAAACAAGACAGCUAAAUCAUGAUUUUGUUCAAGUAACUUCAAAGAUACAACAACACUUGAGGAAUGUGCCAAGAAAAUCAGGCCUAUACUGCCCAACCUUCCUAUAUAUAAGUGGAGUAUACCUAUAUAUUAACGCAUGCAAUAAAAAUAAUUAACAUUUCUAGAUAACUUCCACUGGACUUUCUCUUUCCAAUUUUUCUAUUAUUGCCAUUACAUCCACUGCCUUAUACUUAAAGGUGCCAACCUAUUUGUGUGCCAUUUUCUAGGGUGGAUUAUGAUAGGACUUACCCCUACCAAAAAGCCAAUGAAUGGCAAAAGAGUCAGAAUUAAGAAAGCGAAAGAGAGAUUCUGCGGUGGUCGCUUUUCAGGAGCCCUAAACAAGUGAGCUAUCUCUGCCUUUGGCCCAUAUCUUGAGUAAGGAUCAACAGGUAGUGGAGGAAGACGUGUUGCCUUCUCAGGUGCUUCUGGAAGAUCUAAUUCUACAAAACCAAGUGGCCGCAAGAAAGAGUUCUCCUGAAAUCAUAAAUAGUUUUUGUUCAGAUUGCCUUUUGGUAUUAUGGGAAGAGGGGAAACAAACCAAAUCAAGUAGUGCAUGAUACCAUGACAGCAUCACCAACAGUCAGCUCAAUGUCAUAUCUGCCCGAGAGAUAAUAAAACUUGUCCACCAAGCCAAGAAAAUCCUAAGAAACAAAAUUACAAAUGUGAGUAAAACUAAAACUAUAUAUGGGUAGUAGAUGAGAAUGAUGUGACCUAUACAGCCUUCGCUAAAACAUCAGGUGACACAAUUAUAAGCCCCCCAAUCCCAGUCCAGCUCAAAAGCAAUUAGGGGAUGCUGAUUUAUAUUUAACUGCAUGUAGUUCCCGCCUAAUAGAUUAAGAAAACCCUCACUUACAAGUGGUUAGAGCCACGUCGUAUUAAAACCAGCACAUUCCUUUACCACUCUAUGUUUACUUGAUUUCUAAUAUUUAGAAUGGUAGCAGUUUGGCACUUAAACAGAAAAUCCAACUCAAGAAGUACACGAGAAUAGACAUCUUAACCUAGACAAUGAAAAAUACAAUAUGAGAAACUUAACAAGAAUAAUCUCGAACUUCUUGCCGGUAUUUCCAACCACAAAGAUGUGUUCAUACGUUUUCUCGUGCCUCAACUUAAGCAAAACCUGCAGAAGAACACAUGUUUAAUAAAGAGACCAUUGAAAUGACAUCAUUUAAAAGGUCUAAUGCAACAACUACAAACCUGGCGUGGCUUAAAGGCAUGGCCACGAGGCGUAAUCAACUGGAAAGAAAAACGCAACUUUUGAAGGUGGUUAGCUGAGAGCGAAACAACAUCAGUUCCAGCCAAAUCUAGCCUGCAUAAAAAAUAUUAAGAAUUGAAAUAAAGAAAUAAAAACAUAAUUAAUAGAAUUGCUAACAGAAAUACAACACUAAGAUUUAAAUGUAAUGGUAUUCAGCUCGGACUUCAAACACAACAUAAAAAUAAAAUGGCAAACAUAUGAUAUGACAAUCAGACAUACUAACUGAUAAUUAAGUGAACUGAUCCUGAAUAUAAUUGCAAAAAAAAUUCAAAGAUUUUUUAAAACCAUUAAUAGAAACCUACUUUUUUUGGGUUGCAUCACUUCCAAGAUCACUGUCAAGAACUGCAAUCUCUGCGUUGCUAACUUCAGCAAUGCCAGUGACAUAUAUUGGCACAUGAAUUUGCCCUCCAGUAGCAUAAAUAUUUUCACUACCAGAAUCAUGAAGCACCAUCUACAAAAUAGGCUUAAAACAUUAUAAGUAACAAGAAGAUACAAAAAUAAAUACACCUUGAUGGAACUGAAAGGAAAAUUGUCACUAAAUAAACAUACACGAAUACCUCAAAAACAAACACAUAAGUUCCCACAUCGACAUUAUCUGGGAAAACACCCAUGACAUGAAGUCCACUACUUUGAUCAUACUGGAGCUCCUGUAGUACACAAUAUGGGCAGUAUAUUCAAAAAAUUGAUAAUAGCACACACCAGAGAUAAUAAAGAAUCCCAUAAUCCAAUUUACUUUACUACAUCCACUCCUAAAAAUAAUCAUUGACAUGUCACUCACCUUGUCUGCAAUAAUGGCCGAACCUUUGGCGUCAGUGUGAAAAGCUCGGACAAGCUUAACUGUUAGAGGUGGUGCGGCUGAACCAAGUACUGUAUUCACCCUAACCUGGUUAAUUUUGAAAUAGAAAUUUGUCAUAUUUUCCGAAGUGAACAGCUGCACAAUCAUCGAAGUACUGAAGAAUAAUCGAUGCAGCCAACUGAUGCAUGCGAUGUUAAUGUACUAUUGCAAGUAAAAGAAUUGACAAGCAAGAAAUGGGGGAAGAGUUUGUUAAGCUCCAUAACAAUAAUAAACAAUGGCACAUAGGAAAGUGUAACAUGAAGAAUUUAAAAGGAGAUUUUGAAAAUGAAAGAACUAAUAAGUAAUAAUAACCAGUAGCCUACUGUGACAGCAAGCCUAACUGGAACUAAGAACUGUAGCAGUAAUCUUUUAUAGAUUUGAGUCAAACAACAUAUUUUCUGACAGAAAAAGUGGUAAAACAUAAUCUAACAGGGUGAUUGAGGCCCAAAACGGAUAAAGACCGAACACUAGUUAUGCUACAGUCUAUUCUCCGUCCUUCUUUGUUAAAAAGAAUUUGCAAAUGAUGUAAGGCAUUGGGACUGAAAACCAGUGUGCACUAUCAACUAUCCUUUCGCAUUCCUAACUUACUAUGGACUGCGAAUUAUAAGACUACCAAAAUAAGGACUUUAAAGACUUUAACUUCAUUACUUACCUUAAGCUGAUCUUCUUUGGACAAUGAAUAGACUGUUGCAGGAAGUGACAGCACCAAUGGGAUGGGAACCCUGCACACCAAAACAAGAAAUUCAAACCGCAUGUUGUUACUGAAUAUUAUUAAGAUGUCAAGGUAUCAGCAAAGAAUAAGAAACAAGAGAGAAAAAAGACACCACUAUAAAUCUUUACUAAAAUUACAGAUUUUUCCUCAAUAAGCACUUGCCUUUUGCUCUCCAGAAGAGCUAAUGAUUCAACUUGAUUGAAGAAGUCCUUGGCACUUCCUGGGACUCCAAUGGCUAGAAAAAAGUUUGCUAGACCCAAUAUUUUAUCCCCUGGAAGCUGGUAAUAAAAGCCAAAGCAUCAACGAAAAAUUCAAGUAGAUUUAAAAAUAAGAGAGCAAUCACUUACGAUUCACAUACAUCGAUUUUUCCAGAAGUUACAGCAGCA
rnacentral:lncRNA from 1 species